rnacentral:lncRNA from 1 species
AUUAACUGAUGCUUUGACUUAUUAGCAGGUUGCAAUGAAUUAUUAACUGAUGCUUUGACUUAUUAGUUCUGCAGCUAAGUUAAAUAAAAUAAGGUAUUUUCAAAAGCAAAAUGGAAUACAUAGACAAAACAUCAUCUUAAACAAAUCACAAUCUAGAAUUAGAGUGUUGAUUUGAGAUUCUAGAUUGUGAUUUGAUCGGCUCAUUUGUUAAGAAGUGUUGAUUUGAUCGGCUCUGCAAAUUCUCUUGGGACUCGGUUCCAAUUCCUCUUCAUCAAAACUGUAAUAUAAUUCCCCUUCAUCAGAACUCGAAUCAAAUUCACUUGCAGCAGUUCCACUCGCGCUUGGCAAAUCAUCUAAUUUCCAAACUUCGGUAGCAAAAUUGAGAGUAAAAGUGUUGGCUUUGAUCUCGCUGGGAUUUGCAUAUACUGGACAUACUCCGCAACGUUUUAUCUUCUGACCCUUUUGGACCUUUAGGUUUCGGCAACACUCAUUGAAGAACUUAAGUGAGACAGUUGUAUGAUGGUAACCAUCAGGAAAGCCAACAUUCAAGCAAGGUUUAAAACCAAGUAUGACAUGAUCUGAAUCAAUGAGGUCUUCAAUUGAGUGCGAAUCGAAACUCAGAUGAACAUGUUUGGUUUCAGAGAGAGUCUUUAUUUCUAAGUCGGAUCGACAGCCGACGUAAACAUUACGAAAACGAUCAGAAUAAAGUUGCUUAAAAUCAAGAACAGCACAAAAAGCAAACCCGAUUAAGUUUCUGCAAAAAGAGUGCGGUGGCAGUUGAAUACGUAUUGAAGAUCCUGAACUUUGAUUGCUGAACCAGUCAGGAAUUUUGCUCCCAGGUAAAACAAUUUGGGAUCGCCUGAGUUCAGAAAGUUUCUGUGAAACGACAUUUAAAAAAAGAAAAUUGUCAAAUGAAAACCAUGAUUUCAGAUAUAACAAAGAGGGACAGAGUAAACAAGAGAGGGAAUUUGAUACCUCGUCGAUUGUCUUUCCCCGUCUCAGUGAUGCUGCAAUUGCCAUACGUAGUGAAUCUGCCAAAAUCUUGUUGUUUGCUUUUCCAUCAAGUUUCAAGCAGUUAGUAAACCGAAAAUAAAUUGGUUGUGACAGUCGAUAUUCCGGAUGCCAUUCACAAAGGUCAGGAGAGGGUUUGGAUAGCUUUUCGAGUACGGAUGCAUCUAGUUCUUGUAGACAUGACGGAAUCUCUGGCAAAGAUUGAAGCCGGUUGCAGUUCGUUGCAUUUAGUGAAUGUAGACACAAUGGAAGUUCUGGUAAUGACCGAAGCAUGUUACAACCCGUCAAGUCAAGAGAUUCUAGACACAAUGGAAGUUCUGGUAAUGACUGAAGCAUCUUACAACCCUCCAAGUGAAGAGACCUCAGCUGCGACAGUUGCUUGAUACUUGCAGGUAAGCUCUCAAAGCUAUUUCCACUUAGAUUUAAUGUUGUCAGUGAGGAUAGACAGGCAAUCUCUUGUGGAAUUUCCAUUACAGCACAGUUCCUCAUAUCUAGAUGUCCCAAAUAAGCUAAACCUAAUAAAAACGAUCGAGGCAAUGAUACCAAACCUUUGCAGCGAGAGAAGUAAAGAACUCCAAGUCUGUUUGAAUAUGCAACAGAGGAUGAUGGUAGUUGACUAAUAGCUGAUCCAACUGCUGAGAUGAUAAACAAACAUUUUAAAUUGCCAAUGUUAUCCGGCAACUUAUCAAGCUUAGAGCAAUCUUCUACGAACAAUUCUUCAAGCCCCGGUAGAUUUUCAAAUGACGAUGGCAGCUCUGUAAUUGCCGUCUUGUUUAAAUUGAUGCGUUCUAAAUGUUCCAUUUUCUCCAAGAUUUCUGGGAAGCGCUCAAGGUUCACGCAGCCAUUAAGAAAAAGAUCAACCAAAGAUCUCAAUUUACAAAACCUAGUUGAAAUCCUCUUCAGCCGUUUGCAAUACUUCAAAUUCAACUUUUUAAGAUCAGUUAGGCACUCUAUUGAUGACGGAACUUCUUCUAUUGCAGACUUGCUCAAGUUUAGCGAUGUUACUUUCCCAGAAAUCAGUGGAAACUCUAUGAGAUUAACACAAUAGGAGAAAUUAAUAGUUACUGGACAAACAAAAUGAAGAUUGCUUGGAAAAGACCUAAGACUUUUGCAGCCCUCAAAAGACAACGCACUGAGAUACUUGAAAUUCUGGAUAGAUGAGGGAACACAAGCCAAGUUUGUAUAAUCCAAAAGAUAUGUUUCAACAUUUGGGGUUUCAAAUGGGCCUGGCAUCUUAAUGAAAUGUUGAGAAUGGCUGAGGUUAAUAGAUUUUAACUUGAAAGCUUCCUGCAAUAACAGAUAUAUAAAGACUAUAUUAAUUAAAAAGCAACAUUGAAUUCAACAAUUAAUUGCACGUAUAUUUAAAGAAAGAAAAAAUUAAUGUUUUAGUUUUAGUACAAAACUUACCUUUUCUCCUUCCCAAAGUUGCUCAACUUUACUACAACUCAAAUUCAGUGCAACAAGGUUCUUUGGCUUGAAAUUUGAUGGCAGUGUCCUUAAUGGAUAUGUGUCCCAAUGAAGAUAUCUCAAUUUUUUAGGAAGAUAAUCUAGGCCAUUUGGAAGCUGCACUUUAGAGUAUGAAAGAUGCUCUUCAAUGCUCAUACUUGGAAGCUUUUCAAUCCCAUAAAAUUUGAGCAAUCUCAUAUUAGACAUAUUUGUGAAGGCUCCGGGGUCUAAAUUGAUGCGUUUUAUUUUGGACAAAUCCAGAAAUAUGCCUUCAAUUGCAUCGGUCCCCUUAUUAAAAAAAAAAAAAAGAAUGAGUAAGCCUAAAACUCAAAAGAAACAUUCGUAAACUUUAUUAAUUAAGAGCUCCUUAAACAAAAAUAAAUUACGCAAUCUUUGAUUUUAUUUUUUUAAUAUAUUAAAUAUCUAUAUGCGAGAAAAGAAAAUUUUGGGGACCAUUGCAAAAUUAAACUAACUGAAAAAAAAUUCAAAAUUUCUCUAAUUUACAAACCUGUUAUCUUAAUAUCUAGAAGUUGAGAAGACAAGGCCUAUUUGAUUGGUAUAAGAUUUCGAUUUUUUUUUUUUUUAGUCCAUAGAAUCCAAAAUGUUAGUUCAAAAUUAGGGAAAAAGUCAUUUUUUUUCCACUAGCUGUAAUUGUAUCCAAGUCAAAUUGAGAUACGACCCUUUUCAAAAGGAUUUAACCAUCUUACAGCCUCCUUAAGGCACAUUUAAGCUAAAAGGAGUGAUUGGAGGCAGAACUAGGUGGGCCAAUCAGUCCAUUUUAUUAGUGACCGUUGCUUAAAAAAAAUUAUACUCUAAACCACACUUACUUUUUUGAAAAAAAAAUGUAAUUAUAUUGAAAUAAAAUCAGGUGGGCCAAUCCUCAUGGCACUCACUUUGUUCUAACACUCUUCACUAAAUUUGAAGAAAAAUAAAAUUAUACUCUUCACACUCGUAUUCAACAUUCCAAAAUUGAUAAAAUCGGGAGUUUUCUUUAAAAAUUUAAAAUUUGAAGACUUGUUCUCUUGACACCCUCAGUCAUUAAUUUUACCUAAUUAUGGUUUUUAUGAUUUUGGUUGUUUUGUUCAUAAAAAUGCUUUUACUAAAGGAUGUUCUGGUAAUAAUAAAAUUUAUAAAAAAAACAUGGGUGUGCUGAUAUAGUUGGAAAAAUAUGAGUGCAUAACUCCAAACAAAUAAAAGAUAUAUAUAUAUAUAUAUAAAUGGAGGAUUCUUACCUUAUUAUGCUUUAGUACGCGGCGGAUUUCCUUAGGAUCCCACAACCUGCUGCGUUUGCCUGGCUCUUUCUCAGAUUCUUGGCGAACAAUCUGUCGCCCCAUUUCUUGCAAUAUAUCAUGCAUCUGCAAGGAAUCACCUGAUAUUGAUAUGAGUGACUUAUCAAUAAGGACAUCCAGUCCAUCAGACUCAGAAUCAUCAAGAAUCCUUGCCAGAAAAUCUUUAUCCCCUCCCUCGAAGAAACACGCAAUAUCUAGAAAUAUGCUCUGCACCCUGGGCGUUAAUUCAUAAAAACUAAUCUUUAAUAUUUCAUAAAUAUUAUGAAUAUCAGAUUCACAAAUCCGAUUUAAGUCGUCCAAUACAUUUUCCCAAUGGCUUUUCCUCUUGAGAUACAGGGAGGAACCCAACACCUUAAGAACUAAUGGAUUGCCUUUGGCAUACUUUACAAACCUCCGUGAGUGCCGAUUGAGAUCUUCAGGACAAUGAUUUUCUUUAAAAGCGAAGUUACAAAAAUGCUCGAAAGCCUCAUCCAAUCUCAAUCCAUUGACCCUAUAUAUUUUCUCCACUCCAAAUUUUUCGAGGACUCGUUUAUCCCUGGUGGUUACAACAAUUCUACUUCCUGGACCAUAUUGAUCAAGCCCUCCAAUCAAACCCUCUAAUUGUUCAUCUUUAUUCACAUCAUCGAGUACAAUCAACACCUUCAUGCGUCGGACCCUCCCUUUAGUAAAUUGUGGAAUAUUGGGACCAGCUACUUCAAGUUUUUCACUUAAUAUUGUCGAAAGCAUUUCCUUUUGUAGGUCUUCUAGGCCACCCUCUGUUUCUGAUUUUCUCCUAACAUUUUUUGCAAAGUAUUUACCAUCAAACUCACCAGAGAAUUGAUCGAAAAUAGCUUCAGCAAGGGUAGUUUUGCCUAUACCACCCGUGCCCCAAAUUCCAACAAUUUGGACAGUAUCCCACAAAUCCAUACACAAAAAUGGUUUAAUCUGCUCAAUUCGUGAAUUUAAUCCAACUAGGCCGUUGGAUGAGUCCGUUGAGACUGUUAUUUUUUCCAACUUCUUCAAAACAUCUUCGACAAUUUUGUUUACAAGUUGCGCAUCAAGCCUAAUAUGAAGGUGCAAAGAUGCAAAAACAUUGAGUCAAAUCGGGCCAAGACAGAAACAGAGAAAAGAUGAAUUAGGAAAGAGAGUUACCUGAAUUUCGUGGAUUCAUGGCCGGCUAGAUGGGAUGUUUCUGUCAGUGCAUCCCUCCACUUCUGAACCAUUUCUGGUUUAUCUUUGAACUGUUUUUUGAGCUCAUCAAAACGGUCUCCAAAUGUUCCGUUUUGAUGCCGCACAUCAGAUGGACUUACUCCAUAGAAGACUGGAAUAAUAAUUUGGCCGUUUGUGUUCUUGCAUUCAAGAAUCUUGACAAGUUCAUUCAGGCACCAUUUUGAAGAAGCGUAGUCCUUUGAGAAAAUGACCACCGAAAUUUUUGAACCUUGGAUUGCGUACAAAAGGGCGGGUGAAAUCUCAUCUCCUCGCCUAAGCCCUUCAUCAUCAAUAAAUGUUUUGAUUUUCUUUCCUUCAUACAAUUUAUCAUAGAGAUAGCAAGUAAAGCUCUUACGAGUGUCCUCCCCUCUAAAGUUGAGGAAGACUUCAUAAUUGCCACAAGAAGAAGAGGAAGCCAUGAAGGAAAUUUUAGAAAAUUGGUGACAGAAACAGAGAAUUAAUCUUGAGAGUUGAGAGAGGAGAUGUAAGAAUGAACAUGUGUGAAGAUUCUUGCGAGUACAUAGUAAAUAAUUGAAUGGCUGGAGCUUUCUUAGUUUCCUGGAAAUUUCCUGGAGCUUUCGUAUACAUGAUUUGUCAAGUCAUGAAACAUAAUCAUGAUAAUGGGGCAGACCAAAAAGAAAAGCAACAAUUCAAAUAUUUGAUUCAACCAGUAUAAAAAGGAAGGAAAAGCAAAGAAAGGAAAUGUUGAAAGUAGAGUUAGGGAAUUAUAAAAAGCUGAAGGAAAUUGGAAUUUUGUACAAUUUCUCCAGCGAGGAACUUUCACAGUCGUUACCUCAUUGUUACAGUUUAGAUUAAGAUUUGAGGGUGCAAGCAUUUACCUAGAUUUUACCUCCGCACUAAAUUCUUAAGUUUGAAAAAUUAUGAGACCUUUAUAUUGGAAGAUAUUAUAAUCGAAUCAAAACUUAAAAUUUUAAUAUUGUUAAUCUUUAAUCUUUAAAAAAAAUUACCUUGCCGUUACAAUUUGGAUUAAGAUUUGAAUAAGCAUUUACCUAAAUUUUAUCUCCGCCUGUAAAUUCUUAUGUUUUAAAAAUUAUGAGACCUUUAUAUUGGGAGAUAUUAUAAUCGAAUCAAAAUUUUGAAUUUCAAUAUUAUUAUUCUUUUAAAAAAAUUUGAGAUAACAGAGUGAUUGAUAAUAGAGAACUUGUCUAGGCAAACACAUGCAUACACAAAAAUGUGAUGGAUUCAAAAAGAAAUUAAAGUGAUAAUGUACGUGGAUCCUUAAAACAAAAAGCGAAAUCGCUUGGUGGCCCAGUAAAAUUAAGACUGAAUAUUUUUUACACGAGAAGUCAAGCUCAUAAAUGGCAAAAGCCAUUUCAUUUCACUUUUACGCGUCAUUGACUUUUGUAACACGGUGUAUGCAUCGUCAAGUGGGGCAAAAGGGUUUCGAUUACAGUGGGAAAACAUGAACAAGAAUGCAUAAUGAAUAAUUCUUUCGAUAAAGCGAAAAUUAAACACAGAAUAAUCCUAAAAUUUAAACUCUAAUAUCUUAUAAUGUAUUGAUUAAAAAUAAUCCUAAGAGUUCCCAAUUGAAACUUUCAUAAGUAUUUUUAUUGUUUUGGAUAAACAAAUUGCACUAGGAAAACAAUUUGGCAAAUUCAGAGGAUAAUGAAAAAUAGCUAUGCUUCAAUAGGCCAAAGAUUAGAGAACAAAGAAGAAUUAGUUAUUGAUAUACGAAAGAGAAACACUCCAAAAUUUCAAGCAAAAUAUUUUCAUAUACCAUUUCGAUUUUGGAAGGGGUGUGGUUUUGAACUUCAAUAGUUUCCUCUAAAAUCAAAAGGCAGCAAUUAAGCUAGAAAGAGCAAAGAAGACUUUUUGGUACCUUAUUGAAGGUAAACAUUAUGGAACUUCCAAUGUCAUUACCUCACUGUUUAAUUUUUAUUGAGAUUUGUGCAAGCAUUUACCUAAAUCUUACCUCUGCCUGUAAAUUCAUAAGUUUUGAAAAUUAUGAGACCUUAUAUCGGGAGAUAUUAUAAUCGAACUAAAACUUAAAAUUUCUUUUCUUUUCUUUUUUUAUCAUAAAAGGGCUCUUAAGAGAGCUACGACAACACUAAGUGGGAGUGUGCAACCCCAUGAACAUCAUUAAUCAAUAUGUUUAGCGUAUUUGGAGGAAUAGAUUGAAAGCAAUGUAAACCCAAAGGAAACAAAAAGCUGUACGAAGUAAGGAAAUCUGCUGCUACAUUGGUUUCUCGGUAGAUAUGAUCCACUUUGAUCAGCCAAUCACGCCAAAGGAGUUCUUCGAUGGCCUGAAUGAGAAUAAAAUGCUCAUUGACGGGAGGGUUUUAGUUAGAGAUUAACUUCAUAACACACAUGCUGUCUACUUCCACGUAAAACUUAAAAUUUCAAUAUUAUUAUUCUUUAAAAAAAAAAUUGAGAUAUCAGAGUAAUAUCACAUAGAAAAACUUGCCCACGGACGGUAAGCCAAAUGUCUAGUCAACCACAUGCAUAAAGCUAAGUAGAACAAGAGAACAGAGAAACGCGUGGGUCCCUAAAGAAAAGGCAAGCACAUAAAUGAAAAAGCCAUUACAUUUCUAUUAACACGGUGUGGCAGCAUAUGCACAAUCAAGUGAGGCAAAAGGGAUUCGCUUAUCGUGGCAGAACAUGGACGAGGACGCGUGACGAAUAAUUCCUUCGAUAAAACGAAAAACAAACGCAGAGAAAAGAAUUUCUUAUAUGACAAGAAAUCAAAGAAAUGUGAAGGAACAUGAUGAAGAAAUUGCAGACUGAUCAAUUAUCCCCAUGGACUCCUAUAAAUUCAACCAAAAUAACAAUUCGAAUCUUACCAAAUUCUUGAGUUAAAUUUAUUCAAUGCUUUUAUUUUUUUAGAGAAAUUUUUUCCAUUGCUACUUUCCCUUUUUUGGGGAAAUUAGAACCGCGGCAUGUAUAGAAAACAUUGAGGUGUAAAGCAACAUUAAUUUCAUGGGAUAUGCGUUAUACGCAUAAUAUAUUUUCAGUCCAAAUUCAACUAUACAAAGAGGCUUGAGAACUUAAAAUUAAGCACAAACUAAACAGACGAAGUAAAUACAUGAUUAUGCAACAUAACAUUAAUUCUCUUAAUUUAUAACUGUUUUUGCCACAUGAAUCUUGCACAGUUAAUCCUAAUUGAAGACUAAAAAAGAGCAAUUGGAAGAAGGUUUUGGAAUAGAAUGGUAUACAAUCGAUAUGAUCCUUUUCCAGUAGUCAACGCUAAUUAACUGCAGUUUCUAGACUCCUAAUUAUACUAGCCAUAGAAAACUGGUGAUCAAAUUAGAUUUUGAAAGGAAAUAAUGUUCAUUUUCCCUUCGCUGCCUUUUUUUUUCUUUUCUUUUUAUAGCAAAGAAUUAUAUCAUGAAAAGAAUCAAUUUAAUCACCUUUUCCAGCAGCACAAUUUUUCUUUUAUAAAAUUUGACCACAGAGACAAAGAAGAAUUAUUCAUACCUUCAUCAGUGAGGAAAUACUUUUCGGUAUGGCUAGGGUGAGAAAAGGCUUUCCACAAACACUUGUACUUUGUAUUCCUGUAAAUUUUCUUUAAAGUCAAUAAAAACCAUAAGUUCUUUACAAUAACCACCUCUUUGAUAAAAAAGUGCCGUAUUCCUUUAGAAUUUAAAACCGGCAAAAUCGGAAUCAGUGUCUUUGAAGAGACAUAAUGGUCGUAAUUCUUUAAAUGAGUUGGCUAUGGAAAUCCUUAUCCAAGAUUCUUUUACGCCAUAUUCUUUCGUAAACCAAAAUUCAUUUUGGAAUACUCUGUUGAGAAUGUCAAAUAAAACGGCAUUGAAGGAAGUUUUCAAAGGUAGAAUCCGCACUUGUCAAAGGGAUGAUCUGCACUUGUCAAAGACACGAUCCGCGUCAAACGAAUCGACACAUUUCCUUUCGUAUUCGCAUAUGUAAUCUUUGAAAAAAUGUAGCUUCUGCAUCUAUAAAUAACGCUCAGUGUAUAAUGUUUUAUUCAAGAAAAAAAACAAGUUUCUUCAUACUCGUCGUCCGAACAUACAGAGACCGUCUCUCAUAACUUCAGCCGAAUACUUGUGAUGAUGAUCAUUUGUGAUUUCAUCAGGCAAAGGGUUGAUGGUGAAAAUUUUUGUAUGUGUGAAGAAUUGAGCUGUGGAUAUAGGGGACUUAAGUGUAAUCGAAAGAGAGUUAUUAGGUCAUAGUGCAGAUUGCAUUCAGUUUAUGGGUCGCUAUGCAGAUAAUUUGUUGACGUGGCGAAAUCUGUUAUGGUCGUUAGUAUUGUUUCUGGAAAUUUUCUAGAAACCUCAGCAUAAAAGGGGCUUUUGCAUAGCCUCUGGUGUGCGUGUGAUUUCUCUUUCGUUUCCUCAUCAAAUUCUGUAAUUCUUGCUUUGAUAAAAAGCUUGUAAUCUCUUCUGUAAUGUGUGAUCAGUGCGUAAUCAUUUUGAGCAAUAAACGCUUGUGGGUUUUUCCUUCAAACAGUGUCGUUUUGGUCAGUUUGUUAGUUUGAUCUGUUGGUGGAAUUUUCUUUGGUUAUUUGUUCUCAAAAUUCAACCGUAUAUAAAGUUUGAACUCUAAUGGCUUAUAAUGUAUUGAUUAAGAAUAAUCCUAAGAGUUCCCGAUUGAAAUUUUUAAUGACUAUUUUUAUUGUUUUGGAUAUACAAAUUGCAUUAAGAAAAAAUAUUGUCAAAUUCAGAGGAUAACGGGAAAUAAUUAUGCUUCAAAAGGCCAGAGAUUUGAGAACAAAGAAGCAUUCAUUACUGAUAUACAAAAGAGAAACACUCCAAAAUUGCAAGCAAACUAGUUUCAUAUACUGUUUGGAUUCUGGAAGGGGUGAAGUUUUGAACUUCAGUUGUUCCUCUAAAAUCAAAAGCAGCAAUUAAGCGUUCUCAAUUAGAAAUAGCAAAGAAGACUUAUUCGUACCUUACUGAAGCUAACAUUAUGGCACGGUUGUUCAUAUGUAAUGGCUGCUCUGUUAUGCUAUAUGCUCUGUUAUGCUAGCUUCUCUGUUUUUGCUUACAGUUUUGAACAUAAAUUCUUGCUCAAAUAACCCAUAAUUAAAUAACACUAAUAUGGCUCCUGAAAUCCCAUAAUAGCUAAUUACGCAACUUUCUCCUCCUCCUCAAUUAUGUCUUCCCCUGCUCGGACACUAACUUCAAAAUUCAAUGCCCCGAAAAACAACACAAGAAAUCUUUGAGUUAAAUCGUGACCAGUUUAUAUAUCGUAGCAAUUGAAAAAGAAAAAGAAGAAAAGAGUUAAUUAUUAUUCAGACCUUCACUUAUUAGGAAGUUUGUUCUGCUAUUGGGUGAGAUCAAGCUCUCAGCAUAUACUUCCACAUGAUACUUUCUAACAUUUUCUUGAAAGCCAUCAAUCAUAAAAUCUUCAUACUUUUUUCCAUCCUUUGGAUCAAUAAGUACAAAUUUCUCAUCUAAAACAGACAAAAUAAAAUCACUGUCCUUCAUGGAACAUAAUGGCUGCAAUGCCUGAACUGAAUUGGCUAAUGAAACAUAGUCUUCUUUUCUUUCUCGACAUGGAACAUAGUCUUCUUUUCUUUCUGGACAUAUGUCUCUGUACUUUUCUCUCUCUACUGAUCCACACUUUUUCAUACUUCUAACUAUCAUUUUGUUUUUUUUUUUGGUUAAGUUGUGAUUUAUUCAAUUAUUUUGUAUUUUUAAUGACAAUUAUUUAAUAUUUAGUUAGUUUUGAUAUUGAUUAGUGAUUGAAAGUGUAUUUUAGAAGACUUCCGGUCUCUUGGAAAAAGGAAAAAUGGAGACGAAGAAGAAGUGUUCUUGAUUUUUUUGUAGGCAUUAAAGUUAAACGGUUUGAAAUGAUAUUUUGUUUUAAUUUCACUCAUUAAUCUCAUUCAGGAUAAAAUUAUAAAUGCAAAUAAAUGGGGUUUCAUGAGUUUUUUUUAAUAGUGUUAAAAGGUCUACUCACUAAAUAAACAUGUUUUACCCAAACCAAUCCGAUUAAUAAAGUUAUUGGGUUGGGUUGAUCAGGUUAAAAAUCAAAAUUAAAAAUUAAAUAAAUAAAAAAGGCGUUAAAACUAUCUGUUACUUGAAAAUAAAAAGAAUUUCAAAUAGUUAGUUCUAAUGUCCCAUAUCCAAAACAUGCAUAUUAAAUAAAUAUUAUAAGUUAGAGAUAAAAUAUCCAAGAAAUAAUGAAUGAAUGAAAUACCAUAUUUUUGUUGAGAAUUAAGAGUGUGAUUUUAAUUUUGAUAUUGGAGUCUAAAGCAAUAGAUAGUACAAUGAAAUCAUGAAUGCCACAUUUAAAUAAUGUCUUUUAUAAAAUAAUAAAAAGAAGUUAAAAAUUAGGUUAGCCAUUUAGGCGUUUAGGGUUUAGCAGUUAAGGAUGAACAUAUUAUUAUUAUUGUUGUUGUUGUUGUUAUUAUAACAAUUAUUAUUUACAUAUUAAUUAAUCCAACCCAACCCAAUUAUUAACAAACUAGGAAAUAAAACCGCACUUCGUGCGGCUUUAAAAGAAAAUUAAUAUUAUUUUUUUAUUACUUUACAAUUGAUGAAACUAAUAAAAAAUAUGAAUUAUUUUUAAAAUGACGUAAUCUUAUAAAACUAAUGUUAUUUAUGAAAGUUAAUUAUUUUUUUGUUAACAUUAAAAAUAUAUAUUAAUGUGUAUAGUUAAGUGUACACAACUUUUUCAUCAAUAAAAAUUAUGUUCACAUUAAUCAACUCUCCAUUUUUCUUAGUAUUAACAGACUCUCACAUCUUACAAAGUCUGACCCUUAUUAUUCAACUAUCUUUAUCAUAGUUUAACUCAUGAAGAAAAUAGUACUCCAUGAAGCAUACAAUACUAAAAAUUUAAAUAAGUCAAAAAAUAAAAACACAAAAACAUUUCUAAAGAGAAUGUUGGUUAAAUAAUAAAAAAAACUCAAACAUAACAAAUCUUAAAUGCUUAAUAUUUAUAGAGCUUGAAGAAGCCAAAAGAUACUAAAUAAAAGGUUGCAUAAUUAAAUAUAGGAUUAUAACAUUAAAAUUAGGUCAUAAGGCAUUGGUGAGGGAAGAGGAAGGAACAUUCCUUCUUAUAUUAAUUAGUUGAUGUAUUUUAAACCACUAAAGUUUAUUUGUUGGCUUAAUAAAAUAAAUGAAUGUUUCAAAACUUAUAAUUAAUUUAUUAUUAAUGGUUAUAUAUUGUUGAAUUUAAAUAGAAAGAGAAAGAGACAUGUAAUCUUUUGUAAUCUAUUAAUUAUUUUAUAUUUUUAAUAUUUUGUAAUGUAAUUAUUUUUUAAUCUCAACCAAUAUGUUAGAUAAUAGAGAAUAUAAAAAGAUGAGAAAUAAUAAUGCCACAAAUCUUAACUACUUAAUAUUUAUAGAGUUUGAAGAAGUCAAAAGGUACUAAACAAAAGGUUGCAUAAUUAAAUAUGAGAUUAUAGCAUUAAAAUUAGACCCCACUGGCAUUAUUGAGAGAAGAUGAAGGAACAUUCCUUCCUAUAUUAAUUAAUUGAUAUAUUUAAGCUACUAAAAUUUAAUUGUUGGCAUAAUAAAAUAAAUAAAUGUUUCAAGAUUUAUAAUUAAUUAUUAUUAAUGGUUACAUAUUAUUGAAUUUAAAUAGAAAGAGGAAGAGACAUGUAAUCUUUUAUAAUCUAAUAAUUAUUUUUAUUUUUAAUAUUUUAUAAUGUAAUUAUUUUUUUAAUAUCAACUAAUUUAUUAGAUAAUAGAGAAUACAAGAAGAUGAGAAAUAGUGAUGUCACAUCACCUCCUCUAGUCCCAACUUUAUAUAUAUAUAUAUAUAUAUAUAUAAUAUUUUGUAAUGUAAUUAUUUUUUAAUCUCAGCCAAUAUAUUAGAUAAUAGAGAAUAAAAAAAGAUGAGAAAUAAUGAUACCACAAAUCUUAAAUAUUUAAUAUUUAUGGAGUUUGAAGAAGCCAAAAGGCACUAAACAAAAGAUUGAAUAAUUAAAUAUGAGAUUAUGACAUUAAAAUUAGACUCUAAUGGCAUUGUUGAGGGAAGAUGAAGGAACUUUCCUUCCUAUAUUAAUUAAUUAAUGUAUUUUAAGCCACUAAAAUUUAAUUGUUGGCAUAAUAAAAUAAAUGAAUGUUUCAAGACUUAUAAUUAAUUAUUAUUAAUGGUUACAUAUUGUUGAAUUUAAAUAGAAAGAGGAAAAGACAUGUAAUCAUUUAUAAUAUAAUAAUUAUUUUCUAUUUUCUAUUUUAAUAUUUUGUAAUGUAAUUAUUUUUUAAUUUCAACCAAUUUAUUAGAUAAUAGAGAAUAUGAAAUGAUGAGAAAUGGUGAUGCCACAUCACCUCUUGUAGUCUCAACUUUAUAUAUAUAUAUAUAUAUAUAUAUUAAUUCAUGUCUUUUAUACCACUAAAGUUUAAUUGCUAGCAUAAUAAAAUAAAUAAAUGUUUCAGAAGACUUAUAAUUAAUAUUAUUAAUGAUUACAUAUUGUUGAAUUUAAAUAGAAAGAGAAAAAAAUUACAAAGAAUAUCCACCAAUAUUUUAGAUAUUUUAGAUAAUAGAAAAUAUAAAAAGAUGAGGAAUGAUAUAUAUUAAUAAAGUUACUAUUUAUUAAAUGAGUUAAAUACAAUCAAAUUAAUUAUGAGAAGAUGAAAAGCCAAAUCUAAAAAAAAAAUCUCUAUUUAUUAGAUAAUAGAGAAUAUAUAAAGAAGUAAAAUGGUGAUGCCACAUCACCUACUCAAGUCCUAGCUUUAUAUAUACACUAGAAAAUAGAACCGCGUUUCACGCGGCUUUGAAAAAAAAUUUUAAUGUUAUCUUUUUUUUUUAUUUUGCACAUGAUGAAACUGAUAAAAAAUAUGAAUUGACUUUUUUUUAAGAUGAAGCAGCCUUAUUAAAAAAAAACUAUUAGCCAGCAAUACAAAUAAAGAAGUAAUGUAAGAUAAAAAAUAAAAUGAGAGAAUAUAUUAUAGAAUGAUUUUAUUCAUUCUAAUUGUGUGGUACAAAACAAAAAGAUGAGCUCUCAUUUUAUAGUUACAUAAUCACUCCAUGAAAUUAAUGAAAAAUUAUGGAUCAUAAUUCCUUGUGAGAUAGUGGGAGUUAUAGGGAAGCUAAAGGUUGCUAAUGGAAGAUAGUGGGGAGACUAAGAGAUAUAUGUUAUGAACAUCUACAUUUAUUUUAAUAAAUUCAUAACACUCCCCCUUUGAUGUUCAUUAUAAAAAAUAUGCCUCAUUAAAAUCUAUUAGCCAACAAUACAAAUAAAAAAGCCACACAAUAUAAAGAAUAAAAUGAGAGAAUAUAUUAUAGAGUGAUUUCAUUCAUUCCAAUUAUGUGUGUACAAAACAAAAAGAUGAGCUCUCCUUUUAUAGUUACAUAAUCACUCCAUGAAAUUAAUGAAAAAUUAUGGAUCAUAAUUCCUUGUGAGAUAGUAGAAGUUAUAGGAAAGCUAAAGGUUACUAAUGGGAGAUAGUGGAGAGAGUAAAAGAUAUAUGUUAUGAACAUCUACAUUUAUUUUAAUAAAUUCAUAACACUCCCCUUUGGAUGUUCAUUACAAAAAAUAUGUCUCAUUAAAACCUUUAUAUAAUUGUUAUUGUGUAAUAACAAUCAAAUUAAUUAUGAGAAGAUGAAAAGUCAAAUCUAAAAGAAAAUUUCUCUAUUUAUUAGAUAGAUAAUAGAGAAUAUACAAAGAUGAGAAAUAGUGAUGCCACAUCACUCUCUCAAGUCUCAACUUUAUAUAGAUAUAUAGAUUUGAAAUGAUUGACUCAAUUAAUCCACAAUAAUUCAUUCAACUCGUCUAAAUUAGAUUAUGUUGAAUUUGAUUUGCUACACCUACAUUGAGCAACAAACCUCAACGACAUUCUACGAGCUCUUUGAUUGUUUAUAAAAUUGAUUUAGAGUACAUAAAGUGUAUCGACAAUGAAAGUGCAAAACAAAUUAUUGUACAUAUUAAAAUGUGCAAAACAAUGAAUUAUAUGUACAAACGAGUGCAAACACAUUUUUCAAUAAGAAGUUAAAAGAUAUUUAUGCAUGAAAAAGCCUACGUUUGUAGUUAUUCUAAAUUUUAAAAACAAAAUUUACAUUUAGAUCCCUAAAAUUUACGUAUAAGUAUAAAAGUUUCAAAUAUUGUCUAUUAUUUUUUUAACAUGCCUAUUCCUUAUGGAUAAUUCUGUCUCAUCACUAAUGUUGUUUCUUGCUUAGAAAAAAUAAAUGUCAUCUCCUUUUACAAUUUUUAUAGCGUCUCGAAAUAGACAAUAGGGGAUUUUGAAUUUUUUAAGUCUCAAGAUAGUCUCUAAUCGUGUGAGAAAGAUUUUCUUUCAAUAAUUUGGAGCUAAACAUAACAUAUUUUUUAGACUAAAAUCUAACUCUGCUGGUUAGUAGUUGGUGGUAUCCUUUUCAAGACUUGAGUCUUUAGAUUCGAGUUUUAUAUAGUGUACAUGUGUAUUUAAUUAAUAAUUUUUUUCAAAAAAAAAAAUUACAUCAAAUACUAAUAUUCAUGACAUAAUUUAGUUCAUAAUUUUUUUAAAUACAUCGAAAAAUAUAAUUUUUUAACAACUUAUAGGCACGACAAAUUUCAAGAUAUAAAUAUCAGUCAAAAUAAAUGAAAGAAAUAAUGGUGUCAAUUCUAAUUUCUUAACUAAAUUAAUUAUUGCAUGAGCCCCGAAUACGACAUGAGAGUUUGAUGGGCUAACUUGGCACAAGAACGCGAAUAGUUAACUCAUUUAAGAAAUAAUUCAACAAAAAAUAUAAUUGAUAAGAAUUCAGUAUUGAAAUGAAUUUUUUACGAAACAUUGAAUUAAUGAUUAUUAAGCAAGAACAAUAAAAAAAUAAAAUAAAAAUAAAUAUUAACCAUUGAUAAGCUUCAACAAGAACUUAACACAACCCUCAAUCCUAAUUCAAAUCAUAAAUGUCAUUCAUAUAUUCAUUAUAAAUCAAUAACAAAGGUUAUAAAUGUUUAGAAAUUCUAGAGGGAAGGAAGCUAUCUCCGGGGAAUCAACAACUAAAUUUGAUGUAAUUGUGGCACACGAUGGAAUAUGGAAACUACACCAUAAUUUCAAAUGCCGCCAUAGACAUUGACUUAUCUACAAUAACAAUGAUCUAAUUAAAAUUAAAAUAAAGUUUAUGGGCAUUUAUUAUUUUGCCAUUUCUCAUUUGCAAACAGGGAUAUAAUUAUAAUUUUACUUAGUCAAAGCAAUCAGUAAUUUUCUUCAUUAUCGGAGUGAAGUAAAAACAUUUAGAUUUUAAUGAGUGUACGGAAAAUUUAUCUUUAAAAAUACUUUCUUAAUGUGUGUGUAUAUAUAUAUUGAAAUAUUAUGCUAUCAAAAGUUAAUUUUAGAAAUUCCAAAUCCAAUAGCUAACACAAUUCUUUAAAGAAAAAAAAAAAAAGGUUGAUAAUCAGCAAUUAGUAUUACUUUCUAAACUUACUUCAACUGGUCGUUAAUGAGGGGCCUUGGGCAAGAGUGAUGAAUGUUUAGUCGGUGCAUUUGAUUGAUAGAUAUAUAAAGGGCCGAAACUUGAGAUUAUAUUACUUUUACAAAUUUUAAUCCAAUCACAUAUUUACUGAAACACAAAAUGAGUUAGGAUACUUUAUUUAGAACCCACAUUUUAAUAAGGCUUCAUUUGAUGUAGUUUUUCAAACAGUGAUUAUUUGAGUAAAGUUUCCUCAAUAGAGUUUUUAUCAAAUAAAUUUUAUUUAUUUGGUUGUCGAUAAGAACUUUUAUUAAAAAUUAUAAAAUUAUUUAAAUAAACAUAUUUUUUUAAAAUUACAUUAUAAAAAGAAUUAAAUAAAGUUAUAAAAGUAAAAUAUAUUUUAGAUAUUUUAAUAUUUAAGAAAAAAAUUUUGAAUCUCUACUUUCAGAAGCUCAAAUUUUUAGUUUUUAGUUGUAGAGACAAAAUAUCUUAUUUAAUCUUUAAAAGUUCUGCUAAAAACAAUCAAAUAACUAUAAAAUUUUUAAUAAGAGUAUAUAAAAUUAAAUAAGCAUUUAUUAAUAAUCACUUUAGUGUACUUAUCUAAUGACCAUAAGUGUUUAUUUAAUCUCAUAAGUUCUUAUUUAAUCUCAUGAGCUCUUUUCAAUUUUUUUUGUUGUUUGCUUUUUUUAGUAGAGUUUUUGAAAAUUAAAUAAACUAUUUUGUCUCUAUUAGGAAAAACUCAAAUUUUAGGUUUUUGUGAGUAAAUGUUUAAAUUUUUUUAAAAAUAUUAAAAUAUUAAAGUAAAAGUUGUAGAGACAAAAUAUCUUAUUUAAUGUUUAAAAGUUCUGCUAAAAAUAAUCAAAUAACUACAAAAAUUUUAAUAAGAGCAUAUAAAAUUAAAUAAGCAUUUAUUAAUAGUCACUUUAGUAUACUUAUCUAAUGACCAUAAGUGUUUAUUUAAUCUAAUGAGCUCUUUUUAAUUUUGUUUGUUUGUUUUUUUAGUAGAGUUUUUGAAAAUUAAAUAAACUAUUUUGUCUCUAUUAGGAAAAACUUAAAAUUUAGGUUUUUGUGAGUAAAUGUUUAAAUUUUUUUUAAAAUAUUAAAAUAUCUUUUCUUUAUUUCAUAAUCUUAUUUCAUUCUUCACAACAUAACUUUAAAUAACUCACCUAUUAAAAUAAUUUCACAAUUUAUAAUAAAAAUUUUAAUUGACAAUCAAAUAACAAAUUUUUUUUUAUAAAAACUCUAAUAAUAAAAAUUCUACUUAAAUAAAUUAUAUUUGAAAAGGUAUACCAAACGAACCUAACAUAAAAACAAAAAUUUUUACAUCCACACAAUUAAGCUUAAAACAAUUUCAAAUGAAUUUUAGACUACUCAAAGUACAAUACGUACCAAGUUUGGUAACUUAUUGGGGUCCGCUUGUAAUACAGCUCAUGAGCUCUUUUUAAAAAAAUUUUGAAUCUCUACUUUCAGAAGCUCAAAUUUUUAGUUUUUAGUUAUAGAGACAAAAUAUCGUAUUUAAUGUUUAAAAGUUCUGCUAAAAACAAUCAAAUAAUUACAAAAAUUUUAACAAGAGCAUAUAAAAUUAAAUAAGCAUUUAUUAAUAAUCACUUUAGUGUACUUUAUCUAAUGACCAUAAGUGUUUAUUUAAUCUCAUGAGCUCUUUUUAAUUUUUUUGUUGUUUUUUUAGUAGAGUUUUUAAAAAUUAAAUAAAUUAUUUUGUCUCUACUAGGAAAAACUUAAAAUUUAGGUUUUUGUGAGUAAAUGUUUAAAUUUUUUUACAAAUAUUAAAAUAUUUUUUUCUUUAUUUCAUAAUCUUAUUUCAUUCUUCACAACAUAACUUUAAAUAACUCACCUAUUAAAAUAAUUUCACAAUUUAUAAUAAAAAUUCUAAUUGACAAUCAAAUAACAAUUUUUUUUUAAUAAAAAUUCUACUUAAAUAAAUUAUAUUUGAAAAAGUAUACUAAACAAACUUUUUUUAGACUAAUCAAAGUACAUCUUCUCAUAAAAUAAUUUCACAAUUUCUAAAAAAAACUCUAAUUGACAAUUAAGUAACAACUUUUUUUUUUUUGUAAAAACUUUAUUUAUAAAAAAUCUAAUAAUAAAAAUUCUAUUUAAAUAAAUUAUAUUUGAAAAUGUAUACUAAACCAACCUAACAUAAAAACAAAAAUUUUUACAUCCAGACAAUUAAGCUUAAAACAAUUUCAAAUGAAUUUUAGACUAAUCAAAGUACAAUACGUACCAAGUUUGGUAACUUAAUUGACAUCUUCUCAUAUAACCUUCGAUCAAGUCGAUUCUGACCUGACGACUAAUUGGUACAUCACCGUUGUUCUCUAUACUCGCAUGCAUCCGAUCACAAAUCUCACUCCAAUUGUCGUCUUUCUUCGGCGUUUUAGCGCAUCCUUCUUGAAUUUCCCGCAUUUCGUUCCCUCCUGUUACAAGUCUCCGGUCAGGUCAGUUCACUUGACGAUUAAUUCGGCAAAUCUCGAAUCUCUUCUCUAUCCCUCUCGUUUUCUCGUGUCUCCUUUCAGUUUAAGUGAUUGAAUCAAUUUUAUCGCAGUCUUAAGAGAAAUUAAGUAAUGCUCUUGGAUUUAAAAUUUUUUUGCUUUCGACUUUAGAUCUCGAAAGUCAAACUCUGCUACGAAUCCAUAGAUUCUCAAUGUUUAUAAUCUUAUUUGUGUUUGACCAGGUAACUGGAUCGUGAAAUUCGUCGUUUUGUAUCAAUUCAGGCUUUCGCGAGCUCAUGGAAUCACCUGGUGAGUUGUGGUGAAACGUUAUCGUUUCAAUUUUCGCUUAAUUCUUUAUUGCAUAUUUUUUCUCUAACAUUUCAGUUUAAUUUAGAAAAGAAAGAGGACCCAAAAAGAGAGAGAGAGAGAGAGACUCUACCAUACUCAAUUCCUUGCUCAUUCUGAUUUGGCCUGAAUGUUGGCAUUGACUAUUAUUUGUUUUCAUUUCGAUUUAAUUCUCAUUUAGACAGUCUUUACUAACGGUCAAUAAUAGUUUAAGGAAAAUGAUAAUAGGGAUUCUGCAAUAAUCUUUCUGCAUUGUUCAAGUUAGUAGACGAUGAAUAGGAUGUUUAUGUUUACCUCAUUUUGAACCCUGAGGGCUUCGUUGAGUAGUUGAUUCAACAUAUCCAGCAACGGUUGAUGUGAGAACAGGAUGCCACUUAGAUAGGCUUAAACUGAUUUUGGAGGUUUGUAUUGGUUCUAUUGUACGUCUUGCUUACAAAUUUUUUAUUUUUUAUUUUUAAUUUUGUAUAAUAUGCUCUUUGUUGGUAAAUCUCAUUUGACUUAGAAGAGAUAGUUUUAUCCCAACAGUGGGAUAAAUCAUUGAGAUGCAUGGCAGUGUGAAUAUAGUAGACAAAAUCAUUGAGACACAUGGUGGUGUGAACAUAGUAAACUUCAUGGAAGCAAUGAAGCUUGAAAUUGAACGUCUGCAGCUGAAUCUUUCUGCAGCUGAAAGGGAUAGAGCUUUAUUGUCAAUCGGAACUGAUCGUGCCUCUAUAAAUCCAAAUGUAUUGCUUGAUGAAUCUUACAUGGGAAGACUGUGUCGAGUAGCAACCACUCUUGCAUUACUUGGCCAAACUUCCCUAGAAGACAAAAUUGUUGGUGCAAUUGGCCUUGAGAAUAGUGAUGAUAGUGUUUUAGACUUCUGGAAUAUUACUAGAAUCGGAGAGAGUUGUUCUGGUGGCUGGUGGCGGGUGCAAGGUUCGUGCAGAAACUAAGGUGCCUGCUCUUGCUUCCUCAACUGCAACAUCUGUUGGAGCUUCACAAUCCCCUUUGUUGUGUUCUCAAUGUGAAAGAAAAGUUUGCAAAGUUUGUUGUGCAGGAAGAGGAGCUCUACUGUUUUCAAAUUAUAAAUCAAGGGAUGUGACCAACUACAAUGGCUUCUCAAGUCAGAGUGGAUCAAGCCAUGGAAGCCAAGUUGAUGUACCUACCAGUCGUUCACUAACACUGGAUGGCGUUGUCUGUAAACACUGCUGCCAUGAGAUUGUGCUUGAUGCAUUGAUGUUGGACCAUGUUAGGGUCUUGAUUAGCUUGCGAAGAAGUUCCCGUGCAGACAACACAGCAUACAAUGCUUUGAAUGAGGUUGUUGGAUCCUGCUUAAAGGAUAGUCUUUCUGAAAGGAUUCAGUCUUCCGAUAACGUGCAAGCUGCUGAAGUCCUUCACCAAUUAUGUGGUGGACAGGAAUCAGUUGCUGAAUUUCCAUUUGCUAGCUUUUUGCACUAGGUAUGUUCUUGGUUUGUAUUCAGUUCUCAUCAUGUUAUGUUUUCCUUUUAAAUUUCUUUUCUUGAUUAAAAUUUUUAGAAAUAUGUUUUAGUAUUUGUUCUUAUGAUAUAUGCCCAGAACAUUCAUCCCACUUAUCCAUGAGAAUCCUUGUCUGGUUUGAUUUUCAAUUGAGACAUUUUUGGGAACCCUGAGCAGGUUCCAUAUGCUAAUAAUCUUUGAGGUAAGGUGUUGUAGGAUGCCUUGAGAAGCUAAAAACCAAUUACAAGGAAAAGCUCUUGCAUUGUUUUGUGCAAUCUGUGUGCUAGCAAGUCAUGUCUCUAAUAAUUUCAUAGUUCGCUUGAUUGGAAUUUUUUAUCUUGAUAUGGAUUGUUUAUUCUAGAUUCCUUGGUGCCACUGUAGGUUGAAACAGCAAAAGAUUCAGCACCGAUUUUGUCACUGCUUGCUCCAUUAAAUUCUGGAUCAAGGCACUCAUAUUGGAGAGCUCCACCUAGUACUACUUCUGUUGAAUUUGUUAUUGUUCUCGGUUCUGUUUCUGAUGUCAGUGGGGUUAUCUUGCUUGUUAGUCCUUGCGGCUAUCUGUGGCUGACACUCCGAUGGUAAGUGCCAUAUUUAUUCCCUUAUUUCCUUGUUGUUCAAUAAAUUUGGUGAUAAGCCAAGUGGCCUUAAUAAUGAAGCCCAGUACCAGGGGUGGUGGGUAAUCGAUAUUCAACUUGUGAAUAUUCCUAAGCAAGCACGGAAUCAACAUAGACGUCGGCAAAAAUUCUCCAUGCUAUUAUAACGAAAGUCAUAUUUUGAAAUGAUUAAAAGAGUCCCUUUGUAGUGCCAUUGCCAAAGAAAUUGCAGCUGGGGGUUUAGUUUCAUGUAGGUUAGUUUCCGAUAAUAAACUUUCCAUUUCAUUAAUUGCUGAUGAAAAAACCAAGUAAGAACAGUUUCGUUGCUCGUCAUUUAUGUAUAUUUUGGUAAACUGUAAUUUUAAAUUCUCAACGAUCUUCCCUUGGUAGGUAAGAAGAUGGUCCACUCACUUUAUAUUUAUGAUUGUAGAUCAGGUUUCUAUUGGUUUGCCUUUAUCAUUGGGAACCCAAGUUUGAUAUUAACAGAGAUCACGUCAAUAAUAUCCUAUUUGGGUAGAUGUGGGUGAGGAUUUAAAAUCAAAUUUGAAAUUGGGGGAAAGAAGAGAAAAGGAACCACAAUAAUUAAACAAAAUAUUAGGAACUAUUCUGAUGAGUUUUAAUCUCGAGAGGAACAAUUUUCAAAUGCAAAUUUAACUGCUAGAGAAAUUGUAGCUUUUUGUCAUUAGUUAAGAGGAAAGAGAAUAAGAACUAUCCAGCCCUUUCCUUCAUGAAUGUGUGUUGAGGUUGCUGUAUUAUUUAGUCAGUAUUUGUAAUUUUCUUCCCUGCAGUGCUCUCUGCCUCCUGAAUUUGCUACUGAGUCCAUAUUUUUCUUUGAGCUGUUGCUUCCUAUUGCUGUUACAAGUACAAAUCUGGGCAAGCAAUAAGAUACACCGGGAGGAAAGGUCAUCAAUGGGAAAAUGGGAUGUCCAAUCCCUCAUCACAUCUUCUUCAGACUUGUAUGGUCCAGAAAAGACAGCUAGUGUUGAAAAAUUACCUAGGCAUGUAAAAUUUACUUUUAAGAAUCCUGUUAGGUGCCGCAUUGUUUGGAUCACAUUACGUCUUCAGAGACCUGGUUCGGCUUCAGUUAAUUUCGGGAAGGACUUCAGUCUUUUGUCUCUUGAUGAAGAUGAAAACCCCUUUGCGCAAGUAGACAGACGUGCUUCAUUUGGAGGAGCAGUUGAAAAUGAACCAUGUAUUCAUGCCAAAAGAAUUCUUGUAGUCGGAAGCCCAGUAAAAAGGGAGGGGCUUACCUCAUCACAGAGCUCUGAGCAGCUAAGUAUUAGAAACUGGUUGGAUAGAGCUCCACAAAUGAGUAGAUUCAAGGUAUUAGUUGCUUUCACUCUUUGUUCAUUCAUAAUUCCAGCUUUCUGCUUGAUGCCCUGCCUCUGAUAAACCUCUUUUUUUCUCUUCAGGUCCCAAUUGAGGCCAAGAGAUUGAUGGACUACGAUCUCGUCUUGGAACAAUAUCUACCUCCAGCGUCACCUUUGCUUGCCGGAUUCCAUCUAGACGCUUUCAGUGCAAUAAAACCUAGGGUUACCCAUUCACCUUCCUCAGAUUCAGAUAUCUGGGACAAAUCAGUAACAUUUUUAGAAGACAGGUACAUCUCUCAAGCUGUGUUGUAUUUACAAGUAUCCGCACUCCAGGAACCACAUAACAUGGUAACUAUUGCGGAAUAUCGACUGCCGGAGGCUAGAGCCGGAACGCCAAUGUACUUUGAUUUCCCAUGACCGAUACAGUCCCGACGAGUUUCAUUCAAGCUUCUUGGAGAUGUUACAGCAUUUGCAGAUGAACCUUCAGAACAAGAUGAUUCAGGAUUGAGAGCUCCACUUGUGGCCACAGGUUUGUCUUUGUCAAACAGAAUCAAGUUAUAUUAUUAUUGUGAUCCUUAUGAGCUCGGAAAAUGGGCAAGCCUUUCUGGAGUUUGAUCGUUAUUUAUAUGUCAGAGAAAGGGUUUUGGGUUUGAUUUUGAUUUUGAUUUGUAAUUUUUGUCAGUUUAUUGAAAUUUUUUGUUGUAUAAAAGCAGAAUGUAAAGGUAUAAAAAUUCAUUGAUGCUGCAAUGUCUGUGCUUUUGAGAAAGAAGAAUUAAUUGUCUUUUCUAUGCCAUUGGAGUUUCCCACUGCUUGUAUACUUGGGCUGUCGAAUGCUCUGUGAACCUUAAGGGCUAUAAAGUAAUUUUCAAGACUGAAGGAUUUAUUAAUCGAGUUCAAAAGAUUGUAAGUUGGUGACUGGUGAGCGUUGGCAUUUAAAAAUCAAUUGUUAUUCUCUCAAUAAUCUCUCUCUUCUCCUCGUGAAGUGUUUUCUUUUUCGAGUGAAGGUGGUUUUCCACUUGCAUACGUCGGGGGUCUUAUGAUAUGUAAUGUGUGAAAUUUCUUUCUCAUUUUACCAUAAAGAAAAAUGUUGUAAUAAUCUAAAGCUCGAGUCUUAAAUUAUCUUAAAUUUAUAUUUAGAGUGGAGCUAUUCGCAACCCUAUAUUAAAAUUACAAUUAAAAACAAUUGAAAAUUAAACACUUAUAGAUUCUUUUUACAGCAAAUUACUUAAUUCAUAAUCAAUCCUUUAAAAAAAAAAUACAUAUGUUAUUUCUUAUCUAACUAAAAUAAAUUGUACAAAUUUAGAAUAAUCUAUUGUUCUCUUUUGAUUUCUUAUUAUUUAAAUAUUUUUAUACAUAAAGUUACUUUGAAAUUAUAAUUUGAAAUAUGUGUUAUUUCAGCCAAUGAUUAACACUAAAAAAUUUAUCACCCAUAUAACUUUUUAAUUUGUGUGUAGGGUAAUAAUAAAAUCGAAAAUAAUUAAAAAAAUAGUACAAUAAUGAUUUUUAACAAUAAAACAAAUCAAAUGAAAAUUGAAAAUUUAGAAAAGUGUAUCUAAAAAAAGGAACGUUUUCAAAAAUAAAAUGAAUAUAACUAAAAAGAGAUUUUAUGAGGAGAUCACUGGGGUGCCAAUAGUCCAACUUGUAAUUAAGAAUCUCCCAUUAUAUUGUCAACCAAAAAGACACUUGAAUAAGAAGAAGAAUUUAUCAGUUUGAUUUUAUUUGUAGAUCCAACAUUUCUCAUAUCCUGAACGCCUUUUCGUAUCAAAUUAAAACAGUAGUAGCAAAAUCGUAGUAUUAAAAUCGUAGUGCACAUUCAAUUAACCAACUAAUAGUCUUUGGUAUAAGAUUUUAUAUUAGGUAGCCAAGUAGGUUGUCCAUCCCACUCAGACAUGCACGAAAGCUAAAUUCAUCAAAUGAAUUACUUAAGAAGUAUUUGAUAAUUUUGAAAUUAUCAAAAGGUGUUAUACUAUUAAAUAUUUUUAUACUUAAAAUUGUUUUGAAAUUAUAAGUUCAAAUUAAAAUAAUAGUAGCAAAAUCGUAGUGCACAUUCAAUUAACCAACUAAUAGUCUAAGAAGCAAAGAGAGGAUUACAAGUUCACAACACCAUUACAAAGGAUUCAAAAUUCCCACACGAAUACAUCAAUGUACAGAUUAUAAACAAUCCGAAUUGGACACAAGAAAAACCCUUCAAUAGAUUGCUUGCCUUCCCAAUGCUAUAUACUGUGCAAACUGCGCAUUGGCCAAGAAAAUGUUUUCAAUUUAGUGUAUUUUCAAAAUGCUUAUUUUCUCAUAGUAUAAAAAAUAAAAAAAAUAAGAAAGAAUUCUCACAUGUUUCAUCAGCAUGAUUAAAAUCAAAGAAGAAAGCGAGACAUAAUGUCUCUGACAUAAUAAAAUUACAAAAAUUUCAAGGAAAAAAAAAGGUUAAAACAUGUAAUCUUCAGAAGCAUAUAAUAAAAGAACACUUCCACAAAUUACUACAAUUUCAUGCAGUAGAGAUUGAAGAGUUGAAUUCCACUAAUUUUAAUAAUGAAAACAACAACAGAGGAUUAACUGAUGCUUUGACUUAUUAGUUCUGCAGAGCAUCUCCAAAAGCCUAUAUAAAUUUUACUCUUCAAAUACUUAUUUGCUUACCUAUGUGGCAAAUAAAAGGGUGAAAAAAUAUGAUAUUCUCCAAAAGACUCUUCAAAUAGAAAAAAGUUAAUAUUAUUUUAAUCAUAUAAUUAAUUUUUUAAAGAAAAAGUCAAUAGCAAUUAAAGCACUUCUCUCUCUUUCUUCAAUGAAAAGUAAUAAAAUAUAAAUUGAAGAGGGAGAAAUUAACUCUCCAAAUUUGAAGAGAGAGAAUUAAUUCUUAUUUAAAGAAUCUUAAUUGAAGUGUCUUUUGGAGCUUUAAAUAUUGAUGUGGCUCUUCAAAUAAGUAAUAAAAUCUUAUUUGAAGAGCCUUUAAAUAAGGUGCUUUCAAAAGCAAAAUGGAAUACAUAGAUAAAAACAUCAUCUUAAACAAAUCACAAUCUAGAAUUAGAGCAUUUUCGACAUACCUAAGGAAAACGAAUACGUGAAAACGGGUGAUUCAUUUGUUAAGGAGUGUUGAUUUGGUCGUCUCUGCAAAUUCUUUAGGGACUCGGUUCCAAUUCCUCAUCAUCAAAACUGUAAUAUAAUUCCCCUUCAUCAGAACUCGAAUCGAUGCAAUAUAAUUCCCCUUCAUCAGAACUCGAAUCAAAUUCACUUGCAGCAGUUCCACUCGCGCUUGGCAAAUCAUCCAAUUUCCAAACUUCGGUAGCAAAAUUGAGAGUAAAAGUGUUGGCUUUGAUCUCGCUGGGAUUUGCAUAUACUGGACAUACUCCGCAACGUUUUAUCUUCUGACCCUUUUGGACCUUUAUUAUGUUUCGGUAACGCUCAUUGAAGAACUUAAGUGAGACAGUUGUAUGAUGGUAACCAUCAGGAAAGCCAACAUUCAAGCAAGGUUUAAAACCAAGUAUGACAUGAUCUGAAUCAUGGGGGUCUUUAAUAGAGUCCCAAUAGAAACUCAGAUCAACAUGUUUGGUUUCAGAGAGAGUCUUUAUUUCUAAGUCGGAUCGACAGUAAACGUAAAAAUAACGAGAACGAUCAGAAUAAAGUUGCUUAAAAUCAAGAACAGCACAAAAAGCAAACCCGAUUAAGUUUCUGCAAAAAGAGUGCGGUGGCAGUUGAAUACGUAUCGAAGAUCCUGAACUUUGAUUGCUGAACCAGUCAGGAAUUUCGCUCCCAGGUAAAACAAUUUGGGAUUCCCUGAGUUCAGAAAGUUUCUGUGAAACGACAUUUAAAAAAAGAAAAUUGUAAAAUGAAAACCAUGAUUUCAGAUAUAACAAAGAGGGACAGAGUAAACAAGAGAGGGAAUUUGAUACCUCGUUGUAUGCAUUUUCAUAGCCCAGUCUCAGUGAUGCUGCAAUUGCCAUACGUAGUGAAUCUGCCAAAAUCUUGUUGUUUGCUUUUCCAUCAAGUUUCAAGCAGUUAGUAAACCCAAAAUAAAUUGGUUGUGGCGUCACAUAUUCCGGAUGCCAUUGACGAAGGUCAGGAGAGGGUUUGGAUAGCUUUUCGAGUACGGAUGCAUCUAGUUCUUGUACACAUGACGGAAUCUCUGGCAAAGAUUGAAGCCGGUUGCAGUUCAUUGCAAUUAGUGACUGUAGACACAAUGGAAGUUCAGGUAAUGACCGAAGCAUGUUACAAUCCUCCAAGUGAAGAGUUUCUAAACCCAAUGGAAGUGCUGGUAAUGACUGAAGCAUGUUACAACGCCACAAGUGAAGAGUUUCUAGACCCAAUGGAAGUUCUGGUAAUGACUGAAGUAUCUUACAAUCCCUCAAUUCAAGAAAUUUUAGGCCCAAUGGAAGUUCUGGUAAUGACUGAAGCAUAUUACAAUCCUCCAAGUAAAGAUAACUUAGCCACGACAGUUGCUUGAUACUUGCAGGUAAACUCUCAAAGUUAUUUCCAUUUAAAUUGCCAAUGUUAUCCGGCAACUUAUCAAGUACAGAGCAACCACUUACGGACAAAAGUACAAGCCCCGUUUGCAAUGCCUCAAAUCCAACUUUUCAAGAUCAGUUAGGCACUCUACUGAUGAUGGAACUUCUUCUAUUGCAGUCUGGCCCAAGUUUAGCGAUGUUACUUUCCCAGAAAUCUGUGGAAACUCUAUGAGAUUAACACAAUAGGAGAAAUCAAUAGUUACUGGACAAACAAAAUGAAGAUUGCUAGGAAAAGACCUAAGACUUUUGCAGCCCAUAAAAUCCAACCUACUGAGAUACUUGAAAUUCUGGAUAUAUGAGGGAACACAAGCCAAGUUUGUAUAAUCCAAAAGAUAUGUUUCAACAUUUGGGGUUUCUAAUGGGCCUGGCAUCUUAAUGAAAUGUCGAGAAUGGCUGAGGUUAAUAGAUUUUAACUUGAAAGCUUCCUGCAAUAACAGAUAUAUAAAGACUAUAUUAAUUAAAAAGCAACAUUGAAUUCAACAAUUAAUUGCACGUAUAUUUAAAGAAAGAAAAAAUUAAUGUUUUAGUUUUAGUACAGAACUUACCUUUUCUCCUUCCCAAAGUUGCUCAACUUUACUAAAACGCAAAUUCAGUUCAACAAGGUUCUUUGGCUUGAAAUUUGAUGGCAGUGUCCUUAAGGGAUAUGUGUCCCAAUGAAGAUAUCUCAAUUUUUUAGGAAGAUAAUCUAGGCCAUUUGGAAGCUGCACUUUAGAGUAUGAAAGUUGCUCUUCAAUGCUCAUACUUAGAAACUUUUCAAUCUCAGGUACAUAAAAUUUGAGCAAUCUUAGAUUAGACAUUUUUGUGAAGGCUCCAGGGUCUAAAUUGAUGCCUUUUAUUUUGGACAAAUCCAGAAAUAUGCCUUCAAUUGCAUCGGUCCCCUUAUUAAAAAAAAAAACAAAGAAUGAGUAACCCUAAAACAGAAAAGAAACAUUCGCAAACUUUAUUAACUAAGAACUCCUUAAACAAAAACAAAUUCUGCAAUCUUUGAUUUUAUUUUUUAAAAAUAUUAAAUAUCUAUAUAUGAGAAAAGAAAAUUUUGGGGACCAUUGCAAAAUUAAACUAACCAAAAAAAAAAUUCAAAAUUUCUCUAAUUUACAAACCUGUUAUCUUAAUAUCUAGAAGUUGAGAAGACAAGGCGUAUUUGAUUGGUAUAAGAUUUCGAUUUUUUUUUUAGUCCAUAGAAUCCAAAAUGUUUGUUCAAAAUCAGGGAAAAAAACGAAAGUUAUUUUUUUUUCCACUAGCUGUAAUUGUAUCCAAGUCAAAUUGAGAUACGACCCUUUUCGAAAGGAUUUAAUCAUCUUAUAGCCUCCUUAAGAUACAUUUAAGCUAAAAGGAGUGAUUGGAGGCAGAACUUAGUGGGCCAAUCAGUUCAUUUUAUUAGCGACUGUUGCUUAAAAAAAAUUAUACUCUAAAACACACUUACUUUUUUGAAAAAAAAUAUAAUUAUAUUUAAGUAGAACCAGGUGGGCCAAUCCUCAUGGCACUCACUUUGUUCUGACACUCUUCACUAAAUUUGAAGAAAAAUAAAAUUAUACUCUUCACACUCUUAUUCAACAUUCCAAAAUUGAUAAAAUCUGGAGUUUUCUUUAAAAUUUUAAAAUUUGAAGACUUGUUCUCUUGACACCCUCAGUCAUUAAUUUUACCUAAUUAUGGUUUUGGUUGUUUUGUUCAUAAAAAUGCUUUUACUAAAGGAUGUUCUGGUAAUGAAAAAAUUUAUAAAAAAACAAACAUGGGUGUGCUGAUAUAGUUGGAAAAAUAUGAGUGCAUAACUCCAAACAAAUAAAAGAUACAUAAAAAAAAAAAAGGAGGAUUCUUACCAUAUUAUGCUUUAGUACGCGGCGGAUUUCCUUAGGAUCCCACAACCUACUGCGUCUGCCUGGCUCUUCCUCAGAUUCUUGGCGAACAAUCUCUCGGCCCAUUUCUUGCAAUAAAUCAUGCAUUUGCAAGCAGUUAUCUGACACUGUUAUAAGUGACUUGUCCACGAGGACAUCCAGUCUGUGAGACCCAGAAUCAUCAAGUAUCCUUAACACAAAAUCUUUAUCCUCUCCCUCAAGGAAACACGCAAUAUCUAGAAACAUACUCUUCACCCUGGGCGUUAAUUCUUUAAAACUAAUCUUUAAUGUAUCAUAAAUACCAUGAAUAUCAGAUUCACAAAUCCGAUUUAAGUCGUCCAAUACAUUUUCCCAAUGGCUUUUCCCCUUGAGAUACAGGGAGGAACCCAACACUUUAAGAACUAAUGGAUUGCCAUCGGCAUACCAUACAACCCUCCAUGAGUGCCGGUAGAGAUCUUCAGGACAAUGAUUUUCUUUAACAGCGAAGUUACAAAAAUGCUCGAAAGCCUCAUCAAAUUUCAAUCCAUUGACCCUAUAUAUUUUCUCCACUCCAAAUUUUUCGAGGACUCGUUUAUCCCUGGUGGUUACAACAAUUCUACUUCCUGGACCAUAUUGAUCAAGCCCUCCAAUCAAACCCUCUAAUUGUUCAUCUUUAUUCACAUCAUCGAGUACAAUCAACACCUUCAUGCGUCGGACCCUCCCUUUAGUAAAUUGUGGAAUAUUGGGACCAGCUACUUCAAGUUUUUCACUUAAUAUUGUCGAAAGCAUUUCCUUUUGUAGGUCUUCUAGGCCACCCUCUGUUUCUGAUUUUCUCCUAACAUUUUUUGCAAAGUAUUUACCAUCAAACUCACCAGAGAAUUGAUCGAAAAUAGCUUCAGCAAGGGUAGUUUUGCCUAUACCACCCGUGCCCCAAAUUCCAACAAUAUGGACAGUAUCCCACAAAUCCAUACACAGAAAUGGUUUAAUCUGCUCAAUUCGUGAAUUUAAUCCAACUAGGCCAUUGGAUGAGUCCGUUGAGACUGUUAUUUUUUCCAACUUCUUCAAAACAUCAUCGACAAUUUUGUUUACAAGUUCCGCAUCGUGCCUAAUAUAAAGGUGCAAAGAUGCAAAAACAUUGAGUCAAAUCGGGCCAAGACAGAAACAGAGAAAAGAUGAAUUAGGAAAGAGAGUUACCUGAAUUUCGUGGAUUCAUGGCCGGCUAGAUGGGAUGUUUCUGUCAGUGCAUCCCUCCACUUCUGAACCAUUUCUGGUUUAUCUUCGAACUGUUUUUUGAGCUCAUCAAAACGGUCUCCAAAUGUUCCGUUUUGAUGCCGCACAUCAGAUGGACUUACUCCAUAGAAGACUGGAAUAAUAAUUUGGCCGUUUGUGUUCUUGCAUUCAAGAAUCUUGACAAGUUCAUUCAGGCACCAUUUUGAAGAAGCGUAGUCCUUUGAGAAAAUGACCACCGAAAUUUUUGAACCUUGGAUUGCGUUCAAAAGGGCGGGUGAAAUCUCAUCUCCUCGCCUAAGCUCUUCAUCAUCAAUAAAUGUUUUGAUUUUUUUUCCUUCAUACAAUUUAUCAUAAAGAUAGCAAGUAAAGCUCUUACGAGUGUCCUCCCCUCUAAAGUUGAGGAAGACUUCAUAAUUGCAAGAAGAAGAAGAGGAAGCCAUGAAGGAAAUUCUAGAAAUUUGAAAGUAGAUUUAGGGAAUUAUAAAAAGCUGAAGGAAAUUGGAAUUUUGUACAGUUUCUCCAGCGAGGAACUUUCACCUCCGCACUAGAUUCUUAAGUUUUGAAAAUUAUGAGACCUUUAUAUUGGAAGAUAUUAUAAUCGAAUCAAAACUUAAAAUUUUAAUAUUGUUAAUCUUUAAUCUUUAAAAAAAAAUUACCUCGCCGUUACAGUUUGGAUUAAGAUUUGAGCAAGCAUUUACCUAAAUUUUAUCUCCGCCUGUAAAUUCUUAUGUUUUAAAAAUUAUGAGACCUUUAUAUUGGGAGAUAUUAUAAUCGAAUCAAAAUUUUGAAUUUCAAUAUUAUUAUUCUUUUAAAAAAAAAAUUGAGAUAACAGAGUGAUUGAUAAUAUAGGAGAACUUGUCUAGGCAAGCACAUGCAUACACAGAAAUGUGAUGGAUUCAAAAAGAAAUUAAAGUGAUAAUGUACGUGGAUCCUUAAAAUAAAAAGCGAAAUCGCUUGGUGGCCCAGUAAAAUUAGAGAACAAAGAAGAAUUAGUUAUUGAUAUACAAAAGAGAAACACUCCAAAAUUUCAAGCAAAAAUAGUUUCAUAUACCAUUUCAAUUUUGUAAGGGGUGAGGUUUUGAAUUUCAAUAGUUUCCUCUAAAAUCAAAAGGCAACAAUUAAGUUAGAAAGAGCAAAGAAGACUUAUUAGUACCUUAUUAAAGGUAACAUUAUGGAACUUUCAAUUUCAUUACCUCACUCUUCAAUUUUUAUUGAGAUUUGUGCAAGAAUUUACCUAAAUAUUACCUAAAAUUGAGAUAUCAGAGUAAUAUCAAAUAGAAAAACUUGCCACGGUAAGCCAAAAGUCUAGUCAACCACAUGCAUAAAGCUAAAUAGAACAACUAACAAGAGAACAGAGAAACGCGUGGGUCCCUAAAAGAAAAGGCAAGCACAUAGAUGAAAAAGCCAUUACAUUUCGAUUUUACAUGUCAUUAAUUUCUGUAACACGGUGUGUGGCAGCAUAUGCACAAUCAAGUGAGGCAAAAGGGAUUCGAUUAUCGUGGCAGAACAUGAACGAGGACGCGUGAUGAAUAAUUCCUUCGAUAAAACGAAAAACAAACGCAGAGAAAAGAAUUUCUUAUAUGACAAGAAAUCAAAGAAAUCAAAGUAAUGUUUCAUUUUCCCUUCCCUACCUUUUUUUUGUUUUAUUUUUAUAGCAAAGAAUUAUAUCAUGAAAAGAAUCAAUUUAAUCACCUUUUCUAGCAGCACAAUUUUUCUUUUAUAAAAUUUGACCAGGGAGACAAAGAAUAAUUAUUCAUACCUUCAUCACUAAGGAAAUACUUUUCGGUAUGGCUAAGGUGAGAAAAGGCUUUCCACAAAAACUUGUACUUUGUAUUCCUGUAAAUUUUCUUUAAAGUCAAUAAAAACCAUAAGUUCUUUACAAUAACCAUCUCUUUGAUAAAAAAGUGCCGUAUUCCUUUAGAAUUUAAAACCGGCAAAACUGAAUCAGUGUCUUUGAAGAGACAUAAUGGUCGUAAUUCUUUAAAUGAGUUGGCUAUGGAAAUCGUUAUCCAAGAUUCUUUUACGCCAUAUUCUUUCGUAAACCAAAAUUCAUUUUGGAAUACUCUGUUGAGAAUGUCAAAUAAAACGGCAUUGAAGGAAGUUUUCAAAGGCAGAAUCUGCACUUGUCAGAUGGAUGAUCUGCACUUGUCAAAGACACAAUCCGCGUCGAACGAAUCGACACAUUUCCUUUCGUAUUCACAUAUGCAAUUUUUGAAAAAAUGUAGCUUUUACAUCUAUAAAUAACACUCAGUGUAUAAUGUUUUAUUCAAGAAAAGAAAACAAGUUUCUUCAUGGUAUCAGAGCCAUGAAUACGCUCAAGUUUCUUCAAGUUUCGCUGCUCUGUUUGUAACAAAAACAGAGAAAACCAAAAUCUUCCCACAACCAUUUUUUCCACCAUUUUCUUCCUUAAAAUCAUUCCUACCAUUAUAGAAAUCCAUGCCGAUCAAAAAACAAGCCACCCAUACGUAAAAAACUUGAGUUUACAAAUUUAUCAACAAUCUCAUAAAUUAGAUACAAAACAACGUGAUGUUAAAUCUCCAGAACUGCAGCAGUCUUAAAACGACAUGUCGUUUCUAUUCCAUCAGAACCGACAUAUCAUUUCUUUAAGCAGAGGCCAAACGACUUGUCGUUUUUUUUUUUAUCUAAAAAAGUUAUUUUUUCUUAUUUCAAUCUAGACGCCAAAAAAAAAACAAAAAAAUGGAGAAAACUCCAACUGAAUCUGAUCCUGUUGUCAUUCAAUCUGUUCAAUCUGAUGAGUAUUUAAUGUUGGAAUUAUCUUCACUGAGACAAACUACGAUAUUUGGUCUUAAAUAAUGGAGUUGCAUCUCGCAGAAAGAGAAAAACUCUCAUAUAUUUGUAGCAACACAAAGUCAUCUGAGGAAUCUUCAAAGGAAUAUGAGAAAUGGUAUAGUGAGAAUGAAAAGGUAAAAAAAUGGUUACUCAUAUCCAUGUCUCUGGAUAUCAUGAAGUGAUAUUUACGAAUUCCUACAGCCUACGAAAUAUGGGAUGCAUUAUCAAAAGCCUUCUAUGAUGGAAUCGAUGAAUUACAAGUUUUCACUCUAAACCAGAAGGCGUCUCUACCAAGAAAAAUUGACAGCCACUAUCUAAAUUCUACGGAGAAUUGAUCGAAAUAUUUUGAGAACUUGAUCACCGAGAUAAAGUGAUCAUGAAGGAUCCAGAAGAUGUUGUAAUAUACAAAAGGUCUGUUGAAAGAUUGAGAGUUCACAUUUUUCUUGUUGGGCUAGAUGAAGAAUUUAACCAAGUUCGUGGAGAAAUUCUAUGAAAAGAUAUUAUCCCAGACUUAGAAGAAUGUUAUUCUUUGAUCUGAAGAGAAGAUGUACGGCAAAACAAACUAAACAAGAAGGUCGACUCAGAAACGUUUGCUAUGAUAGCACGACAACAGCCUCAAAGGAAGCUUGUUGACAAGUCAUCACUCCAUUGCACUCAUUGUAGGAAGAAGGGUCAUAUGAAAGCACAAUAUUUUGAAAUCAUUUGAUAUCCUGACUGGUGGGAUACUUGAAAGAAAAACAUCAAGCAGGGAUAAAAAACUGCAGUAGCUGAAUCCACAUCCACUACAGAUCUUAGAAAAGAAUCUUCAGUGCAAAUCGCAACCUCUGUUAGUCCAGGUAAGGCCCUUAAAACUCUUAUACUUGUUAUUAAUAGUACAUGGAUAAUUGAUUCUGGGGCAACUGAUCAUAUGACUUUUGAUUCUCGACAAGUUUCUCAAUUGAUACCAUCUUCACAAAAACAUGUUUCCACUCCAAAUGGAACCACAACCUUAGUUAUUGGGGAAGGAUCUUUACGACUCACAUAUAAAUUAAAUUUAGACUCUGUGUUAAUUGUUCCAUCUUUAGAUUAUAAUCUUUUAUCUGUGUCUCAAUUAACCACUUACUUAUCAUGUGUUGUAAUUUUUUGGCCUGAUCAUUGUGUGUUUAAAGACAUCCAAACGAAGCAAACGAUUGGUUAUGGUAUUAGACGGGGCCACUUGUACUAUUUGGAGAUGACAUCAACAAACACUGGAAAGCUAAGCCCUGCACUAGUCGCAGAUAGUUCCAUAAAAAAAAGGAAAUCAGAAAUUUGGUUAUGGCAUAGACGUUUAGGGCAUGUGUCAUUUGGUUACUUAAAAAAAUUAUUUCCUAGUUUAUUUCUGAAAUUUGAUAUUUGUAACUUUAAAUGUGAUGUUUGUGAACUUUUAAAAAGUCAUCGAACUACUUUUCCAUUGUCCUUAAAUAAGAAUCAAGUUCCUUUUAUGGUAGUACAUUCUGAUGUAUGGGGGCCAUCGAAAGUUUCUACAAUUGGAGGUGCUCGUUGGUUUGUUACAUUUAUUGAUGAUUGUAGCAGAAUGACAUAGAUUUUUCUGAUGAAAUCGAAAGACGAAGUAAACUCUUUAUUUUAAAGAUUUCAUAAGAUGGUGACGACUCAAUUUCAGACACAAAUUCGAGUUCUACAUACUGAUAAUGGAGGCGAGUAUAUGAGCACAACAAUUCAACAGUUUCUGAAAUCACAAGGAACUGUCCAUCAAACCACUUGUGUGGGGACACCCCAACAAAAUGGCAUUGUUGAACGAAAAAACAGACAUUUACUAGAAGUUGUUCGAGCAUCACUAAUCCAGGCCCACAUGCCACUAUCUUAUUAGGGAGAAGCACUGGCAUCCGCAGCAUACUUGAUCAAUCGAACACCUUCAAGCUCCCUUGGAUUCCAGACUCUUUUCCAGGUUCUAAAUGAUGCAAUUAUGUCACCAAAUGUGCCGAAUUUACCCCCACAUGUGUUUGGCUGUGUUGCCUUCGUUCAUUUGCCGCAACAAGACAAAUUAUCUCCUCGAGCACUACGUUGUGUGUUUGUAGGGUAUGCCUUACAGCAAAAGGGAUACCGAUGAUAUGAUCCACCAUCAAGAAAAAUAUACAUCACCAUGGAUGUCGUCUUUCAUGAAGAUAUCAUAUACUACUUGUCAAAGCCUGAAUUUCAGGGGGAGUAUAAUGAAGAGGAAAUUCAUAAUCUUAUAUAUCUUCCACCUAAAGAAGAUCAAUCUUCCAUUGAGGUUGUAAACCUUCAAGAUACUGGAAAAGAAAAUGGUGGUGAUUCUCAGGCUGAGAUAAGUGAAGACACAUUUGGGGAGCAAAAUAACUUAGACACAACUGCAAUCGAGAAUGAGUCACAUGAAGAAAUACCUAACUAAUCGUCUGCAGAGGAUGUUCCUACCACAAGUCCUAGUCUAGUCAGAAGAAUUCUUCCUCAGCGUCAAAAUAGAGGUAUCCCUAAACCCACAUAUGAGCCCGACCUUUCUAGUAGAGUCAAAUACCCUAUGAUUUAUUUUGUGUCUAACCAUCGCUUGUCAGAAUCAAAUCAGUCAUUUGUGAAUCAAUUAUCUACUGUAUCUAUUCCUAAUAGUGUGCAGGAAGCCUUAAAAGACCCAAAGUGGAAAGCGACUAUGAAUGACGAAAUGUGAUCUCUUCAAAAAAAUCAAACAUGGGAACUAGUUGAUCUUCCACCUGGAAAGAAACCAGUGGGUUUCCGAUGGAUCUACACUAUAAAGUACAAAGCAGAUGGCUCUAUUGAACGAUACAAAGCAAGGCUCGUAGCUAAGGGUUACACCCAAACCUACGGGAUAGAUUAUGCCAAUAUGUUUGCACCGGUAGCAAAAAUUAAUACUAUUCGUAUCUUAUUAUCAUUAGCAGUCAACUUGGAUUGGCCAGUGUAACAGUUCGAUGUAAAGAAUGCUUUCCUCCAUGGAGACCUGUCUGAAAAAAUUUAUAUGGAUAUGCCACCAGGAUGUAGUGGACCAGAACGACUCAAUCAGAAAGUAUGCAAAUUGAAGAAAUCAUUGUAUGGGUUGAAGCAACCCCUAAGAGCAUGGUUCGGGAAAUUCACAAAGGCUAUGGUUCUUUUUGGGUAUAACCAAAGCAAUUCAGAUCAUACCUUGUUCAUUAAAAAAUGACAAGGUAAAAUCACUGCCCUCAUUUUCUAUGUGGAUGAUAUGGUAGUCAUAGGUAACGACGGGGAAGCAAGAGAGGCUCUUCAGAAGUACUUGUCGAGAGAGUUUGAGAUGAAGGAUUUAUGAGCCUUAAAAUACUUUCUUGGAAUUGAGGUUUCUCGAUCUAAGGGAGGAAUUUUCCUGUCUCAAAGGAAAUAUGCUUUAGAUCUAUUAAACGAAACGUGAAUGACAGCUUGUCAGCCUAUUGACACCCCAAUAGAAGAAGGACUGAAGUUUUGUAUUACCUCAGACUAAGUUCCAGUAGACAAAGGAAGAUAUCAAAGGCUGAUUGGAAGAUUGAUGUACUUGUCCCACACAAGGCCAGCUCUUGCUUAUGCAUUGAGUGUUGUAAGUCAGCUUAUUCAUAAUCCCGGAGAACAACACAUGAAAGCAGUAAUGCGGAUCCUAAGGUACCUGAAGUCAAAUCCAGGAAAAGGAAUCCUAUGUUCCAAAAAUGGAGAUUACAGCAACAUAGAAGUUUAUACUGAUGCAGAUUGGGCCCGGUCAGUUAGUGAUAGACGCUCUACCUCAGGAUACUUUACCUUAGUGGGAGGCAACCUUGUCACAUGCUGCUUCACUUGCUGCCAAUCCAGUUCAUCAUUCAAGAACAAAACAUAUAGAGAUUGAUGUUCACUUUGUGAGAGAUAUAAUUUCCAACGGCGGAGUGGAAGUAAGAUAUGUCCCUACUGAAUAUCAGCCUGCAAACAUCUUCACAAAAGCUCUUCCUGCUGAUAUGUUUCAACAGUUGCGAGACAAGCUACAUAUUCUUCCUAGAACAUUGCGCUUGAGGGGGCAUUAUGAAAAUAUUGUAGCAGAGCUACCAAACUUGAGUAAUACGAAUUCAAAGUUGUUAGAUGACAUGGCAGCACACUUGGCAUUCAUUGGUGUUUUGGAAAGUUAAAGUGAUCAACCUUAUCUCUUAGCUUAUCAUUAAUUCAAGCUGCACUUUUGUAUUUAUCAAGAUCAAGAUAAAGAUAACAAUUGUGCUAGGCUUGAUCUUAUUCUUGGCAUUAUCGUGUUUCCUGUAGAGCAUUAUAAAUGUAAUGAUUAUGAGAUGAAUAAAAUAACGAAAAUGUGUUUUGUUUCUUCUUUAAGCUCAUCUUUAUAAUUUAAGUUGGUAUCAGAGCAUGGCGAGCUCCAAUUCUGCGAAAUUAGUCAAUAUGAAUACUGUAAACCAAACACCACAAAUUUCUAAUUUUUUGACUCCUGUCAAAUUGGAUAGGCAAAAUUUUAUGAUAUGGAAGUCUCAAGUGCUACCUUCCAUUCGUGGUAACAAUCUUGAAAGCUUGAUCAAUGGAGCAAAACUUGUACCCACUAAAUUCUUGGUGCAAGUAGAAGAGGAUCAAACAGUAACGACUGUGGAAAAUCCAGAAUAUAUACAAUGGCUGAGACAAGAUCAGCUUUUACUUAGUUGGCUUUUGUCCACUAUGACUGAAUCAGUUUUAAGCAUAGUGGUGCAGUAUACAACCUCUUUUGAGGUUUGGAAUGCCUUGAAGACAUUGUUUGCAUCUCAGUCAAAGGCUAGAAUUUUGUAGCUCAAGAUGCAACUCCAAACCACGAAAAAGAAUGCUAUGACCAUGAGUGACUAUGUCAACAAAAUGAAAAAUUUAGCUAAUAGCCUGGCAAUGGCUGGAAAAUAUGUUACUGAAGAUGAUUUAAUUUCUUAUAUUCUUGCAGGUUUAGGAACUAAAUACGACCCUGUGGUUGUAAAUAUUACAGCAAGAACAAAUGAUUUAUCUCUGCCUGAAGUAUCCUCUCUUUUGCUCAAUCAUGAAAGUCGAAUGGAACAACUCUCAGCUGCUGCAAAUCUUGAGUCUAAAGGCAGUUUUAAUGCAAAUUUUGCAGGAGCUUCUUUUCACAAAAGGAAAGUUAUAAGAAAAGGCUUUAUGUCAGGAAGUUUAUGAGGCAAUGAACGUGGUAGAGGCAAAGGAAGAACCAAUUUUAGCCGUGGUGGAAAUAGGCCAACCUGUCAGAUAUGUGGCAAAUAUGGACAUUCAGGAUAUCAAUGUUUCUUCCGCUUUGAUCGGGGGUUCUCUGCAAGACAAGAGGCAACACAAGCAGGUCAAGCCUCUGCCUAUAUGGCACUCCCUGCUGAAGAAAUAGAUAAUGGAUGGUAUUUGGACAGCGGAGCAACACACCAUGUUACAAAUGAUUUAAACAAUCUGCAGAUUAAGUUAGAAUUUAAGGGAGGUGAGAAGCUGGUAGUAGGUAAUGGUAAAACUUUAGCAAUAUCUCACAUUGGCAGUGCACUUAUUUAUAUUCCAAACCAUGAACCAUUGUUGCUUAAUGACAUUUUAUAUGUGCCCAAAAUCACCAAGAACUUAAUUAGCAUUUCAAAAUUACUUUCUGAUAAUAAACUAAUGCUUGAUUUCUGUGACAAUGUUUGUACUCUUAAGGACAAAGUUCUGGGGAAGAAGCUGCUGCAGCGAAAAAUUGAAAGAGGCUUAUAUCGGCUACCAGUGCUUUCAAGACAAGCCAUUCUAUCUGAUUCAAAAAUUAUUUCCAAUAAAUCUUAUUAGUCUUCUCUUCCAUUUAGCUGUUUCAAUUCUAGCUCAACAAUAAGUUCUGUAAAUGAACAAGAAUUUAUUUCCAAUUCCAAGCCUAGCAGUUUUAUAAAUCUUUUGCACAGAAGGAUGAGACAUCAUCAUCUUGCUGUACUAAAACAAAUUCUACCUUUGUGUAACAAAACAAGUCAGUUAAAUAAAAAUCUCAUUCCUCAAUUCUGUGAUGCAUGUCAACAAGGAAAAAGUCAUAGGCAAACUAUCAAAGCAUCAAAUAGUAGAGCUUCAGAACCUUUAGAAUUAUUGCAUCUUGACUUGUGGGGGCCUGCACCUUUAAUGUCUAGAAAUGGCUACAAAUAUUAUUUGAGUAUUGUAGAUGACAACACACGUUUUACAUGGAUAUUUCCACUUAAAGUUAAAUUACAAGCGUUUGAAGCUUUUAAGUAUUUCAAAGUUCAAGCCGAAAAACAAUUAGGAAAGAAAAUCAAAAGUUUACAAACUGACGGUGGAGGAGAGUUUCAAGCAUUUACAAUUUUUUAAAAGAACAGGGUAUUAUUCACUGACUUUCUUGCCCACACACGCAUCAUCAAAAUGGUAGAGUGGAGCGAAAACACCAACAAAUUGUAGACACUGGUUUAACACUUUUGGCAUAGGCUGGCAUGCCACUCACUUUUUGGUGGGAUGCUUUUCAAACAUCUGUUUAUUUAAUUAAUAGAAUGCCUACUUCCAUCUUAGAAAACAAAUCACCAUUUCAAAUACUUUAUGAUGAAGAAUAGGAAUCAAUAUUAUACUAGGAUUAGUUUCCUUAUUAACUAAAGUUUAAGACUUUUAAAUUCCUUUCUAAUUUAGAAUUUUGUUUCCCUUUCAAUUUAGGAUUUUGUUUUACUUCAUGAAUUAGGAUAAUUAUUACUACUAUAAAUAGCUCCCUCUUGUAGCCUUUAAAGGCAGAGAAUUUUGAGUUUAAUAAUAUUUCAAUUUUCAAAUCUCUUUGUGAGUAUUUGAACAGUUAAUUCUCGGUAUUCUGCGAAAUCAACGAGUCUUAAAUCCCUAAGUUCGCGGUAUUCUUUUGAAUCAACAUGAAUUUAGUUGUUCUUUUAUUCUGGUAUUCUCUAGAAUCAACGGAAUAUUUUGAAUAUUAAACUUCCACUGCAUCACUUUACAAGAAAAUACCUGAUUAUUCUUUUCUAAAAGUUUUUGGAUGUGCUGUAUUUCCUCAUCUUCGAGAUUACAACAAACAUAAAUUAGAUUUUUGAUCAGAUAAAUGUAUAUUUUUAGGCUAUAGUACAGCUCAUAACGGGUAUAAGUGUCUCCACAAGUCAGGAAAAAUUUUUGUAAUGCGACAUGUUGUCUUUAAUGAAUAUGAUUUUCCUUUUAAAAGUGAUCCCUCCUUCAAAAUCUCAAAGAGUUAUCCAAAUCAUGAUUCUAGUACUCUCUUUCAGUCUCCUAUGUUUGCAGGUUUUGAAAGUCCUAGAGCCUAUAAGACUCUCUCGGUUAUUCAUGCAACAGACUCUCUACUAGAGUUGGUUCAUAACACAAUAGUUAUAGAUCAGGCAUCAAGUCAAGAUGAGGAAACCAAUUUUGAAUCCAACACCAAAAGCCCACCUGGAAAAGCCAACCUUGAAUCAAGCACUGAAAUCCAAGCAACUGAAAACACCACACAAUCUUUAUCUAUCCCCGCGUUUAUCAAUCAAGAAGCCGAUCACACAAUCUCUCAACCACCUAGUUCAACUCCUCAUUCUCAACAGCCAACACAUACACAAUCCACUCAUCCAAUGAUCACUCGUGCCAAGGCCGGCAUCUUUAAACCCAAACCUAGACUUUACCUAACAACCUCUCAUACCAAAAUAAGUGUACAUGCCAGUGUUAGUGAAGCUUUGGAAGAUCACAAUUGGCGUAAUGCUAUGACAGAAGAAAUGAAUGCUUUGGCUAGGAAUAACACACGGUGUUUAGUUCAACCUACUUCUGACAUGAAGAUUGUGGGAAAUAAAUGGGUUUUUCGGAUAAAACAAAAGGCUGAUGGUUAGAUAGAGCGAUAUAAGGCUCGGUUGGUUGCAAAAGGAUUUCAUCAGACCCCAGGAAUCGAUUUCAACGAGACUUUUAGUCCUGUUGUUAAAGUUGCAACAAUUCGAUUGGUGUUAAGUAUUGCUGUGAUGAAAAAUUAGGGUGUAAUACAACUGGAUGUGAACAACGCCUUUUUAAAUGGAGACUUAGUAGAAGAUGUUUACAUGAUGCAGCCUGAAGGCUUUAUCAACAAAGCACAACCAAAUCAUGUGUGUAAAUUGAGAAAAGCAUUGUAUGGGCUUAAGCAGGCUCCAAGAGCUUGGUUUGAAAAACUCAAGAGAGCAUUGAGUGACUGGGGUUUCACAAAUUCUAAAUUAGACACAUCACUAUUUAUUUUGCAGCAAGGAAGGGAUAUAAUAUUUGUCCUUAUUUAUGUGGACGAUAUUUUAAUAACAGGAAGUAAAGAAAGUUUGGUGCAAGAAGUUAUUGAACGACUUAAUUGUCAGUUUGCUUUAAAAGUGCUCGGACCAUUAAGCUAUUUCCUUGGUCUUGAAGCUCAUCGCACAGAGAAUGGCCUACAUCUUAGCCAACACAAAUAUAUUUGUGAUCUCUUGAAGCGCACAGAUAUGGAUGGCUGCAAGGAAACAUCUACUCCUAUGAGUGUAGUACCGAAACUUUCAGCUGAAGGUGGUAAGCAAUUUUCUGAUCCUACACUUUAUCGUAGCAUCGUUGGAGCCUUAUUAUACGUAACUAUUACUCGGCCUGAAAUUUCUUAUGCUGUUCAUCGUUUAAGUCAGUAUAUGCAAAAUCCUUUACAGCCGCAUUGGCUUGGGUGUAAAAGAAUCCUUAGAUAUUUACAAGGAACAGCUGAUUAUGGAAUUUAUUAUACUACCAAAGGAAGAAUGACGCUCACAGGCUAUACAGAUGCAGAUUGGGCAAACAAUAUUGAUGAUAGAAAAUCAACUGGAGGCUACUGUAUUUAUCUUGGCAAUAACUUAAUCUCAUGGAGUUCAAAGAAACAAAAUGCAGUAGCAAGGUCUUCAACUGAGUCAGAGUAUCAAGCACUUGCAAAUACCACAGCAGAAAUUUUAUGGCUUCAAUCUGUGCUUAAAGAGUUGCAGGUGCCACUAACUGAAAUUCCAAUUAUUUGGUGUGACAACACUGAAGCUGCUUCACUUGCUGCCAAUCCAGUUCAUCAUUCAAGAACAAAACAUAUAGAGAUUGAUGUUCACUUUGUGAGAGAUAUAAUUUCCAAAGGUGGAGUGGAAGUGAGAUAUGUCCCUACUGAAUAUCAGCCUGCAGACAUCUUCACAAAAGCUCUUCCUGGUGAUAGGUUUCAACAGUUGCGAGACAAGCUACAUAUUCUUCCCAGAACAUUGCGCUUGAGGGGGCAUCAUGAAAAUAUUGUAGUAGAGCUACCAAACUUGAGUAAUACGAAUUCAAAGUUGUUAGAUGACAUGGCAGUACACUUGGUAUUCAUUGGUGUUUUGGAAAGUUAAAGUGAUCAACCUUAUCUCUUAGCUUAUCAUUAAUUCAAGCUGCACUUUUGUAUUUAUCAAGAUCAAGAUAAAGAUUACAAUUGUGCUAGGCUUGAUCUUAUUCUUGGCAUUAUCGUGUUUCCUGUAGAGCACUAUAAAUGUAAUGAUUAUGAGAUGAAUAAAAUAACGAAAAGGUGUUUUGUUUCUUCUUUAAGCUCAUCUUUAUAAUUUAAGUAAAGGGACUUUUGCAUAGCCUCUGGUGUGUGUGUGAUUUCUCUUUCGUUUCCUCAUCAAAUUCUGUAAUUCUUGCUUCGAUAAAAAGCUUUUAAUCUCUUCUGUAGUGUGUGAUCAGUGCGUAAUCAUUUUGAGCAAUAACAGCUUGUGGGUUUUUCCUUCAAACAGUGUCGUUUUGGUCAGUUUGUUAGUUUCUGUGUUCGUCUGAUUCCAUUGCUCUUGUUCUCUGUUCUUGAUCUGUUCGUGGAAUUUUUCUUUGGUUAUUUGUUCUCAAAUUUCAACUGUAUAUAAAGUUUGAACUCUGAUUGCUUAUAAUGUAUUGAUUAAGAAUAAUCCUAAGAGUUCCCGAUUGAAAUUUUUAAUGACUAUUUUUAUUGUUUUGGAUAUACAAAUUGAAUUAAGAAAAAAUAUUGUCAAAUUCAGAGGAUAAGGGGAAAUAAUUAUGCUUCAAAAGGCCAGAGAUUAGAGAAUAAAGAAGCAUUCAUUACUCUAUCAAAAAAAAAAAAAAAAAAAAAGCAUUCAUUACUGAUAUACAAACUGCUUUUAUUUGGAUUUUGGAAGGGGUGAAGUUUUGAACUUCAGUUGUUCCUCUAAAAUCAAAAGCAGCAAUUAAGCGUUCUCAAUUAGAAAGAGCUAAGAAGACUUAUUGGUACCUUACUGAAGCUAACAUUAUGGCACAGUUGUUCAUAUAUAAUGGCUGCUCUGUUAUGCUAGCUUCUCUGUUUUUGCUUCUAUUUUUGCUUACAGUUUUGAACAUAAAUUCUUGCUCAAAUAACCCAUAAUUAAAUAACACUAAUAUGGCUCGUGAAAUCCCAUAAUAGCUAAUUACGCAACUUUCUCCUCCUCCUCAAUUCUGUCUUCCCCUGCUCGUACACUAAAUUCAAAAUUCAAUGCCCCGAAAAACAACACAAGAAAUCUUUGAGUUAAUUCGCGACCAGUUUAUAUAUAGUAGCAAUUGAAAAAGGAAAAAGAAUAAAAGAGUUCAUUAUUAUUCAGACCUUCACUUAUUAGGAAGUUUGUUCUGCUGUUGGGUGAGAUCAAGCUCUCAGCAUAUACUUCCACAUUAUACUUUCUAACAUUUUCUUGAAAGCCAUCAAUCAUAAAAUCUUCAUACUUUUUUCCAUCCUUUGGAUCAAUAAGUACAAAUUUCUCAUCUAAAACAGACAAAAUAAAAUCACUGUCCUUCAUGGAACAUAAUGGCUGCAAUGCCUGAACUGAAUUGGCUAAUGAAAUUUGAGUCCAGGAUUCUCUCAGCCCAUAUUCUUUCAUAAUCCAAAAUUCUUUUCUUUCUCGACAUGGAACAUAGUCUUCUUUUCUUUCUGGACAUAUGUCUCUGUACUUUUCUCUCUCUACUGAUCCACACUUUUUCAUACUUCUAACUAUCAUUUUGUUUUUUUUUUGUUAAGUUGUGAUUUAUUCAAUUAUUUUGUAUUUUUAAUGAAAAUUAUUUAAUAUUUAGUUAGUUUUGAUAUUGAUUAGUGAUUGAAAGUGUAUUUUAGAAGACUUCCGGUCUCUUGGAAAAAGGAAAAAUGGAGACGAAGAAGAAGUGUUCUUGAUUUUUUUGUAGGCAUUAAAGUUAAACGGUUUGAAAUGAUAUUUUGUUUUAAUUUCACUCAUUAAUCUCAUUCAGGAUAAAAUUAUAAAUGCAAAUAAAUGGGGUUUCAUGAGUUUUUUUUAAUAGUGUUAAAAGGUCUACUCACUAAAUAAAUAUGUUUAACCCAAACCAAUGCGAUUAGUAAGUUAUUGGGUUGGGUUGAUCAGGUUAAAAAUUAAAAUUAAAAAUUAAAUAAUUAAAAAAGGCAUAAAAACUAUCUGUUACUUGAAAAUAAAAAGAAUUUCUAAUAGUUAGUUCUAAUGUCCCAUAUCCAAAACAUCCAUAUUAAAUAAAUAUUAUAAGUUAGAAAUACAAUAUCCAAGAAAGAAUGAAUGAAAUACCAUAUUUUUGUUGAGAAUUAAGAGUGUGAUUUUAAUUUUGAUAUUGGAGUCUAAAGUGCCACGUUUAAAUAAUCUCUUUUAUAAAAUAAUAAAAAGAGAUUAAAAAUUAGGUUAGCCAUUUAGGCAUUCAGGGUUUAGCAAUUAAGGAUGAACAUAUUAUUGUUGUUGUUUUUUGUUGUUGUUGUUGUUGUUGUUGUUGUUAUUAUUAUUAUUUAUAUGUUUACUAAUCCAAUUUACGUAUAAGUACAAAAGUUUCAAAUAUUGUCUAUUAUUUUUUUAACAUGCCUAUUCCUUGUGGAUAAUUCUGUCUCAUCACUAAUGUUGUUUCUUGCUUACAAUUUGUAUAGCGUCUCAAAAUAGACAAUAGGGGGAUUUUGAAUUUUUUAAGUCUCAAUAUAGUCUCUUAUCUUGUGAGACAGAUUUUCUUUCAAUAAUUUGGAGGUAAACAUAACAUAACUUUUUGGACUAAAGCCUAGCUCUGCUAAUUAGUAAUUGGUGGUAUCCUUUUCAAGACCUGAGUCUUUAAAUUCGAGUUUUAUAUAGUGCGCAUGUGUAUUUAAUUAAUAUUUUUUUAAAAAAAUUACAUCAAAUACUAAUAUUCAUGACAUAAUUUAGUUCAUAAUGUUUUUUUAAAUACAUCGAAAAUAUAAUUUUUUAACAACUUAUAGGCAUGACAAAUUUCAAGAUAUAAAUAUCAGUCAAAAUAAGUGAAAGAAAUAAUGGUGCCAAUUCUAAUUUCUUAACUAAAUUAAUUACUGCAUGAGCCCCCAAUACGGCACGAGAGUUUGAUGGGCUAACUUGGCACAAGAACAAUAGUUAAUUGAUUUAAGAAAUAAUUCAAUGAAAAAUAUAAUUGAUAAGAAUUUAGUAUUGAAAUGAGUUUUUUUCGAAACACUGAAUUAAUGAUUAUUAAGCAAGAACAAUAAAAAAAAUAAAAUAAAAAAUAAAGAUUAACCAUUGAUAAGCUUCAACAAGAACUUAACACAACCCUCAAUCCUAAUUCAAAUUAUAAAUGUCAUUCAUAUAUUCAUUAUAAAUCAAUAACAAAGGUUAUAAAUGUUUAGAAAUUCUAGAGGGAAGGAAGCUAUCGCCGGGCAAUCAACAACUAAAUUUGAUGUAAUUGUGGCACAAGAUGGAAUAUGAAAACUACACCAUAAUUUCAAAUGCCGCCAUAGACAUUGACUUAUCUACAGUAACAAUGAUCUAAUUAAAAUUAAAAUAAAGUUUAUGGGCAUUUAUUAUAUUUGCCAUUCCUCAUUUGCAAAUAGGGAUAUAAUUAUAAUUUUACUUAGUCAAAGCAAUCAGUAAUUUUUAGGGGUGUUCAAAAUUCAAUCCGAUCCGCUCAAUCCGUCUGAUCCGUAGAAAUCCGAUCCGUAAAAAUCUGAUCUGUGGAUUGGUAGAUUGGAUUGAAUUGAAAAUUUGAUAAUCCGCAAUCGGUGGAUUGGGUAUGGAUCUACUUCUGUAAAUUCGUAAAAAUCCGUGAAUCGGCAAAAAAUAAAAAGUAUUUAUUUAUUAAAAAAUAAAACUUGUAAAUAUGGCAAUAGUACUUACUAGUAAAUAAAUAAGUUAAAAUAUAGUUACAUUAACACUAUAUUAUAUCUUAUCCGAUAAUAAUAAAAAAUAAAAAAUAAUUAAAUAAACAAAUAUAACUUUCUAAAUAGUUAAUUUUCAUGUACUGAUCUAAACGAAUGAGAUUUUUUUUUUUUCAUUUUGGUGUGUUAUGUUUUGAACUUUAAAUGUAAUUUUUAGUUUUAUUUAAACAAGUAAUUUAUUUAAAUCUUAUUUAAUUUUAAAUUUGAUCGGCAAUAAAAUUAUUUAUAUUAAUUUUUUUUUAUUUAGUUAGUUCGUAGAUUGGACAGUAUUAAAAAUUUUCAGUCCGUAAACCAAUUCGCAAAAUGGUGGAUUGGAUAUGGAUUGGGUCAAAUCCGCAUCCAAUCCGCAGAUGUAUGAAUUGAAUUUCACCAAUCCAUGAAUUGGAUUGGAUUAAAAAUUUAUAAUCCGCAAAAUCGUGGAUCAGAUAUGGAUUGAGGUCCAAUCCGUAAAAUUUGAUCCGGAAACACCCCUAGUAAUUUUCUUCAUUAUAGGAGUGAAGUAAAAACAUUUAGAUUUUAAUGUAUGUACGGAAAAAUUUAUCUUUAAAAAUACUUUCUUAAUGUGUGUAUAUAUAUUGAAAUACUCAAACCAAUUUUGGUUAUUAUAUAAUUAAACAAAUUUUAAAAUAUGAAAAAUAUAAUGUAGUUAUAGUGGAUAAACAAUAAGUGAGCGCAAUAUAAUUAAUCAAAUAUCAUGCCAUCAAAAGUUAAUUUUAGAAAUUCCAAAUCCAACAGCCAACACAAUUCUUUUAAAAAAAAGCUGACACAAUUAAUAAAAUUAGUGACAUGAAUUUCACACCAUUGAUAAUAAGCAAUUAGUAUUACUUUCUAAACUUGCUUCAACUGGUCGUUGAUGUCCGGGGUCACCAAAAGUAUAAGCAAUAAUAAGGGGCAUUGGGCAAGAGUGAUGAAUGUUUAGUCGGUGCAUUUGAUUGCUAGAUAUAUAAAGGGCCGAAACUUGAGAUUAUAUUACUUUUACAAAUUUUAAUCCAAUCACAUAUUUAAUGAAAACAAAAUGAGUUAGGAUACUUUAUUUAGAACCCACAUUUUAAUAAGGCUUCAUUUGAUGUAGUUUUUUAAACAGUGAUUAUUUAAGUAAAUUUUCCUCAAUAGAGUUUUUAUCAAACAAAUUUAUUUAUUUAGUUGUCGAUAAGAGUUUUUAUUAAAAAUUAUAAAAUUAUUUAAAUAAACAUGUUUUUUAAAAUUACAUUAUAAAAAUAAUUAAAUAAAAUUAUAAAAGUAAAAUAUAUUUUAGAUAUUUUAAUAUUUAAGAAAAAUUUUCAAUCUCUACUUUCAAAAGCUCAAAUUUUUAGCUUUUAGUUGUAGAGACAAAAUAUUUUAUUUAAUCUUUAAAAGUUAUGCUAAAAACAAUCAAAUAACUACAAAAAUUUUAAUAAGAGUAUAUAAAAUUAAAUGGUAAUUUUUAAAAACCUCCCCUGAGGUUUGGGCUUGUUGCAAGUAGAUGGCGAGAAUCCAUUUAUUUGUAACAAACCCCCUACCGUCAGUUAAUUUUUGCAUUAACCGUUAGUUGACUGUGCAAAGACAAUAUUGUCCCUAAUGACAGUUUGUAGACUGACAUAGCUAAAAAAAAUGCUGAGAUUGUCGGCACGAAAAUCACAAAUAAUUUUUUUUUGACAAUUUUGUCCUUGUUAAUUCCAAGAUUUACAAUGUCAUAAGUAAGGAUUAUGACUAUUUUACCCUCUUAAAAUUAUUGAUAAUUCCUUAAAAUUUCUACAAAAAAGAUAAAAUUAAAAACUUGAAGAAAAAUAAAGUUCUCAAGCCGGCUAACCAAACACAUAGAAUAAAAAAUCCAUCGUUUGACAACAAAAACAACUUUCCAUAAACCCAAACAAAAAUAAACAAGUCCCCAUUACUCUAAUUGGCUUUGCUUGGAGCUGUUACUAUUGUGCAUACAUUUCUAGGCAAAGCAAAAUGACCCCAUGAUAUAAACCUUAUAAAACAUGCCUCCACUAUUCUUAAUUUUGGUAUAAUAAUAAUAAUAAUCACAAAAAAUUAAUUGAAAACUUGACUAAUUAUCUUUGGUGGAGAAUUUUAAACCGAAACCGAUUCAGGAACCUUAAAUUGAUCAAAAGGAAGCUAAUAAUGACAAAAAAGUAACCGAUCAAAAAUCAUUAAGCAUAAAAAAAUAUUGAAUUUAAAUAACUAAAAAUGCCAUCGGAAAUUGAAAUUAAUUAUUUAACAUAUAGCAUGAAAACAAAUCUUCACUAUUGGUGCUAGGCGGCUGUCGUUUAGCUUGGUUCUAAGAGGUGGCAGUCAGUCAACUUCGAGACGGUGCGUUCGAAGUCAACUAAGCUGCAGCAGAGGUUGCAGGGGGCAGAUUGCAGCGAAGUCGCGGUGGAGCAGAGGUCGCGUCGCGGUGGAGAAGAGGUCGCGUUGCGCUGGCUUGGCUUCACGGUGGUGGGAUGGCUGGGCGGGCUGGCCAGCUGUGUGCGCAUUGUAUAUGAUUGUUUUUCACUUUUUUAAUAUUUUCUUGUGCAUUAGUUCAGAUUAGAUUAGUGAGUUUGUGUGUGUGUUUGCAGUUGAUUUGGUUAAGAUAUUUAGGUUAAAAUAAUUUUUUUUAAUAAAUUUUUUUUUUCAAAAUGUCAACAAUGCCCACAACUACCCAAAUGGCAACUAAGCAGAGUAAAAACGUAGGGGUUUUUUUUUAUAAAUAAAUAGAUUCUCGUCAUCUAUUUGCAACAAACUCAAAUCUCGGGGGAGGUUUUUAAAAAUUACCCUAAAAUUAAAUAAGCAUUUAUUAAUAAUCACUUUGGUAUACUUAUCUAAUGACCAUAAGUGUUUAUUUAAUCUCAUAAGUUCUUAUUUAAUCUCAUGAGCUCUUUUCAAUUUUUUUUGUUGUUUGUUUUUUAGUAGAGUUUUUGAAAAUUAAAUAAACUAUUUUGUCUCUACUAGAAAAAACUCAAAUUUUAGAUUUUUGUGAGUAAAUGUUUAAUUUUUUAAAAAAAUAUUAAAAUAUCUAAGAUAUCUUUCCUUUAUUUCAUAAUCUUAUUUCAUUUUUUCAUAACAUAACUUUCAAUAACUUACCUAUUAAAAUAAUUUCACAAUUUCUAAUAAAAACUCUAAUUGACAAUUAACAAUUUUUUUUUGUUUGUAAAAACUCUAUUUAUAAAAAAUCUAAUAAAAAUUCUAUUUAAAUAAAUUAUAUUUGAAAAGGUGUACUAAACCAACCUAAGAUAAAAACAAAAAUUUUUACAUCCAGACAAUUAAGCUUAAAACAAUUUCAAAUGAAUUUUAGACUAAUCAAAGUACAAUACGUACCAAGUUUGGUAACUUAUUGACAUCUUCUCAUAUAACCUUCGAUCAAGUCGAUUCUCACCUGACGACUAAUUGGUACAUCACCGUUGUUCUCUAUACUCGCAUGCAUCCGAUCACAAAUCUCACUCCAAUUGUCGUCUUUCUUCGGCGUUUUAGCACAUCCUUCUUGAAUUUCCCGCAUUUCGUUCCCUCCUGUUACAAGUCUCCGGUCAGGUCAGUUCUCUUGACGAUUAAUUCGGCAAAUCUCGAAUCUCUUCUCGCGUCGUUUCACUUCAAUUUUUUGUGUCUCCUUUCAGUUUUAGUGAUUGAAUCAAUUUUAUUGCAGUCUGAGAGAAAUUAAGUAAUGCUCUUGGAUUUAAAUUUUUUUUGCUUUCGACUUUAGAUCUCGAAAGUCAAACUCUGCUACGAAUCCUUAGAUUCUCAAUGUUUAUAAUCUUAUUUGUGUUUGACCAGGUAACUGGAUCGUGAAAUUCGUCGUUUUGUAUCAAUUCAAGCUUUCGCGAGCUCAUGGAAUCACCUGGUGAGUUGUGGUGAAACGUUAUCGUUUCAAUUUUCGCUUAAUUCUUUAUUGCAUAUUUUUUCUCUAACAUUUCAGUUUAAUUUAGAAAAGAAAGAGGACCCAAAAAGAGAGAGAGAGAGAGAGACUCUACCAUACUCAAUUCCUUGCUCAUUCUGAUUUGGCCUGAAUGUUGGCAUUGACUAUUAUUUGUUUUCAUUUCGAUUUAAUUCUCAUUUAGACAGUCUUUACUAACGGUCAAUAAUAGUUUAAGGAAAAUGAUAAUAGGGAUUCUGCAAUAAUCUUUUUAAGGAAAAUGAUAAUAGGGAUUCUGCAAUAAUCUUUUUAAGGGAUGUAUAACUUAUUAAUCAGAGUCCUGUUAUUAUGGUUUGACACUACUGACAUAUUGUGUUGGUAUUUAUUUGUACUUCCCUUGGUUGAAUUAUUUGCUGUCCCCAUGCCAUUCGAUAUGGUGCUACUUGGUUUUUGAUCAUCCAUGACGCUAUAUAUAUGUAAAGGAUGAAUUGAUUGUUUUGGCUUGUAUUCUCACAUUUUAUGAUUGAUCGAUGGAAAGGUCUUCAUGUAUUAAAUUCAACCUCACAAGCGUAAGAUUGACAGAUUCUGGGCAAAUUUUCAGGAAAAGAAACUAGACUUCAUGGAAGCAAUGAAGCUUGAAAUUGAACGUCUGCAGCUGAAAGGGAUAGAGCUUUAUUGUCAAUUGGAACUGAUCCUGCCUCUAUAAAUCCAAAUGUAUUGCUUGAUGAAUCUUACAUGGGAAGACUGUCGAGUAGCAACCACUCUUGCAUUACUUGGCCAAACUUCCCUAGAAGACAAAAUUGUUGGUGCAAUGGCCUUGAGAAUAGUGAUGAUAGUGUUUUAGACUUCUGGAAUAUUACUAGAAUCGGAGAGAGUUGUUCUGGUGGCGCGUGCAAGGUUCGUGCAGAAACUAAGGUGCCUGCUCUUGCUUCCUCAACUGCAGCAUCUGUUGGAGCUUCACAAUCCCCUUUGUUGUGUUCUCUGUUGUGUUCUCUGUUGUGUUCUCAAUGUGAAAGAAAAGUUUGCAAAGUUUGUUGUGCAGGAAGAGGAGCUCUACUGUUUUCAAAUUAUAAAUCAAGGGAUGUGACCAACUACAAUGGCUUCUCAAGUCAGAGUGGAUCAAGCCAUGGAAGCCAAGUUGAUGUAUCUACCAGUCGUUCACUAACACUGGAUGGCGUUAUCUGUAAACACUGCUGCCAUGAGAUUGUGCUUGAUACAAGUUCACAACACCAUUACAAAGGAUUCAAAAUUCCCACACGAAAACAUCAAUGUACAGAUUAUAAACAAUCCGAAUUGGACACAAGAAAAACCCUUCAAUGGAUUGCUUGCCUUCCCAAUGCUAUAUACUGUGCAAACUGCGCACUGUCCAAGAAAAUGUUUUCAAUUUAGUGUAUUUUCAAAAUGCUUAUUUUCUCAGAAUAUAUAAAAAAAAAAAAAGAAUUCUUACAUGUUUCAUCAGCAUGAUUAAAAUCAAAGAAGAAAGCGAGACAUAAUGUCUCUGACAUAAUAAAAUUACAAAAAUUUAAAAAAAAAAAAGUUAAAACAUGUAAUCUUCAUAAGCAUAUAAUAAAAUAACACUUCCACAAAUUACUACAAUUUCAUGCAGUAGAGAUUGAAGAGUUGAAUUCCACUUAUAGACACCGACCUCUUAUUUUGUCUAAUGUUAACAAUGAAAAUAACAACAGUAAUGAAAACAACAACAGAAUACAACAACAGAAAACAACAAUCCGCUCUGCAAAUUCUCUUGGGACUUGGUUCCAAUUCCUCUUCAUCCGAAGUUCCACUCGAAUCAAAUUCACUUGCAGCAGUUCCACUCGCGCUUGGCAAAUCAUCCAAUUUCCAAACUUCGGUAGCAAAAUUGAGAGUAAAAGUGUUGGCUUUGGUCUCGCUGGGAUUUGCAUAUACUGGACAUACUCCGUAACGUUUUACCUUGUGACCCUUUUGGUUUUGGUAACAAUUAUUGAAGAACUUAAGUGAGACAGUUGUAUGAUGGUAACCAUCAGGAAAGCCAACAUUCAAGCAAGGUUUAAAACCAAGUAUGACAUGAUCUGAAUCAAGGGAGUAUUUAUUUCUAACACUUGUGGUUGCGGGCCCACUGAAACCUAGAUCAACAUGUUUGGUUUCAGAGAGAGUCUUUAUUUCUAAGUCGAGUUGAGAGCGGCCGAAAACAUUGCAGCAAUAACAAGAACCAACUUUCUUAAAAUUAAGAACCGCACAAAAAGCAAACCCGAUUAAGUUUCUGCAAGAAGAGUGCGGUGGCAGUUGAAUACCUAUCGAAGAUCCUGAACUUUGAUUGUUGAACCAGUCAGGAAUUUCGCUCCCAGGUAAAACAAUUAGGGAUGUCCUGAGUUCAGAAAGUUUCUGUGAAAUGACAUUUAAAAAAAGAAAAUUGUAAAAUGAAAACCAUGAUUUCAGAUAUAACAAAGAGGGACAGAGUAAACAAGAGAGGGAACUUGAUGCGUUCUAAAUGUUCCAUUUUCUCCAAGAUUUCUGGGAAACGCUCAAGGUUCAAGCAGCCAUGAAGAAAAAGCUCAACCAAAGAUUUCAAUUUACAAAACCUAGUUGAAAUCCUCUUCAGCCGUUCGCAAUCCCUCAAAUCCAACUUUUCAAGAUCAGUUAGGCACUCUAUUGAUGAUGGAACUUCUUCUAUUGCAGACUGGCUUAAGUAUAGCCGUGUAAUUUUCCCAGAAAUCUGUGGAAACUCUACGAGAUUAACACAAUAGGAGAAAUUAAUAGUUACUGGACAAACAAAAUGAAGAUUGCUUGGAAAAGACCUAAGACUUUUGCAGCCCACAAAAUCCAACCUACUGAGAUACUUGAAAUUCUGGAUAGAUGAGGGAACACAAGCCAUUUCUCCUUCCCAAAUUUGCUCAACUUUACUAAAACGCAAAUUCAGUCCAACAAGGUUCUUUGGCUUGAAAUUUGAUGGCAGUGUCCUUAAUGGAUAUGUGUCCCAAUGAAGAUAUCUCAAUUUUUUAGGAAGAUAAUCUAGGCCAUUUGGAAGCUGCACUUUAGAGUACGAAAGUUGCUCUUCAAUGCUCAUACUUAGAAGCUUUUCAAUCUCAUACUUAGGUACAUAAAAUUUGAGCAAUCUCAGAUUAGACAUAUUUGUGAAGGCUCCGGGGUCUAAAUUGAUGCCUUUUAUUUUGGACAAAUCCAAAAAUAUGCCUUCAAUUGCAUCGGUCCCCUUAUUAAAAAAAAAAAAAAAACAAAGAAUGGGUAAGCCUAAAACAGAAAAGAAACAUUCGUAAACUUUAUUAACUAAGAGCUCCUAAAACAAAACAAAUUCUACGAUCUUUGAUCUUAUUUUUUUAAUAUAUUAAAUAUCUAUAUGCGAGAAAAGAAAAUUUUGGGAACCAUUGCAAAAUUAAACUAACCGAAAAAAAAAAUCAAAAUUUCUCUAAUUUACAAACCUGUUAUCUUACUAUCUAGAAGUUGAGAAGACAGGGCCUAUUUGAUUGGUAUAAGAUUUCGAUUUUUUUUUUAGUCCAUAGAAUCCAAAAUGUUAGUUCAAAAUUAGGGAAAAAAAUGAAAGUUAUUUUUUUUCCACUAGUUGUAAUUGUAUCCAAGUCAAAUUGAGAUAUGACCCUUUUCGAAAGGAUUUAAUCAUCUUAUAGCCUCCUUAAAGGAGUGAUUGGAGGCCUAACUAGGUAGGCCAAUCAGUCCAUUUUAUUAGCGACUAUUGCUUAAAAACAUUUAUACUCUAAAACACACUUACUUUUUUGAAAAAAAAAUAUAAUUAUAUUGAAGUAGAACCAGGUGGGCCAAUCCUCAUGGCACUCACUUUGUUCUGACACUCUUCACUAAAUUUGAAAAAAAAUAAAAUUAUACUCUUCACACUCUUAUUCAACAUUCCAAAAUUGAUAAAAUCUGGAGUUUUCAUUAAAAAUUUAAAAUUUGAAGACUUGUUCUCUUGACACCCUCAGUCAUUAAUUUUACCUAAUUAUGGUUUUUAUGAUUUUGGUUGUUUUGUUCAUAAAAAUGAUUUUACUAAAGGAUGUUCUGGUAAUAAUAAAAUUUAUAAAAAAAAACAUGGUUGUGCUGGUAUGAUUGGAAAAAUAUGAGUGCAUAACUCCAAACAAAUAAAAGAUAUAUAAAAAAAAAUGGAGGAUUCUUACCAUAUUAUGCUUUAGUACGCGGCGGAUUUCCUUAGGAUCCCACAACCUCUUGCGUUUGCCUGGCUCUUUCUCAGAUUCUUGGCGUCGCCCCAUUUCUUGCAAUAUAUCAUGCAUUUGCAAGCGGUUAUAUGACACUGUUAUGAGUGACUUAUCAACAAGGACAUCCAGUCCAACAGACUCAGAAUCAUCAAGAAUCCUUGCCACAAAAUCUUUAUCCUCUCCCUCAAAGAAACACGCAAUAUCUAGAAAUAUGCUCUGCACCCUGGGCGUUAAUUCAUCAAAACUAAUCUUUAAUUUCUUAUAAAUAGCAUGAAUAUCAGAUUCACAAAUCCGAUUUAAGUCGUGCAAUACUUUUCCCCAAUGGCUUUUCCCCUUGAGGGAGGAACCCAACACUUUAAGAACUAAUGGAUUGCCAUCAGCAUACUUUACAACUCUCCGUGAGUCAGGUUUGAAAUCUUCAGGACAAUGCUUUUCUUUAAAAGCGAAGUUACAAAAAUGCUCGAAAGCCUCAUGAAAAUCCAUUCCAUUAACCCUAUAUAUUUUCUUCUCCUCCACUCCAAAUUUUUCGAGGACUCCUUUAUCCCUAGUGGUUACAACAAUUCUACUUCCUGGAACAAAUUGAUCAAGCUCUCCAAUCAGACCCUCUAAUUGUCCAACUUCAUUCACAUCAUCGAGUACUAUCAACACCUUCAUACGCCGGACCCUCUCUUUAGUAAAAUGUGGAAUAUUGGCACCAGCUACUUCAAGUUUUUCGCUUAAUAUUGUUGAAAGCAUUUCCUUUUGUAGGUCUUCUAGGCCACCCUCUGUUUCUGAUUUUCUCCUAACAUUUUUUGCAAAGUAUUUACCAUCAAACUCACCAGAGAAUUGAUUGAAAAUAGCUUCAGCAAGGGUGGUUUUGCCGAUACCACCCAUGCCCCAAAUUCCAACAAUUUGGACAGUAUCCGACAAAUCCAUACACAAAAAUGGUUUAAUCUGCUCAAUUCGUGAAUUUAAUCCAACUAGGCCGUUGGAUGAGUCCGUUGAGACUGUUAUUUUUUCCAACUUCUUCAAAACAUCUUCGACAAUUUUGUUUACAAGUUCCGCAUCGUGCCUAAUAUAAAGGUGCAAAGAUGCAAAAACAUUGAGUCAAAUCGGGCCAACACAGAAACAGAGAUAAGAUGAAUUAGGAAAGAGAGUUACCUGAAUUUCGUGGAUUCGUGGCCAGCAAGACCGGAUGUUUCUCUCAGUGCAUCCCUCCACCUCUGAACCAUUUCUGGCUUCUCUUUGAACUGUUGUUCGAGCUUACCAAAGCCGACCCCAAAAAUCCCAGUUUGAUGCCGCACAUCGGACGGACUUACGCCAUAGAAAACCGGAAUAAUGAUUUGGCCGUUUGUGUGCUUGCAUUCAAGAAUCUCGACAAGUUCAUACAGGCACCAUUUUGAAGAAGCGUAGUCCGUUGAGAAAAUGACCACCGAAAUUUUUGAACCUUGGAUUGCGUUCAAAAGGGCAGGUGAAAUCUCAUCUCCGCGCCUAAGCUCUUCAUCAUCAAUAAAUGUUCUGAUUUUCUUUCUUUUAGACAAAGCAUCAUAGAGAUGGCAAGUAAAGAUCGCACGAGUGUCCUCCCCUCUAAAAUUGAGGAAGACUUCAUAAAUGCAAGGAGAAGAAGCCAUGAAGGAAAUAUUAGAAAUUUGGUGACAGAAACAGAGAAUUAAUCUUGAGAGCUGAGAGAGGAGAUGUAAGAAUGAACAUGUGUGAAUAUUCUUGCGAGUACAUAGUAAAUAAUUGAAUGGCUCGAGCUUUCUUAGUUUCCUGGAAAUUUCCUGGAGCUUUCGUAUACAUGAUUUGUCAAGUCAAGAAACAUAGUCAUGAUAAUGGGGCAGACCAGGAAGAAAAGGAAAUUGGAAUUUUGUACAAUUUCUCCAGCGAGGAACUUUCACUGUCAUUACCUCACCGUUACAGUUUGGAUUAGGGUAAUUUUUACCCCGCACCCAAAUGUUUUGACAUACAGCACAACGCACCCAAUUCUUUUGCCCAUGAGCACCGCGCACCCAUUUCCGUUUAUUUUUCAGUUAACUGUAACAGAUCAGGGUAAAAUUGGAAUAACGCAUCAAAAUUUAAAAAUAAAAAAAUAGGUAAACUCGAUGUUUGCGCCAAAAUAAUUUCACAUCACUGUGCUUAUGUUCACUGCGUUUGCGUGUGAGACCAAGAAGCAUGGCCACACCUCCAUUGAUGCCAAAAUCGAGGAGGUGGGUGAAGAAGAAUUGGCGCCAAAAUCAUUCACAUAUGAUGUGCAAGGAAAUUAUUUCAGCCUUUAAAUACUUUUUUAUUACAGCAGCAUCAGCUAUUGCUCUGUUUCGAAGAUCUGCUCAAUUUCUAAGACAAUAGUUGGUUUGAGAGUUUAAGGGAAGUGAAUCCACUGAGCGUGCUAUUGAAGAAGUGGAGGUCAGUUUCAUUUCUUGCUCAAUUGUUUUAAUUUAUUCCAUUUUGUUUGCAUGUCAAUUAUUUACACAUUUUUAGCUGGAUUUUGCUUAUCUAUAAAACUUGAAUCAUUGUUAAUCAAAUCAGCUAUAAUUUACGCCUCAAUGUGGUUUGUAAGUUUAAGUUAUGUUGGAUUAUACCUGAAUAAUGUGGUGUUUGCGUUAUUGAUUUCAAUUUCUAUUGAUGAUUUUGAGUAUACAUAUUAGUGGAUGAAAGUUUUUAAUUAGGAUGAUUGGUCACGCAUAUAUGUCAUAGCAACUGUGUUUUUUUGGGUUAUGGUUGUACUGUAGAUCAGUAGUAGUAGUGAUUUGGAUAUAAACGCUAGUGCUUUUAUUGUAAAUGAUAGUGAUGAAGAUCCAGUGUUACAGAAUUUGAUGUAAAAGUUAUUGGUUUUUGGCUAAAUAUCUUAGAUAAAUAUGAUGCUCAUGCAAUCAAAUCCAAUGCUUAUGCAAUUUACACCAUGUUUAUGAUAAGUAAUUAAAAAAAUAAAUGACUAUUCCAGGUGAAAAUGGAUGAUGAUGAUAUUACAACUGUUCUUUGUACAUUCAAGGGCAAGACAUAUAAUGUUGGUGUAAUUGAUCCAGAUAAGUUUAGUAGAGUUUCUGUAAUUAACAAGGUUUUAGUUAGAGUCUAUGGAAGAAAGAUGAGGCCUGAUGAGAAGUUUACACUAAGUGUUUGGGUACCAUGGGUCUAUAAGGAAGUAGAGAUUAUGUCUGAUCAUGACUUAAUAUUCCAGCUGAGAGAGCAUAAUAAGAUGUUGUUCUACUGCAUGCAAUUGUAUAUUGAAGAAAUCCAUGUACCUCAUGAGUUUGUACCUAGAAGGGCUUUGUUUCAGCACUCAGCAGAAGAAAGCUUACAAGGGUAUGCUGAAACAAACUUUCCAGCCACUACUGACCUGCACAAACCUUAUACACAUGCUACAUCCACCAACACAAAUCCUUAUGAAAAUGACAGUAAUGACCAUUCGAACCAUGAACCCCCUGUCAAGAACUCCAGCAGCAUAAUGAUGCAUAAUGUUGCACUUGAUAGCAUCCAAUCACAGACCAAACCAGAUACCAACCCUGACCUAUAUCAAGACUUUUUGGAUACCUAUUUCAGAUCAUCACCACAACAGAAAACACCAUCAGCUGCCCAAACUAAUGCCGAAAAUAGUGAUAGUGAUAACACAUCUUCAUUUGGUACAAAUAAGACUCCUACUGAGCAGCUUCAACAAAACUUUGCCAUCUCUUCUGAGUUGUCCCCUUUAUUGCAGCAACAUGGACAUCAUGCAUCCCAAAAUGAACCUAUACCUUUUCACCAACCUGAGUUCUCAUCUCAACCAAUAACUCAAAACCCUCAGUCACAAGUUGUACAAGCAGAAAACUUCCAGCAACCAGAAGCCACUACACCAGCACUAGUAGAUUAUAACUCAGAUGAUAGCCAUUAUAGUGUAACUGAUAGUGAGGAAGAUCCAGAUCAUCCAUUAGGUGCUCCAAACAUUAAUAAUACUCCUAGGAAACCUUCUGUUAAUGUUGACUUAGGCUCUAUGCCUUCUGAUGAUAGUGAUGAAGAUUGUAUGCUAUCUGAUUGUGAGAGUGAUGACAAUGAGUUUGGGGAAGAAUCUGAUGAAGAGAUUGAUCAAGUGCUGGUCAGAAUGGAUGCUGUUAUGAGAGAGAACAUGUACAUUCCUAGUGAUACACCUGUUCAAUUCUUUAUUGGGCAGUGUUUUAGGAACUUCAGGCAGCUGGCAUGGGCAAUAAGGACUUAUGCUGUGGAAAACAAGUUCAAGGUUUAUAAGCACAAGUUUGAAAAAUCCAGAGUAACUGUUGGAUGUAAUUAUUUCAGGUGCCCAUGGUUUUUACAUGUUGCAAAAACUAGAUUUGGACAAACCUUUAUUGUUAGGAGGCUUCACAACGUACAUACAUGUCAGAGAGACUUAAAGAAUCCUGAAUGCACUGCAGAGUUCAUUGUUGCCAAGUUUGCUGCAACUAUAAUUGAGCAUCCAGAUACAAAGGUUGGGUGGAUUCAAAGUGAACUUAGAAGGAUGUAUGGAGCUAAGAUACACAAGUAUAAAAUUUAUAGAGCAAAGAAGAAGGUUUUACAGAGACAAUGAGCUGAUUAUGAGUCUAGUUACAUGUUGAUCAGAAAUUAUGCUCAGGCCAUACUUACUAAGAUGCCACAGGCCUUGGCAUUGGUUAAGGUUUUCAGGAUGCAUGGUCAACAACCUCAAACUCACUUUGACAGCACUGUUAUAUCUUUCCAUGCCCUCAGAGAUGGCUUCAACCAAGGUUGUAGACCCUUCAUUGGUAUUGAUGGAUGCCAUUUGAAGGGUCCAUAUAAGGGUGUUCUUUUAUCAGCAGUUGCUAUUGAUGCCAACAAUGGAAUCUUCCCACUUGCAUUUUGUGUAUGUAGUGUCGAGAGUACAACCAGCUGGACAUGGUUUCUAAGCCACUUUAGGGAAUUUUUACAAGAUACAAGACAACUGACCUUUAUGUGUGAUAGGCAGAAAGGAAUUCAGAAUGCUCUUGCCUUAGAGUUUCCUAAUGCACAUGUUAGAUUCUGUGCUAGACACAUCUUAGCAAAUAUUAAGUUAAAACAUCCUCAAUCUGACUUUAAAGCAUAUUUCUGGGCAGCAGCAAGAGCAUCAAACAGAAGGGCAUUUGAUGAUGCUAUGCAAAACAUAAGAGCAGCACAUGAGGGUGUAUAUGAGACUCUUAGGAGGAUACCACCAAAUUUCUGGUCAAGGCAUGCCUUUGACAAUAAUUGCAAGUCUGAUCAUUGCACUAACAACGUAACUGAAUCUUUUAAUGCAUGGAUUGGGAUUCAAAGAAAGUUGCCAAUAAUCUCAAUGCUGGAGUGGAUUAGGAAGAAGCUGAUGAAAAGAAUGAUUGGAAGAAGAAAUAAGGCAGAGUCUUGGGACAGUGAUAUACCAAGAAGAAUUUAUGCACAAAUGAUGAAGAAUUUACAGAUUGGCAGUGCAAACCCUAUCUGUAGAGCUAGUAAAUGGCUUUAUGAAGUGGAUGAAAAUACCAAGACUUAUAUCGUUGAUCUUGAACACCAUAUGUGUGACUGCGGACAAUGGCAAGUUAGUGGGAUUCCAUGUGUACAUGCAAUGCCUUGUAUUGUGAAUAGUCAAAAAGAUCAAGCUCAGUUCAUUAGCCAAUGGUUGAAGAAAGAUACUUACCUAAGGUGUUAUUCUGGAUUGAUUAAACCAAUUCCAGAUAGAACGUCAUGGGUAGAUGCUGGUGGUGAUGAAAUACUGCCCCCUUUAGUGAGAAGACCACCUGGACGACCUAAGAUGACAAGAAGAAGAGAAGCUGAUGAGGUACCAGCACAUAAUAAACGAUACAAGAUGCAAUGCACUAUUUGCAAGGGAUUUGGACACAACAGAAGGGGUUGUCCUGUUAACCCUCAUAAUGCUCACAAGACAACAAGACAAUAUAAGGUGAGUGUGUAUGCUUGUAAGAGAAUAUUCAAUUAUUUUUUGAACCAUGUUCCUCCCAUGUGAUGACAGCUAAUGUGCCUUGUUUGUUUGUGCUUUUUUAUAGAAUAACCUGAAGAAGCACGUGACAAGGACAAAUGGGGAGCAAAGUGAAGGUAUAAGAGUAAUUUACUAAGUUAUAUUACUAUAUUACUUUACAGCUGUAUUAGAUAAUUAUAUAGUUGUGUAUCACCAAACUAUAUUAAAUUAACUUAUUUAUUUAACGUUGCUUUAUUGGUAAUUUAUAAGGCCAAGUUCACGGAAUUACCUCAACUAUUUUGGAAAGCCAAGACAAUGACAUGGUCCAAGUAACUGUCUCAGGCCAAAACAUAACAAAGAACCAGCAGACUGCAUCUAACAAACGCAAGAUUGGCAAUCAAGCAGGGCCAUCAAAAGCAAAUGAAGUCAUUGGCAAGAGCAUGAAUGGGGUCAUAUCUGUAGCUCCAUGGGUAGGUGAACAGGGAAGAAAAGUAAUGUCAGCCGCUGGAUUAACCUUCAGCAAAGAGGAUGAAGUCGGCAACUAUACUGAAAUGAAGCAUUUGGACAAAGGGAAGGCACCAGCCUUCCCUUCGUAAAGGGUAAAACCAUAGUUUUCUAUUGAUAUAAAUUAAUAUUGGUUUUGGAAAUGAUAUUUAUAAUUUGUAACUUGUUUUGUAGUGAUUCUUUGGCUAUGAUGGAGACAUUGGCAGCAAACUUAUUAACAAACAGUGGAGGCAACAUUAUCAUUUUUUGACACCUUCCACAAUGCCACAUCAACCCACCAGGCACAAGGUUAAGGUUAUCUGGAUGCUGAUUUCAUUAGGAUCAAGUGGCCAAGUAAUGACCAGGCAUGUCAUUGUUUUCUUUUUCUUUUUUAUUUUGGAGCUGAAAUUGGUGGAAGUUGUUGGACAUUAAGCUUAAGCAUUAUAGAGCUGGAAGCUGUGAUGACCUACUAUAAGUAUGAUUGGAAGGGUUUAUGGCAUUUUGAAAGUUUUUGGGAUUAAGAUACAUAUAGGACUGAUAUCAACCAAACCAACACUUUUUUUUUUUGUUUUUUGGUCACAUGUAUGUAAACACCAGAUUGGAUGUGACUAACAUUGUAAGUUGCUGCCAAUAUGCAUUUAUAGAUAAAAUAACUUAUUGCUAUUAUUGAUAUCAUAUUUGAUUAAAUGGUAUAUGUCAAGAAACGAAUGCAUUUUAUUGAUCAUAAGAUUUCAUUUUACACAUUGUUCUAGCAUUCCUUACAGUACAAUACAAGCAAUACAAGUAUAGUUAUCACUAUAAUCGUGAUUUGAUACUUCUUAUUUUUAUGAAGUAAACCUUCAAUAUUGAUGAACCUGUUGUGGAAGUCCUCAAUGUUAAAUUGUUGAAUCUCACUUGCCCUGUCUGCAGCUUCUUCUUCAAACCUUUGUAACGCUGCUUCAAUUUCUAUAGCCUCACCUGUAGAUGGUUUCCACCAUCUAAAGAAACCACAAGAUGGGUCAUUAGGGCAUGUGUAAUAUAGUUUGUUGGGGUUUGUUUUUGAUUCUGACACUUUGAUUUCUGCCCUUCUUCGACAGUAGCAUACUGUGUUAUAGAACUUGAUGAUGCCCCCAUUGAUUUUAGGUAAAUCCCUUCUUCUGUUAUAAGUUGAUGAACUUGAUGCAUUCCUUGAAGUGGACAUUUUCUUCAAAUUUCCAAUGUCGUGUCUGUUAUAUUCUUUUUGAAAUACAGCACAACGUAUCUGAACUUCAAGUUGUUGUGCUUGUUUUGUGUGUGAAUGAAGCUGCUGUUGAAGUUGUAUUGUUUCGGUGGGUAAAACCAAAUGUUGUACUACUGUAAGUUGUUGCUGAGUAAAAAAAAUGGUGGAGUUUCCAGGUGAGUCAAUGAAAAUCACUGAGGUGUGAAGAGGGUAGGAAUUUAUAUGUGUUAAACAUCACAGCUUGUGGUGAUGCAUCAGCUCAAAUUUAUCAAUUUCUUUUACUGUUCUUGUAACCAUAUAGCCGUUAUUACUGUUGCUCAGAUUUUAUAGCCGUUGGAUUUUUGAUGCGCAUGGUAAUAAACCAAUAUGCUAAGGGCAAUAUAGUCAAUAUAAUUUAACAGUUAUAGUUGGUCUUCGUGUGUAAAUACACCUUUAAAUAAUGGCCAGUGGUAAAUUCCUUAGUUCAAUGACUCACCUGGAUGCAUUUGAAUUCAACGCAAGGGUAUAUUUGUCAUUUAAUCAAAAUAUAGACUGAUCCGUUACAAUUAACUAAAAAAUAAACAGAAAUGGGUGCGCGGUGCUCAUAGGCAAAAGAAUUGGGUGCGUUGUGCUGUAUGUCAAAACAUUUGGGUGCGGGGUAAAAAUUACCCUUUGGAUUAUGAUUUGAGGGUGCAAGUAUUUACCUAGAGUUUACCUCCGCACUAAAUUCUUAAGUUUUGAAAAUUAUGAGACCUUUAUAUUGGGAGAUAUUGUAAUCGAAUCAAAACUUAAAUUUUUUAUAAUGUUAAUAUUUAAUCUUUUAAAAAACAAUAACCUCGCCGUUACAGUUUGGAUUAAGAUUUGAGUAAGUAUUUACCUAAAUUUUACCUCCGUCUGUAAAUUCUUAAGUUUUGAAAAUUAUGAGACCUUUAUAAUCGAAUCAAAAUUUUGAAUUUCAAUAUUAUUAUUCUUUAAAAAAAAUUUUGAGAUAACAGAGUGAUUGAUAAUAUAGGAGAACUUGUCUAGGCAAGCACAUGUAUACACAGAAACGUGAUGGAUUCAAAAAGAAAUUAAAGUGAUAAUGCGAAAUCGCUUGGUGGCCCAGUAAAAUUACGACUGAAUUUUUUUUUUUUUUUUUACAAAAUUCAAGCUCAUAAAUGACAAAUUUCAUUUCCCUUUCACACGUCAUUAACUUUUGUAACAUGGUGUGUGCAUCGUCAAGUGAGGCAAAAGGGUUUCAAUUACAGUUGGAAAACAUGAACAAGAAUGCAUAAUGAAUAAUUCCUUCGAUAAACCGAAAAUUAAGCACAGAAUAAUCCUAAAAUUUAAACUCUAAUAUCUUAUAAUGUAUUGAUUAAAAAUAAUCCUAAGAGCUCCCAAUUGAAACUUUCAUAAGUAUUUUAAUUGUUUUGGAUAAACAAAUUGCACUAGGAUAAAAAUUUGGCAAAUUCAGAGGAUAAUGGAAAAUAGUUAUGCUUCAAUAGGCCAAAGAUUAGAGAACAAAUAAGAAUUAUUUAUUGAUAUACAAAAGAGAAACACUCCAAAAUUUCAAGCAAAAAUAGUUUCAUAUAUCAUUUCGAUUUUGAAAGGGAUGAGAUUUUGAACUUCAAUAGUUUCCUCUAAAAUUAAAAGGUAGCAAUUAAGCUAAAAAGAGCAAUGAAGACUUAUUGGUACCUUAUUAAAGGUAAACAUUAUGGAACUUUCAAUGUCAUUAUCUCACUGUUCAAUUUUUAUUGAGAUUUGUGUAAGCAUUUACCUAAAUCUUACCUCCGCCUUUAAAUUCAUAAGUUUUGAUUAAUUAUGAGACCUUAUAUUGGGAGAUAUUAUAAUCAAACUAAAACUUAAAAUUUCAAUAUCAUUAUUCUUUAAAAAGAAAUUGAGAUAUCAGAGUAAUAUCACAUAGAAAAACUUGCCCACGGACGGUAAGCCAAAAGUCUAGUCAACCACACGCAUAAAGCUAACUAGAACAAGAGAACAGAGAAACGCGUGGGUCCCUAAAAGAAAAGGCAAGCACAUAAAUAACUUUCAAAAUGCCCAAGCAAAUACCGAUGAAAAUCACUGUUUAAGAAUAAUUUAUUAUGUGGUUGAAGCUUUCUUUUUAUCAAUCUUCUUUCUACCCAUUAAUUUUCCCACGACUUUCCCGUUUCAUUUCUUGAAUCUCCAUGGAUUAACUUUCAAUAAACCAUAAAAUAAACUAAGGAAUCAUUUUCUCGAAUACAGCUAUGAUUUUAAUAAAUGGGCGGACCAUCUAGAAUAGUAUAUAUAAUUCUGUUUAAUUAAUAAGUUGAAAAAACCAUCAAGAGAAAUUCUAAUAUUAUGAGCUUGACACGAAUUCUUCACUAAUUCCAAAACAAGGAGCUGUUUUAUAAGAACUGUGGUUGGAUUAUUAAGUUUUACAAUUUGAAUAUAAAUAAGAAAAUAAAAUCAGUCGCGUUGAUGUUUUCGAUACAUUUCGCUGCUAACUUUUUUUUUUUUUUUAUUACAUGAGACUAUUGCUCAAAUUACAACUCAUAUUACAUGAGAAUAUAACUGAUAUUUACAAAUCAGACUAUAACUGGGACCAAUAUACAUCAAUACUAAUGGAGCGCUGCCCAGAUUUUAACCCUCUCAAAUAUUCAAGGGAUGUCUACACCUCACACUUGGGUAAGGAAACAGACUGUCUUCACUUAAAUUUACUUGAGGAAUGAAGACCCCCACAAUACAUUGUGGGGGUUCACCACUCGACCAAAGGCCGAGUGGCUCAUUUCGCUGCUAACUUAAUUAAUUACUUUACUUCAACUUUAUUUCCUUAGGGGCACUUUAUGGUGGGUCCAAGAUGGGACCUACAAUAAUCAAUCCUAAAAUUUAGUAUGGUUACCAAAUAGCUAGUAGCUAGUGUUAUUUUGUGUUUGGUGGAAGAGAUUGAAUAUUUAGUUUUAACUUAACCAUUCAACUAAUUAGAAAAUAAAUAAAAUUAAAUGAAAUGUUUAGAUAUCAAUUUAAAUAUUAAUAUCGGGGAUAUAAAUUAGUUAUAAUAUAGUUCAUUACAUAAAAUUGAUUAAAUUAAUAAUUACCCGUGAACAUAGAUGUAUAUGCUUUCCAAUUUCCAAAGUGCUCAAAGCACUUUUCUCACCAAACUUUCCUCUGAAUUUCCCGUAGCUGACUCCUUUGUUUGCGUUUUGUGAAAUUUCUAGGAACUUUUUUCGAUUUAGAAUAUUGUACAUUUUUCUUUUCAGCUGAGAUUAAUUUAACUUAUAGAAAAUCUUAUCCUUUUUUAAUAUUAUUUAAAUAAAAUUUGUCUAUCUUUUAUUUUAUUAGUCUACUUUUUACCCAUUAAUUAAGACUUUUCAAUUUCUUUUUUACCUGAGGUUUUCAGUGACUAUCUUUCAAUAAACCAUAAAAAUUACUUAGUCAUUUAUCGAACAAUUAGAUGACCAUAUUUCAAAAUAUCAACUAGAAGUUGUCCUGAAAUAUUUAAUUAAUAGUUGAAGAAUUGUGAUUAGUGUGGGCAUCUACAUAAAAAUUAUAUUAAAACACCGCUAAAAGAUAAAAAUAAAAUAAAAUAGUACAAACAUACACCCAUAGGUUAAAACAAAGAAAAAACACGAACCAAUACACUAAAAUGUUUUAGCUGUAGUUAGUUUUCAGUUUCAUUACUUAAGUCCCACGUGCAUGUCACGUGACUGAGGUCAAAAAAUGAUUGUCACAUUAAAGUUCAAAAUACGGAGCAGGGUAAUUAAGGAGUGGAGCUAUUGGCACCCCUCCAUUAUUCUUACAAAACUCCACUUUAAAUCAAAAUAUAAUUAAGAAUAAUUGAAAAUUAAACACUUAUAGAUUUCUUUACAACAUGUUGAGUGAUAAAAAAGCACCAGUCGGGCAUGUCCCCAUUUCUUACCCGGUGCCGAAUCUCCACGGUCGAAUGGUAUGAGUAGACUCUUGGUGAUGUCUUCUAUGUGGAGCACGUAACAACAGACCAGGAACUAGUACCAACCAAAAACGAGUACUGAUCGAAACAAGCAUGACCAGAAACGCAUACCGACCAGAGACUUGUGGGUCCGUAAAAGAAAAGGCAAGCACACAAAUGAAAAAGCCAUUACAUUUCUAUUUUACAUGUCAUUCCUAAUUUUUGUAACACGAUGUGGCAGCAUAUGCACAAUCAAAUGAGGCAAAAGGGAUUCGACUAUCGUGGCAGAACAUGGACGAGGACGCGUGAUGAAUAAUUCCUUCGAUAAAACGAAAAACAAACGCAGAGAAAAGAAUUUCUUAUAUGACAAGAAAUUAAAGUAAUGUGACGGAACAUGAUGAAGAAAUUGCAGAUCGAUCAAUUAUCCCCAUGGACUCCUAUAAAUUCAACCAAAAUAACAAUUCCAAUAUUACCAAAUUCUUGAGUUAAAUUUAUUCAAUGCUUUUUUUUAAGAGAAAUUUUUUCCAAUGCUACUUUCCCUUUUUUGGGGAAAUUAGAACUGCGGCAUGUAUAGAAGACAUUGAGGUAUAAAGCAACAUUAAUUUCAUGGGUUAUGCGUUAUACGCAUAAUAUAUUUUCAGUCCAAAUUCAACUAUGCAAAGAGGCUUGAGAACUUAAAAUUAAGCACAAACUAAACAGACGAAGUAAAUACAUGAUUAUGCAACAUAACAUUAAUUCUCUUAAUUUAUAACCGUUUUGCCACAUGAAUCUUGCACAGUUAAUCCUAAUUGAAGACUAAAAAAGAACAAUUGGAACAAGGUUUUGAAAUAGAAUGAUAGACAAUCGAUAUGAUCCAUUUCCAGUCGUCAACGCUAAUUAACUGCAGUUUCUAGACUCCUAAUUAUACUAGCCAUAAGAAACUGUUUAGAAAACUGGUGAUCAGAUUAGAUUUUGAAAUGAAAUAAUGUUCAUUUUCCCUUCGUUACCCUUUUAUUUAUUUAUUAUUUUUAUACCAAAGAAUUCUAUCAUGAAACGAAUCAAUUUAAUCACCUUUUCCAGCAGCACAAUUUUUCUUUUAUAAAAUUUGACCACAGAGACAAAGAAGAAUUAUUCAUACCUUCAUCAGUAAGGAAAUACUUUUCGGUAUGGCUAGGGUGAGAAAAGGCUUUCCACAAACACUUGUACUUUGUAUUCCUGUAAAUUUUCUUUAAAGUCAAUAAAAAUCAUAAGUUCUUUACAAUAACCAUCUCUUUGAUAAAAAAAGUGCCGUAUUCCUUUAGAAUUUAAAACCGGCAAAAUCGAAUCAGUGUCUUUGAAGAGACAUAAUGGUCAUAAUUCUUUAAAGAGUUGGCUAUGGAAAUCCUUAUCCAAGAUUCUUUUACGCCAUAUUCUUUCGUAAACCAAAAUUCAUUUUGGAAUACUCUGUUGAGAAUGUCAAAUAAAACGGUAUUGAAGGAAGUUUUCAAAGGCAGAAUCCGCACUUGUCAAAGGGAUGAUCUGCAUUUGUCAGAGACACAAUCUGCGUCGAAUGAAUCGACACAUUUCCUUUUGUAUUCGCAUAUGUAAUUUUUGAAAAAAUGUAGCUUCUGCAUCUAUAAAUAACGCUCAGUGUAUAAUGUUUUAUUCAAAAAAAGAAAACAAGUUUCUUCAUACUCGUCGUCCGAACAUACAGAGACCGUCUCUCAUAACUUCAGCCGAAUACUUAUGAUGAUGAUCAUUUGUGAUUUCAUCAGGCAUAGGGUUGAUGGUGAAAAAUUUUGUAUGUGUGAAGAAUUGAGCUGUGGAUAUAGGGGACUUAAGUGUAAUCGAAAGAGAGUUAUUAGGCCAUAGUGUAGAUUGCAUUCAGUUUAUGAGUCGAUAUGCAAAUAAUUUGUUGACGUGGCGAAAUUUGUUAUGGUCGUUACUAUUGUUUCUGGAAAUUUUCUAGAAACCUCAGCAUAAAAGGGGCUUUUGGAUAGCCUCUGGUGUGCGUGUGAUUUCUCUUUCGUUUCCUCAUCAAAUUCUGUAAUUCUUGCUUUGAUAAAAAGCUUGUAAUCUCUUCUGUAAUUGUGAUCAGUGCGUAAUCAUUUUGAGCGAUAAAAGCUUGUAGGUUUUUCCUUCAAACAAUGUCGUUUUGGUCAGUUUGUUAGUUUGAUCUGUUGGUGGAAUUUUCUUUGGUUAUUUGUUCUCAAAUUUCAACCUUAUAUAAAGUUUGAACUCUAAUGGCUUAUAAUGUAUUGAUUAAGAAUAAUCCUAAGAGUUUCCGAUUGAAAUUUUUAAUGACUAUUUUUAUUGUUUUGGAUGCACAAAUUGCAUUAAGAAAAAAUAUUGUCAAAUUCAGAGGAUAACGGGAAAUAAUUAUGCUUCAAAAGGCCAGAGAUUAGAGAAUAAAGAAGCAUUCAUUACUGAUAUAAAAACUGCUUCUAUUUGGAUUUUGAAAGGGGUGAAGUUUUGAACUUCAGUUGUUCCUCUAAAAUCAAAAGCAAUAAUUAAGCAUUCUCAAUUAGAAAGAGCAAAGAAGACUUAUUGGUACCUUACUGAAGCUAACAUUAUGGCACGGUUGUUCAUAUGUAAUGGCUGCUCUGUUAUGCUAGCUUCUCUGUUUUUGCUUCUAUUUUUGCUUACAGUUUUGAAGAUAAAUUCUUGCUCAAAUAACACAUAAUUAAAUAACACUAAUAUGGCUCAUGAAAUCCUAUAAUAGCUAAUUACGCAACUUUCUCCUCCUCCUCAAUUCUGUCUUCCCCUGCUCGGACACUAACUUCAAAAUUCAAUGCCCCGAAAAACAACACAAGAAAUCUUUGAGUUAGUUCGUGACCAGUUUAUAUAUAGUAGCAAUUGAAAAAAGAAAAAGAAGAAAAGAGUUAAUUAUUUUUCAGACCUUCACUUAUUAGGAAGUUUGUUCUGCUAUUGGGUGAGAUCAAGCUCUCAGCAUAUACUUCCACAUGAUACUUUCUAACAUUUUCUUGAAAGCCAUCAAUCAUUAAAUCUUCAUACUUUUUUCCAUCCUUUGGAUCAAUAAGUACAAAUUUCUCAUCUAAAAAAGACAAAAUAAAAUCACUGUCCUUCAUGGAAUCAGAAUUGAGCUUACAAAAACCGAAGUGGACAGUUCCAUUCAGAUUGGUCGCCCGAGAACAAUGAUGAGAAGACUUAAAAUCAGUUUCAAAGGUUUUCCAAGUAUUGUUCCUCUAAACCACUUGUAUAUUUUACCAGAACUCUUGGUUAAGAAAAUCCUAGUCCAUGGAGUAUGAUAUAUCAAUCAUGCAACAAUGACCUACAACAUCUAUGUGGAUUGAUUUUUGCAAAAUAAAGAACAAUGCUGACUGAGGAAUAAGGUGCAUACCCGAUUAGCAAUAUCUCAGCAAGUAACCAACAAUUUUUUAUCUGAUAAGAAAAAAUUACAAUUUCUUGAAUAUACAUGAAACAUUUUGCAGAAAGAACCAUGUCAUAAUUAUUAGUCCAACUGAAGAAUUAUCAAUACUUAUCACAUGAAACGAAAGAUACCCGAGUUCACUUAAUGAAAUUCUCUUUUUUUUUUCUCUAACAUUGAGAUAAGCAAAAACUUUUAACUAAAGACAAUCAUCUAGUGAUCUCAAACAAAUGAGGUUAGUAUGAAACCAUCAUAAUUUGUUCGCUCAUUGCCUAAUUUUAUUAAUGCAAGAGCCUGGAAGCAACUCAAAAAGAAAAUAACCGACAUAGGAAGUGUCAUCUCAUAUCUCACCAAUGAAUGGGAACAGCUUGAUGUGGCUGAGCAAACUGGCAGAAUUGUCAUUUUAACACACGUUCAAGAAACUCAGCAAAUUCUCAUAUCUGUUUAAAUUCCACAGCAAAGAUAGUUACAAGAAAUCUAAUCAAAAUUUAAAAUGUCAGAAGGCAAAUCUUCCAAUUAGGAUCAAAAGAAGAUAAUUAUAAUUUGUCAUUUCAAUUCUGAAUGUACAAUUUUAUUUUUUUAUGUGUGCAUUAAUUAAGAUUCUACCUUCUCUGCAAAAUUGUGAUGGACUUGGUAAAUAAUGAAUUGUAUCGACUUGAAUUUUAUACAACUUAUUGAGAUAAUAAUACGCCAAAUUCAACACCGUCCAUCCCAAAUCACAACAAGAAACUCAAACUUUUAUCCCCUCAAGUGGGUUCUUGAAACUGAAGCUUUAGUGCCAGUACAAUUUUGAAAGAUUGUGAUCAAACUAAAACAUCAAAUAAAAUAAGACGUAACAAAAACACGUCUUCAGAAAAUUAGUAUAGGAAUAAGAUAAGCUACACAGACCUACUUCAAUGAAUUAGAAAAAUUAUGAUAAACUUGAUGCAUUUCGAAAAACAACAAACAAAUAUUCCCAGGAAAACAAAAAAAAGACAACUUUGUUUAAGCUUAGACAAAAAUAACUAAGGACAUAUGAAUGCAUCAUAAUAGUAUCUCUAUGGGUAAUUUUCAGAAAUCUCCCCUAAGGUAUGGUGUAUUCUUAGUUUGAUAGAAAAUAUCUAAGUAUUCUUAUAGACCUCCCCUACUGUUAGUAUUCCAUUUCGUAUAUGUUAGGUAGAUGAGGGUAAGAUCGUAAUUUGAAUAAGUUAAUGAUAAAAAAUCCAGAAAUUUUAAGAUUUUCACAUUGGCCUCUGGGCUUUAUUCAUCUCUUUCAUCCACCAAAACCAGAAAUACAACUCACCUCUCUCCUCCACCUAAAUCGAAGCAAGGUAGCUCAAAACUCAUUUCAAAAAAUUGAUCAAUUACUUGGGUCACAAACUAGAGACAAUGACGACGAAGUUGAUGACGCCAAUAUCGACGACGAAGCUGAUGACGCCAAUAUCGACGACGAAUGAUUCGCAACUGCCAGGUAAGAGAGUAUAGUAGGUUUCGCCAUCGAACGCCCAAUCAUCCAGUUGUUUUGGAGCCGCGUUAUUUUUAUUAGCUAAAAUUAGAAUUUUUAGUGAAAAAUUGAAAGUGGGUCUCAAAAUUUUUUGAGAGCGUAUAUGUUUCUCCUGAUUUUUCGAUCGAUUCGUGUUAGUUGCAGUUAAAUGAUUAAUCCAAUUCGUGUUGAAGAUAGAGCUAACUCGAAUAUCUCUAUAGUCCUGUAAUUGAUUGAAAAUGGGUCUUGAAAAUUGUUUUAGAUUUCAGCUGUGUGCUUCUGAUUUUUUCCAUGGAUUCAUGAUAGAUGAAAAUGGUUGAUGAAGAUUUGCUUGACAUGUAUAUAGAUGGUAUUUUGUUAAAGGGGUUUUAAUUUUUUCCUUUUUUGGUGGUUUCGAUUGUGGUAUUUACAUGCCUUAGGUUGAGAAAAACGAAAAUGGUUUGUUGCACUCUUUUGUGUUGGAUCAGUGAGUUUAGGCGAUUUGAAAUGGUUUGCGGCAUUCAAUUGAUUGUUUUAUUUAUGUGGUUUGAUAUGGGAAAAGUAUAAUAAAAUUCAAUUGUUCCAUAUGUCAAUUUGGAUGUUUUGAAAUUAUGAACUACAAAAAGUUAAAAUUAAUUUCUUAUUAUAUUUUCAAUUGAAAGUUACUAUUGUCUUCUUUUUAGUACUUAGUAUGCAUUUUUCCCCAUCUUCUAGUGGUGGUGUUGCACCCAUUUUGAAUUUGAUCGGCAUCUUCUUCUGUACAUGCAUGUUUCUUGGACUCCAAUUUUUGUUUCAUAUGAUGAAGCUAAUUUAAUUCCUCCUUUUUAAUAUCAACUUUGUUCAUCUAGGUUUGCGAUUUUGAUCUUUCUCAUUUGAAGGCAAACACAUUUAUGUCAUCAAAAUUUCCAAUAUUUUUUAUUUUAUAGUAUCCAAACUGCUUAUGGCAAUAUGAAAUUGAGAAUAUUUCUUUCAUCAUGUUAACCUAAGUGGAUGGUGGAUGAUGUUUGUGUAAGAGAUUUAAGUUAUUUGUAUUAUAGAAUAUGUCUUAUGUUUUGAUUUGCAAUUUCACCAUUAAAUUGGCUUUGUAAAUGAUUAGAAGCUAAAUGCAUAAAAUGAAAACAAUAGUAACAUUUCUGAGUGGGGUAUAAUCAGAUGCUAACAUGGCGAUCCAUGACUUGUAAUUUCUAUUGUCGUUAUAAUUGGACUAGAUCGAGGUAAACUGACUUUUCUUGUUCUGUUUUUUUUUUCAUUUCUUUGUUCUAGAUUUUUCUUUCUUUGUUUUACUUCUGGUUUCUUCUUCAGCAUAUUCAAUAACUAGCAUGAGCAAAUGGAGAGGAAAAGGGUAGAAUAUGCUUUUAAAAAAAAAGAAAAGAAAAAAAGAGAUAGCUCUAAUUCAAAAAUAAGGAGGAGAAAAGGGCAAUGAUUGAAGUUGUGGAGAAGAAAUUCUUAAUGCAUAGGAGAUGACAACAAAGUGUUGCAACUGGGAGCAGUUUUAAAGUGCUAUUCGAUUGCUUUUGUAAUCAAAUUGUCUUUUGUACCUAUUUAUACACACACAUAUUUGUAUUUGUAAUUUGAAUUUUACAUUUUCUCAAGACAACUAUGUUUAUUUUAAAAAAAAUCUAAAUGUAACUAAAAUAUUAAAGUUUUUGUACUUAUUACUCCAUUUGAUGAUUUUUUUUAUUUUUUUGCUGACGAAUAUUCCAUGUCAAUUUUUUUCCCUUCAGCUCGUUUAAGGUGUUUUAUUGUCUGAUGUGAUAUUUGGUGCUCGGGAGGAAGGGUGUUUUAAGUCUUUUUUGGUGUCAGGGGCAAUUUUGUCUUUACAUCAGUCAACAAAUAGUCAAUGGAUGGAAAUGCAAACAGCAGGGGAGGUGUCUGAUAAUACACGGAUACUUUCUAUCAAACUUAUAAUACACAAAAUCUCAGGGGAGGUUUUUGAAAAUUACCCAACUGUGCAAAAUUAUGAAAAAAAUGAGCUAAACAUAUAUAGCAUUUCAGAGGAGUGCUUACUUGACAAAUCACUAAUACAAAGCUGCGAAUGGGCAUUCGGAAUGUUUUGAGAGACUCGUAUGGAUAAAAUAUGUAGUUAUUUAAGUAAUGACAGAAGGAGAAUCGUGUGGCUUGUCAAAGCCGUUAGCUCCAUCUCAUUUGCCUCGUCCUCUCGUUUUGUUUCUGUGGGGACAUAUUUGAUAUUUUGGAUUUUGUCUAAAAUUCGUCAUGUUUUUGGAUACUAACAUCUGCGCCUCUAGACCAAUAGCCAUUUGAUUAAGUGGGAGAACCCUUACACUAGUGUAAGAAUUUGAACUUUUAUAAAAUUAUUUAUGAGAUUAUUUAUAAUUUUUUUUAAUUAUCAAAUAAUUGAGUAGAGUCAGUUUAAUCCUUACGAAAUAUUUACUAUUCAUAAAUAUCUUUUUUUUUCUCUAUCUUACAAUUGAAUAUUCUCUCUCUACUCCAACAUUAUGUAACCUAAAUAUUUAAUUUCACUCUUUUUUAAUUUAUUUUUUUGUCUUUUCUUAGUAUAUUAUAAUCUUUAUUUCAUGUUUUCUAUAUAUAAGAAUUUUUUUAUAUCUAUUAAAUUUUGUGUUUAGUGAAAAUUAAUUUCUUGAUAUUUUUAAUUUUUAUAAUUGAUAAAAAUAUAUCAAUGUUCAUUUUUAAAUGAUGGGUUUUGUUCAUUUUAGUUUGUUAUAUUAAUUUUUUGUAGGUAAAAGAAUAUAUUUGAAUGAAUUGAAGGAAAAUUGUGAAAUUGAGAAGAGAAAGAGAAGAAAAAGUUAAUUAAAUAAUUUUUUCAAAAAUUAUUUAAAUAAUAAAAUUCUUAAUUAAAAACAAAGAUGGAGAGAGAAAUUUAGUGGGUUCAAAAUACUUAUUUUAAAUCCAAAAAAGAACCAAUAAAAGAAAUCAAAAGAUGAUUCUUUUCUUUCUGACAUAUUUCUCUGUACUUUUCUCUCUCUACUGAUUCACAAUUUUUCAUACUUCUAACUAUCAUUUUAUUCAAGUAUUUUGUAUUUUUAAUGACAAUUAUUUAAUUUUUAGUUAGUUUUGAUAUUGAUUAGAGAUUUAAAGUGUAUUUUAGAAGACUUCCGGUCUCUUGAAAAAAGGAAAAAUGGAGAAGAAGAAGUGUUCUUGAUUUUUUGUAGGCGUUAAAGUUAAAUGGUUUGAAAUGAUAUUCUUUUUUAAUUUCACUCAUUAAUCUCAUUCAAGAUAAAAUUAUAAAUGCAAAUAAAUGGGGUUUCAUAAGUAUUUUUAAUAGUGUUAAAAGGUCUACUCACUAAAUAAACAUGUUUAACCCAAACCAAUGCGAUUAGUAAGUUAUUGGGUUGGGUUAAUCAGGUUAAAAAUCAAAAUUAAAAAUUAAAUAAAUAAAAAAGGUAUAAAAACUAUCUGUUACUUGAAAAUAAAAAGAAUUUCUAAUUGUUAGUUCUAAUGUCCCAUAUCCAAAACAUGCAUAUUAAAUAAAUAUUAUAAGUUAGAAAUACAAUAUCCAAGAAAGAAUGAAUGAAAUACCAUAUUUUUGUUGAGAAUUAAGAGUGUGAUUUUAAUUUUGAUAUUGGAGUCUAAAGUGCCACGUUUAAAUAUUCUCUUUUAUAAAAUAAUAAAAAGAGGUUAAAAAUUAGGUUAGCAAUUUAGCCAUUUAGGGUUUAGCAAUUAAGGAUGAACAUAUUAUUGUUGUUGUUGUUAUUAUUAUUAUUAUUUAUAUGUUUACUAAUCCAAUCCAAUCCAAUUAUUAACGAAUUUGAAAAAAUUGAUUCAAUCAAGCCAUAAUAAUUCAUUCAACUCGUCUAAAUUGGAUUAGGUUGAAUUUGGUUUGCCACCCUUGUUUUGAGCAACAAACCUCAAUGUGAUUCCAUGAGCUCUUUGAUUGUUUAUAAAAUUGUUUAUGAAAGUGCAAAAUAAAUUAUUGUAUACAUUAAAAUGUGCAAAACAAUGAAUUAUAUGUACGAACGAGUGCAAACACAUUUUUCAAUAAGAAGUUAAAAGAUAUUUAUGCAUGAAAAAGCCUACGUUUGUAGUUAUUCUAAAUUUUAAAAACAAAAUUUACAUUUAGAUCCCUAAAAUUUACGUAUAAGUACAAAAGUUUCAAAUAUUGUCUAUUAUUUUUUUAACAUGCCUAUUCCUUGUGGAUAAUUCUAUCUCAUCACUAAUGUUGUUUCUUGCUUACAAUUUGUAUAGUGUCUCAAAAUAGACAAUAGGGGGAUUUUGAAUUUUUUAAGUCUCAAUAUAGUCUCUAAUCUUGUGAGAAAGAUUUUCUUUCAAUAAUUUGGAGGUAAACAUAACAUAACUUUUUGGACUAAAGCCUAACUCUGCUGGUUAUGGUGGUAUCCUUUUCAAGACCUGCGUCUUUAGAUUCGAGUUUUAUAGUGUGCAUGCGUAUUUAAUUAAUAAUUUUUUAAAACAAUACAUCAAAUAUUAAUAUCCAUGACAUAAUUUAGUUCUUAAUUUUUUUUUUAAAUACAUCAAAAACAUAAUUUUUUUAACAACUUAUAGGCAUGACAAAUUUCAAGAUAUAAAUAUCAGUCAAAAUAAGUGAAAGAAAUAAUGGUGCCAAUUCUAAUUUCUUAACUAAAUUAAUUAGUGCAUGAGCCCCGAAUACGACACGAGAGUUUGAUGGGCUAACAUGGCACAAGAACCUGAAUAAAUAAUUGAUUUAAGAAAUAAUUCAAUGAAAAAUAUAAUUGAUAAGAAUUCAGUAUUGAAAUGAGUUUUUUAUGAAACACUGAAUUAAUGAUUAUUAAGCAAGAACAAUAAAAAAUAAAUAUUAAUCAUUGAUAAGUUUCAACAAAAGCUUAACACAAUCCUCAAUCCUAAUUCAAAUUAUAAAUGUCAUUCAUAUAUUCAUUAUAAUCAACAACAAAGGUUAUAAAUGUUUAGAAAUUCUAGAGGGAAGGAAGCUAUCGCUGGGCAAUCAACAACUAAAUUUGAUGUAAUUGUGGCACGAGAUGGAAUAUGGAAACUACACCAUAAUUUCAAAUGCCGCCAUAGACAUUGACUUAUCUACAAUAACAAUGAUCUAAUUAAAAUAAAAAUAGAGUUUAUGGGCAUUUAUUAAAAUAAAAAUAGGAGUGAAGUAAAAACAUUUAGAUUUUAAUGUAUGUACGGAAAAAUUUAUCUUUAAAAAUACUUUCUUAAUGUGUGUGUGCAUAUUGAAAUACUCAAACCAAUUUUGGUUAUAUAUAAUUCAACAAAAUUUAAAAUAUGAAAAAUAUAAUGUAGUUAUAGUGGAUAAGCAAUAAGUGAGCACAAUAUAAUUAAUCAAAUACUAUGCUAUCAAAAGUUAAUUUUAGAAAUUCCAAAUCCAAUAGCUAACACAAUUCUUUAAAGAAAUAACAAGGGGCAUUGGGCAAGAGUAAUGAAUGCUUAGUGGGUGCAUUUGAUUGAUAGAUAUAUAAAGGGCCGAAACUUGAUAUUAUAUUACUUUUACAAAAUUUAAUCCAAUCACAUAUUUAAUGAAAACAAAAUGAGUUAGGAUUGUUUAUUUAGAACCCACAUUUUAAUAAGGCUUCAUUUGAUGUAGUUUUUCAAACAUUGAUUAUUUGAGUAAUUACAAAGUACAAUACGUACCAAGUUUGGUAACUUAAUUGACAUCUUCUCAUAUAACCUUCGAUCAAGUCGAUUCUGACCUGACGACUAAUUGGUACAUCACCGUUGUUCUCUAUACUCGCAUGCAUCCGAUCACAAAUCUCACUCCAAUUGUCGUCUUUCUUCGGCGUUUUAGCGCAUCCUUCUUGAAUUUCCCGCAUUUCGUUCCCUCCUGUUACAAGUCUCCGGUCAGGUCAGUUCACUUGACGAUUAAUUCGGCAAAUCUCGAAUCUCUUCUCUAUCCCUCUCGUUUUCUCGUGUCUCCUUUCAGUUUAAGUGAUUGAAUCAAUUUUAUCGCAGUCUUAAGAGAAAUUAAGUAAUGCUCUUGGAUUUAAAAUUUUUUUGCUUUCGACUUUAGAUCUCGAAAGUCAAACUCUGCUACGAAUCCAUAGAUUCUCAAUGUUUAUAAUCUUAUUUGUGUUUGACCAGGUAACUGGAUCGUGAAAUUCGUCGUUUUGUAUCAAUUCAAGCUUUCGCGAGCUCAUGGAAUCCCCUGGUGAGUUGUGGUGAAACGUUAUCGUUUCAAUUUUCGCUUAAUUCUUUAUUGCAUAUUUUUUUCUCUCUAAUAUUUCAGUUUAAUUUAGAAAAGAAAGAGGACCCAAAAAGAGAGAGAGAGAGAGAGAGACUCUACCAUACUCAAUUCCUUGCUCAUUCUGAUUUGGCCUGAAUGUUGGCAUUGACUAUUAUUUGUUUUCAUUUCGAUUUAAUUCUCAUUUAGACAGUCUUUUUUAACUAGCAAUAAUCUUUUUAAGGAAAAUGAUAAUAGGGAUUCUGCAAUAAUCUUUUUAAGGAAAAUGAUAAUAGGGAUUCUGCAAUAAUCUUUCUGCAUUGUUCAAGUUAGUAGACAAUGAAUAGGGUGUUUAUGUUUACCUCAUUUUGAACCCUGAGGGCUUCGUUGAGUAGUUGAUCCAACAUAUCCAGCACCGGUUGAUGUGAGAACAGGAUGCCAUUUAGAUAGGCUUAAACUGAUUUUGGAGGUUUGUAUUCAUUCUAUUGUAUGUCUUGCUUACAAAUUUUUUAUUUUUUAUUUUUAAUUUUGUAUAAUAUGCUCUUUGUUGGUAAAUCUCAUUUGACUUAGAAGAGAUAGUUUUAUCCCAACAGUGGGAUAAAUCAUUGAGAUGCAUGGCAGUGUGAAUAUAGUAGACAAAAUCAUUGAGACAGAUGGUGGUGUGAACAUAGUAAACUUUGUCAAACACAGCUAAGAUAAACAAAUUGUUUCAUUAGCCUUUAUCUUAUCUGCUGUGAUGAUUCAAAUUAAUGCUGUUUGGUAGGUUGCAAAAAACGAAAUGAGCUGACUGUUCAUAUUAUUUAGUCAGAUCUAUUGCAAUAAGUUGAAGUUCACUGUCACAUGGGUUGGGAGUAGCGUGGGCUGUGAGUAGUAGAAUGGAUUUAUGGAGUUGAUACAAGUGCCCAUAAUCUAUCAUGUCAUUCUAGGAUUAAAUGGAUUGCACAUUACUGUAAAGAUGGAGGUUAAAUUUAUAUAAUUCGGAUUGAUUGUAAAAUGGGAGGCAGAGAUGAGUUAGAAAAAAAAUGACCUGUGUCCUUUUUGAGCUGUUUCUAAAUCUCCCUGGUGUGCUUCAUGCUUAACACGUGUCUGUCCAAAUAAUUUUGCUUAACCUGUGCUUGUCUACUUCUUGUGCUAUUCUGUGCCUGGUCCUGAGCUGUGUUGGUAGAUUGACAUAAUUUUGCUCUGCUAAAUGUAUAACUUAUUAAUCAGAGUCCUGUUAUUAUGGUUUGACACUACUGACAUGUUGUGUUGGUAUUUAUUUGUACUUCCCUUGGUUGAAUUAUUUGCUGUCUCCAUGCCAUUCGAUAUGGUGCUACUUGGUUUUUGAUCAUCCAUGACGCUAUAUAUAUGUAAAGGAUGAAUUGAUUGUUUUGGCUUGUAUUCUCACAUUUUAUGAUUGAUCGAUGGAAAGGUCUUCAUGUAUUAAAUUCAACCUCACAAGCGUAAGAUUGACAGAUUGUGGGAAAAUUUUCAGGAAAAGAAACUAGACUUCAUGGAAGCAAUGAAGCUUGAAAUUGAACGUCUGCAGCUGCAUCUUUCUGCAGCUGAAAGGGAUAGAGCUUUAUUGUCAAUUGAAACUGAUCCUGCCUCUAUAAAUCCAAAUGUAUUGCUUGAUGAAUCUUACAUGGGAAGACUGUCGAGUAGCAACCACUCUUGCAUUACUUGGCCAAACUUCCCUAGAAGACAAAAUUGUUGGUGCAAUUGGCCUUGAGAAUAGUGAUGAUAGUGUUUUAGACUUCUGGAAUAUUACUAGAAUCGGAGAGAGUUGUUCUGGUGGCGGGUGCAAGGUUUGUGCAGAAACUAAGGUGCCUGCUCUUGCUUCCUCAACUGCAACAUCUGUUGGAGCUUCACAAUCCCCUUUGUUGUGUUCUCAAUGUGAAAGAAAAGUUUGCAAAGUUUGUUGUGCAGGAAGAGGAGCUCUACUGUUUUCAAAUUAUAAAUCAAGGGAUGUGACCAACUACAAUGGCUUCUCAAGUCAGAGUGGAUGAAGCCAUGGAAGCCAAGUUGAUGUAUCUACCAGUCGUUCACUAACACUGGAUGGCGUUAUCUGUAAACACUGCUGCCAUGAGAUUGUGCCUGAUGCAUUGAUGUUGGACCAUGUUAGGGUCUUGAUUAGCUUGCGAAGAAGUUCCUGUGCAGACAACGCAGUCAUACAAUGCUUUGAAUGAGGUUGUUGGAUCCUGCUUAAAGGAUAGUGUUUCUGAAAGGAUUCAGUCUUCCGAUAACGUGCAAGCUGCUGAAGUCCUUCACCAAUUAUGUGGUGGACAGGAAUCACUUGCUGAAUUUCCAUUUGCUAGCUGUUUGCACUAGGUAUGUUCUUGGUUUGUAUUCAGUUCUCAUCAUGUUAUGUUUUCCUUUUAAAUUUCUUUUCUUGAUUAAAAUUUUUAGAAAUAUGUUUUAGUAUUUGUUCUUAUGAUAUAUGCCCAGAACAUUCAUCCCACUUAUCCAUGAGAAUCCUUGUCUGGUUUGAUUUUCAAUUGAGACAUUUUUGGGAACCCUGAGCAGGUUCCAUAUGCUAAUAAUCUUUGAGGUAAGGUGUUGUAGGAUGCCUUGAGAAGCUAAAAACCUAUUACAAGGAAAAGCUCUUGCAUUGUUUUGUGGAAUCUGUGUUGUGAAAAUAGGUAGAGAAAAAGUUUAUGGAAUAAUUCUCUUAUUUCAUAUGUUCAUGAGACUGUACACAGUCUUUAUAUAGGGAUACAAGAGACUAAGAAAGGAAAGAAAAAAUUAAAGCAGAAUAUUACACACUGAUUUCUAGGAAGCAAUAACUCUAUAUUUACACCAAAUAUACACCUAAAUAUAUAAGGAAAACCAAAUCAAUUUGAUUUGGUCAACCUUUCAACACUCCCCCUCAAGCUGGUCUAAAAAUGUCUUUCAUGGCCAGCUUGCAAACCAAUUUCUCAAAAUGUUUCUUAGGUAGUCCCUUGGUGAGUAUAUCAGCAAUCUGCUCAUUUGUAGGAAUGUAGGGCAUGCAGACCAAACCACUGUCCAGUUUUUCUUUUAUGAAAUGUUUGUCCACUUCAACAUGUUUAGUUCGGUUGUGGAGUACUGGAUUAUGUGCUAUUGCAAUGGCAGAUUUGUUGUCACAAUAUACUUUCAUAGGUAGAGAAUUAUUUGCCUUAAGUUCUUCAAGAACUUUUUUGAUCCAAAAAACCUCACAAAUUCCUAGAGCUACUGCUCUAUAUUCUGCCUCUGCACUACUUCUUGCUACCACAGUUUGUUUCUUGCUGCGCUAAGUGACCAAAUUUCCUCCGACAAAGGUGCAGUAACCCGAAGUGGAUCUUCUAUCGGUUACACUACCAGCCCAGUCAGCAUCAGUGUAGACUUCUACUUGUAGGUGCCCGUUUUUUCUAAACAAAAGACCUUUACCCGGAGAUCCUUUUAAGUAUCUAAGGAUUCUAUAUACAGUUUCAAAGUGUUCUGGUCCUGGAGCAUGCAUAAACUGGCUGACUAAGCUCACUGCAAAGGCUAUGUCCGGGCGUGUAUGUGAAAGGUAGAUUAAUCUACCUACAAGGCGUUGGUACCGAUCUAUGUUGGUCACAUCUUCAAUAUUAGCUGGCUGUAAUUUCAUAUUAGGAUCUAUGGGUGUCUCGGCUGCUUUACAUCCGAGUAAACCUGUCUCUUCAAGCAAAUCAAGAACAUACUUGCGUUGAGACACAACAAUCCCAUCUUUUGAUCUAGCAAACUCCAUGCCCAAAAAAUACUUCAGGUUGCCUAAGUCUUUGAUUUCAAAGUCACGUGCAAGCACUUUCUUUAAUCUGCAAAUCUCAACUAAGUCAUCACCAGUCAAAAUUAUAUCAUCUACAUAUACAAUUAACACGACUAAUUUCCCUUCAAUAGAAUGUUUGUAAAACAUUGUAUGAUCUGCCUGACUUUGGGAGUAGCCGUGUCCCUUUAUAACAUUACCAAAGCGUUCAAACCAUGCUCUAGGAGACUGUUUGAGCCCAUACAAAGACUUAUGUAGUUUACACACUUUACUGUUGCCAUGAUUUCCCUCAAAACCUAGUGGUAAAUCCAUAAAGACUUCUUCUUCUAGCUCCCCAUUCAGAAAAGCAUUUUUAACAUCUAACUGGUAUAGAUUCCAAUCAGAAUGUACAGCCAAUGAGAUAAGGACCCGGAUGGAAUUUAUCUUUGCAACGGGGGCAAAAGUUUCUUGAUAAUCAAUUCCGUAGGUUUGAGUGAAUCCUUUUGCUACAAGCCUUGCCUUAUAUCUCUCAACACUCCCAUCAGCAUUACAUUUAAGUGUAAACACCCACUUUCAACCCACAGUUUUCUUUUCUUUUGGUAAAUCCACAAUCUCCCACGUACCAUUCUUCUUUAGAGCAUUCAUUUCCUCUAAAACUGCUAACUUCCAAUCUGGGUGGUCUAGGGCUUCUUUUAUGGUUUUAGGAAUUGGUAUUUGAGAGAUUUUUGUGGUAAAGGCUCUUUGUUUAUUGGACAACUUUUCAUAGGAAACAUAUCUAGCAAUGGGGUGCUUAGUACAGGUUCGGGUUCCUUUCCUAUGUGCUAUGGGUAAGUCAAGAUCAGGAAAAAAAGUGCUGAAAUGUUUAGGAGAAGAAAUGUUACCUGAAUUUUCUGAGGAAUCAGUGCUUGGAGGCAACGAUUGAGGCUGUAUCGAGUUUAUGAGAGGGUCUUUACUGUUGUGAUGAUACUUUCGAGUAUAAACACGCAGCUCUGGUGGUGGAAUUUUAUCUUGUAGUAUUUCUCCCCCUGUCUCUGGUACAUUAACACUUGGUUCCUGUAGUUCAAGGUUUCCUAGGUUUUCAUUAUUAGAAAUAUCAGUUUUUUGAGUUUGAGUUGGAGUGCCCAGAUCAGGUAAAAACUGAUUAGGCAUAGGUGUAGAAGUAUGCCAAAAAUGAUCUUCACUAUUUUCUUUCUCCCCCUGAAGAGAAUUUUGGCCAAAAAAAGGUUGAUUUUCGAGAAAUAUAACAUCCAUACUGACAUGGAAUUUCUUUGUUUGAGGAUUGAAACAUUUGUAACCUUUUUUAUUAGGUGCAUAGCCCAAGAAAACACAUUUUUCAGAUCUAGGAUCCAAUUUAGAUCUAAGAUGGUUAGGAACAUGAACAAAUACAGUGCACCCAAAGACUCUUAACUGAAUAUUGGAGGUAAUCCUACUAGAAGGAUAUAUAAGUGUGAAGUAUUCUAAAGGUGAUUGAUACUUUAAAACACGGGUAGGCAUCCUAUUAAUCAAAUAACAUGCUGUUAAAACAGCAUCACCCCACAAAUAUUUAGGAACAUGCAUAGAGAGCAUGAUAGCCGACUAACUUCAAGUAAAUGGCGGUUUUUUCGUUCCGCAAUUCCAUUUUGUUGUGGAGUAUCACGACAAGUGGAUGUGUGAAUUAUACCCUUUUCCUUACAAAACACCUCUAGAUAAUUAUUAAAAUAUUCAGUACCAUUAUCUGUAUGGAGUAGACUUAUUUUUGUUUGAAAUUGAUUUUCAACCAUGUUAUAAAAAUCUUUGAAUAACCCCUCAACUUCAGAUUUUUCUCUCAUUAAAUAAACCCAACAAAGCCGAGUAUGAUCAUCUAUGAAUGUUACAAACCAUUUUUUUCCAGUUAAAGUGUUGAUUUUUGAGGGUCCCCAAACAUCACUAUGAAUUAAAUAAAAAGGUUUUGAGGCACGAUAAAUAAGUGCUUUAUAUGAAACUCGAUGACUUUUAGAUAAAAAACAACUUUCACACUGAAAAGUAGUACAAUCAACAUUUUUAAAUAAAUUUGGAAACAAAUAUUUCAAAUAAGGAAAGCUAGGGUGUCCUAGUCUAAGGUGCCAAAGCAUUAUUUGAUCCCUAGCAGAGUUUGAACUAAUACUACUGCUCAAACCUUGAGUUUGUUUAUUCCUUGAUAAGUAGUCAUCAAAAUAGUAAAGACCUUCUCGCAAACUAGCACUGCCAAUCAUCGUCCCCAAGUCCCUGUCCUGAAAUUCACAAUGGGAGUCAAAAAAGACAGCACAACAAUUAGAAUCUUUGGUUAAUUUACUGACAGAUAACAGAUUGCAAGAAAGUUUAGGGACAUGUAGCACAUUUUUAAGCUCAAUGGUUCCAGAGAUUUUUAUUGAUCCUUUUCCAGCUAUGGAAGAUAAGCUUCCAUCAGCAACUCUUACCUUUUUGUUACCAGGGCAAGGAUAAUAGGAAUCAAAUAAACUAGAAAUGCUAGUCAUAUGAUCAGAAGCACCCGAAUCAAUAAUCCAUGGUGCAGUAGUUGAGUGGCUAAAUAGAGCAUUAAUAAUACUACCUGUUUGGGCUAGUGAACCACUAGGAGUACUAGGUGGAGGAUUAGAAGUCAGCAGCUUUAUGAGAUGGUCAAUUUGCUCCUUGCUGAGAUUUUUUUCUAGAUUCUCCACUUCAUUGGCAGACGCACGGCUAUGCUUGCUGUUUUUCCAAUCUGCAGGCUUUCCGUGGAGUUUCCAGCAAGCCUCCCGAGUAUGGCGUGGUUUAUUACAGUAAUCACACCAUACUCGAGGUUUUUGUUGCUGUUGAGUGAUGGAGCGGGUAGCAUUAUCUGCUGUAACAAGGGCAGAUUUUUCCACAGAGACAACGGAGUUCUUUUUUCCCAACAUAACACCUCGACGACUUUCUUCUCUCCUUACUUAAGAGAAAACAUCCUCAAGAGUAGGAAGUGGCUUUCUCCCAAUAAUUCUUCCUCUUACCUCAUCAAAUUCAACAUUGAGCCCAGCCAGGAACUUGAAGAUUCGCUCAUUAUUGACAGUUUGUUUGUGGUGUUUAAAAUCUUCCAUGCUCUCCCACUCGUAGUCGUUGAAUAAGUCCAGAUCUUGCCACAAUCUCUUUAGAGUAUUGAAGUAUUUUGUUAUACUAUAAUCUCCUUGACGGAUAUCUCCAAGAGCAAGCUGCAACUCAUAGAUCUGGGACUGAUUUCCAUAGUCAGAGUACAUCUGACUCACAUUAUCCCAGAGUUCUUUUGCAGUAGAGUAGCACAUAUAAUUUGCACCAAUGUCUUCAUCCAUGGAGUUGACUAACCAUGCCAUAAUCAUGGAGUUUUCGGCAUCCCAAACACCAUAAGAGGGAUCAGAUAUUUCAGGAGCCUUAACAUCUCCGGUAAGAUAACCAAUCUUCCCUCUUCCCCUAAUAUACAUUCUAACCGACUGAGACCAUCUUUGAAAAUUUCCUUCAUUCAGCCGGAUAGUUGUAAUCUGGACAGAAUGAGAUUCAGAAUGGGAAAUUUUUGGUUCUAGUCUUUUUGAGGUGACUGUGGUUUCAGAAGAUUGGUCAGACAUGGUAGGGAAGAGAUCAGAAAGAAAGGGAGCCUAGCUCUGAUACCAUGUGAAAAUAGGUAGAGAAAAAGUUUAUGGAAUAAUUCUCUUAUUUCAUAUGUUCAUGAGACUGUACACAGUCUUUAUAUAGGGAUACAAGAGACUAAGAAAGGAAAGAAAAAAUUAAAGCAGAAUAUUACACAUUGAUUUUUAGGAAGCAAUAACUCUAUAUUUACACCAAAUAUACACCUAAAUAUAUAAGGAAAACCAAAUCAAUUUGAUUUGGUCAACCUUUCAACAUGUGUGCUAGCAAGUCAUGUCUCUAAUAAUUUCAUAGUUUGCUUGAUUGGAAUUUUUUAUCUUGAUAUGGAUUGUUUAUUCUAGAUUCCUUGGUGCUGUAGGUUGAAACAGCAAAAGAUUCAGCACCGAUUUUGUCACUGCUUGCUCCAUUAAAUUCUGGAUCAAGGCACUCAUAUUGGAGAGCUCCACCUUGUACUACUUCUGUUGAAUUUGUUAUUGUUCUCUGUUCUGUUUCUGAUGUCAGUGGGGUUAUCUUGCUUGUUAGUCCUUGCGGCUAUUCUGUGGGUGACACUCCGAUGGUAAGUGCCAUAUUUAUUCCCUUAUUUCCUUGUUGUUCAAUAAAUUUGGUGAUAAGCCAAGUGGCCUUAAUAAUGAAGCCCAGUACCAGGGGUGGUGGGUAAUCGAUAUUCAACUUGUGAAUAUUCCUAAGCAAGCACUGAAUCAACAUAGACCUCGGCAAAAGUUCUCCAUGCUAUUAUAACGAAAGUCAUAUUUUGAAAUGAUUAAAAGAGUCCCUGUGUAGUGCUAUUUCCAAAGAAAUUGCAGCUGGAGGUUUAGUUUCAUGUAGGUUAGUUUCCGAUAAUAAACUUUCCAUUUCAUUAAUUGCUGAUGAAAAAACCAAGUAAGAACAGUUUUGUUGCUCGUCAUUUAUGUAUAUUUUGGUAAACUGUAAUUUUAAAUUCUCAACGAUCUUCCCUUUGUAGGUAAGAAGAUGGUCCACUCACUUGAUAUUUAUGAUUGUAGAUCAGGUUUCUAUUGGUUUGCCUUUAUCAUUCGGAACCCAAGUUUGAUAUUAACAGAGAUCACGUCAAUAAUAUCCUAUUUGGGUAGAUGUGGGUGAGGAUUUAAAAUCAAAUUUGAAAUUGAGGGCAAAGAAGAGAAAAGAAACCGCAAUAAUUAAACAAAAUAUUAGGAACUAUUCUGAUGAGUUUUAAUCUCGAGAGGAACAAUUUUCAAAUGCAAAAUUUAACUGCUAGAGAAAUUGUAGCUUUUUGUCAUUAGUUAAGAGGAAAGAGAAUAAGAACUAUCUGGCCCUUUCCUUCAUGAAUGUGUGUUGAGGUUGCUGUAUUAUUUAGUCAGUAUUUGUAAUUUUCUUCCCUGCAGUGCUCUCUGCCUCCUGAAUUUGCUACUGAGUCCAUAUUUUUCUUUGAGCUGUUGCUUCCUAUUGCUGUUACAGGUACAAAUCUGGGCAAGCAAUAAGAUACACCGGGAGGACAGGUCAUCAAUGGGAAAAUGGGAUGUCCAAUCCCUCAUCACAUCUUCUUCAGAUUUGUAUGGUCCAGAAAAGUCUGCUAGUGUUGAAAAAUUACCUAGGCAUGUAAAAUUUACUUUUAAGAAUCCUGUUAGGUGCCGCAUUGUUUGGAUCACAUUACGUCUUCAGAGACCUGGUUCGGCUUCAGUUAAUUUCGGGAAUGACUUCAGUCUUUUGUCUCUUGAUGAAGAUGAAAACCCCUUUGCACAAGUAGACAGACGUGCUUCAUUUGGAGGAGCAGUUGAAAAUGAACCAUGUAUUCAUGCCAAAAGAAUUCUUGUAGUCGGAAGCCCAGUAAAAAGGGAGGGGCUUACCACAUCACAGAGCUCUGAGCAGCUAAGUAUUAGAAACUGGUUGGAUAGAGCUCCACAAAUGAGUAGAUUCAAGGUAUUAGUUGCUUUCACUCUUUGUUCAUUCAUAAUUCCAGCUUUCUGCUUGAUGCCUUGCCUCUGAUAAACCUCUUUUUUCUCUUCAGGUCCCAAUUGAGGCCGAGAGAUUGAUGGACUACGAUCUCGUCUUGGAACAGUAUCUACCUCCAGCGUCACCUUCGCUUGCCGGAUUCCGUCUAGAUGCUUUCAGUGCAAUAAAACCUAGGGUUACCCAUUCACCUUCCUCAGAUUCAGAUAUCUGGGACAAAUCAGUAACAUUUUUAGAAGACAGGUACAUCUCUCAAGCUGUGUUGUAUUUACAAGUAUCCGCACUCCAGGAACCACAUAACAUGGUAACUAUUGCGGAAUAUCGACUGCCGGAGGCUAGAGCCGGAACGCCAAUGUACUUUGAUUUCCCACGACCGAUACAGUCCCGACGAGUUUCAUUCAAGCUUCUUGGAGAUGUUACAGCAUUUGCAGAUGAACCUUCAGAACAAGAUGAUUCAGGAUUGAGAGCUCCACUUGUGGCCACAGGUUUGUCUUUGUCAAACAGAAUCAAGUUAUAUUAUUAUUGUGAUCCUUAUGAGCUCGGAAAAUGGGCAAGCCUUUCUGGAGUUUGAUCGUUAUUUAUAUGUCAGAGAAAGGGUUUUGGGUUUGAUUUUGAUUUUGAUUUGUAAUUUUUGUCAGUUUAUUGAAAUUUUUUGUUGUAUAAAAGCAGAAUGUAAAGGUAUAAAAAUUCAUUGAUGCUGCAAUGUCUGUGCUUUUGAGAAAGAAAGAAUUCUAUGGCUUUUCUAUGCCAUUGGAUUUUCCACUGCCUGUAAACUUGGGCUGUCGAAUGCUCUGUGAACCUUAAGGGCUAUAAAGUAAUUUUCAAGACUGAAGGAUUUAUUAAUCGAGUUCAAAAGAUUGCAAGUUGGUGAGCGUUGGCAUUUAAAAAAUCAAUUGUUAUUCUCUCAAUAAUCUCUGUCUUCUGCCGACACCCCAUGCUCAGAAACCCAUUGUUCCGACGGACGUGUAACACUUCUAGAAAUUGUUUUGAUCUCUCCUCGUGAAGUGUUUUCUUUUUCGAGUGAAGGUGGUUUUCUACUUGCAUACGUCGGGGGUCUUAUGAUAUGUAAUGUGUGAAAUUUCUUUCUCAUUUUACCAUAAAGAAAAAUGUUGUAAUAAUCUAAAGCUCGAGUCUUAAAUUAUCUUAAAUUUAUAUUUAGAGUGGAGCUAUUCGCAAUCCUACAUUAAAAUUACAAAUAAAAAUAAUUGAAAAUUAAACACUUAUAGAUUUUUUUUACAACAAAUUAUUUAAUUCAUAAUCAAUCCUUUAAAAAAAAAAAUCCAUAUGUUACUUGCUAUCUAACUAAAAUAAAUUUUACAAAUUUAGAAUAAUCUAUUGAUUUCUUUUGAUUUCUUAUUAAUUAAAUAUUUUUAUACAUAAAAUUGCUUUGAAAUUAUAAUUUGAAAUAUGUGUUAUUUCAGCCAAUGAUUAACACUAAAAAACUUAUCACCCAUAUAACUUUUUAAUUUGUGUGUAGGGUAAUAAUAAAAUCAAAAAUAAUUAAAAAAAUAGUACAAUAAUGAGUUUUAACAAUAAAACAAAUCAAAUGAAAAUUGAAAAUUUAGAAAAAAUGUAUCUAAAAAAGGGAACGUUUUUUAAAAUAAAAUGAAUAUAACUAAAAAGGGGUUUUAUGAGAAGAGCAGAGGGGUGCCAAUAGUCCAACUUGUAAUUAAGAAUCUCCCAUUAUAUUGUCAACCAAAAAGACACUUGAAUAAGAAGAAGAAUUUAUCAGUUUGAUUUUAUUUAUAGAUCCAACAUUUCUCAUAUCCUAAACGCCUUUCCGUAUCAAAUUAAAACAGUAGUCGCAAAAUCGUAGUAUUAAAAUCGUAGUGCACAUUCAAUUAACCAACUAAUAGUCUUUGGUAUAAGAUUUUAUAUUAGCUAGCCAAGUAGGUUGUCCAUCCCACUCAGACAUGAACGAAAGCUAAAUUCAUCAAAUGGUGUUAUACUAUUAAAUAUUUUUAUAUUUAAAAUUACUUUGAAAUUAUAAUUUCAAAUUAAAAUAGUAGUAGCAAAAUCGUAGUGCACAUUCAAUUAACCAACUAAUAGUCUAAGAAGCAAAGAGAGGAUUACAAGUUCACAACACCAUUACAAAGGAUUCAAAAUUCCCACACGAAAACAUCAAUGUACAGAUUAUAAACAAUCCGAAUUGGACACAAGAAAAAGCCCUUCAAUGGAUUGCUUUCCUUCCCAAUGCUAUAUACUGUGCAAACUCCGCACUGGCCAAGAAAAUGUUUUCAAUUUAGUGUAUUUUCAAAUUGCUUAUUUUCUCAUAAUAUAAAAAAUAAAAAAGAAUCCUUACAUGUUUCAUCAGCAUGAUUAAAAUCAAAGAAGAAAGCGAAGACGUAAUGUCUCUGACAUAAUAAAAUUACAAAAAUUUCAAGGAAAAAAAAAAGGUUAAAACAUGUAAUCUUCAGAAGCAUAUAAUAAAAGAACACUUCCACAAAUUACUACAAUUUCAUGCAGUAGAGAUUGAAGAGUUGAAUUCCACUAAUUUUAAUAAUGAAAACAACAACAGAGGAUUAACUGAUGCUUUGACUUAUUAGCAGGUUGCUUUGACUUAUUAGUUCUGCAGCUAAGUUAAAUAAAAUAAGCUAUUUUCAAAAGCAAAAUGGAAUACAUAGAUAAAAACAUCAUCUUAAACAAAUCACAAUCUAGAAUUAGAGCAUUUUCGACAUACCUAAGGAACACGAAUACGUGAAAACGGGUGAUUUAUUUGUUAAGGAGUGUUGAUUUGGUCGUCUCUGCAAAUUCUUUAGGGACUCGGUUCCAAUUCCUCUUCAUCAAAACUGUAAUAUAAUUCCCCUUCAUCAGAACUCGAAUCGAUGCAAUAUAAUUCCCCUUCAUCAGAACUCGAAUCAAAUUCACUUGCAGCAGUUCCACUCGCGCUUGGCAAAUCAUCCAAUUUCCAAACUUCGGUAACAAAAUUGAGAGUAAAAGUGUUGGCUUUGAUCUCGCUGGGAUUUGCAUAUACUGGACAUACUCCGCAACGUUUUAUCUUCUGACCCUUUUGGACCUUUAUUAUGUUUCGGUGACACUCAUUGAAGAACUUAAAUGUGGCAGUUGAAUGAUGGUCACCAUCAGGAAAGCCAACAUUCAAGCAAGGUUUAAAACCAAGUAUGACAUGAUCUGAAUCAUGGGGGUCUUGAAUUGAGUGCAAAUUGUAACCCAGAUGAACAUGUUUGGUUUCAGAGAGAGUCUUUAUUUCUAAGUCGGAUCGACAGUAAACGUAAAAAUAACGAAAACGAUCAGAAUAAAGUUGCUUAAAAUCAAGAACAGCACAAAAAGCAAACCCGAUUAAGUUUCUGCAAAAAGAGUGCGGUGGCAGUUGAAUACGUAUCGAAGAUCCUGAACUUUGAUUGCUGAACCAGUCAGGAAUUUCGCUCCCAGGUAAAACAAUUUGGGAUCCCCUGAGUUCAGAAAGUUUCUGCGAAACGACAUUUAAAAAAAGAAAAUUGUAAAAUGAAAACCAUGAUUUCAGAUAUAACAAAGAGGGACAGAGUAAACAAGAGAGGGAAUUUGAUACCUCGUUGUAUGCAUUUUCAUAGCCCAGUCUCAGUGAUGCUGCAAUUGCCAUACGUAGUGAAUCUGCCAAAAUCUUGUUGUUUGCUUUUCCAUCAAGUUUCAAGCAGUUAGUAAACUCAAAACAAAUUGGUUGUGGCGUCACAUAUUCCGGAUGCCAUUCACGAAGGUCAGGAGAGGGUUUGGAUAGCUUUUCGAGUACGGAUGCAUCUAGUUCUUGUACACAUGACGGAAUCUCUGGCAAAGAUUGAAGCCGGUUGCAGUUCAUUGCUUUUAGUGACUGUAGACACAAUGGAAGUUCUGGUAAUGACCGAAGCAUGUUACAAUCCUCCAAGUGAAGAGUUUCUAGACCCAAUGGAAGUGCUGGUAAUGACUGAAGCAUGUUACAACGCCUCAAGUAAAGAGAUUUUAGACACAAUGGAAGUUCUGGUAAUGACUGAAGUAUCUUACAAUCCCUCAAUUCAAGAUAUUUUAGACACAAUGGAAGUUCUGGUAAUGACUGAAGCAUAUUACAAUCCUCCAAGUUAAGAUAACUUAGCCACGACAGUUGCUUGAUACUUGCAGGUAAACUCUCAAAGUUAUUUCCACUUAAAUUGCCAAUGUUAUCCGGCAACUUGUCAAGUAUAGAGCAACCACUUACGGACAAAAAUGAAAGCCCCGGUAGAUUUUCAAAUGGCGAUGGCAGCUCUGUAAUUGCCGUCCAGACUAAAUAGAUGCAAUUUAAAUGUUCCAUUUUCUCCAAGAUUUCUGGGAAACGCUCAAGGUUCAAGCAGCCAAAAAGAAAAAGAUCAACCAAAGAUCUCAAUUUACAGAACCUAGUUGAAAUCCUCUUCAGCCGUUUGCAAUGCCCCAAAUCCAACACUUCAAGAUCAGUUAGGCACUCUAUUGAUGAUGGAACUUCUUCUAUUGCAGACUGGCCUAAGGAUAGCUCUGUGAUUUUCCCAGAAAUCCGUGGAAACUCUUUGAGAUUAACACAAUAGGAGAAAUUAAUAGUUACUGGACAAACAAAAUGAAGAUUGCUUGGAAAAGACCUAAGACUUUUGCAGCCCUCAAAAGACAACGCACUGAGAUACUUGAAAUUCUGGAUAGAUGAGGGAACACAAGCCAAGUUUGUAUAAUCCAAAAGAUUUGUUUCAACAUUUGGGGUUUCUAAUGGGCCUGGCAUCUUAAUGAAAUGUCGAGAAUGAUUGAGGUUAAUAGAUUUUAACUUGAAAGCUUCCUGCAAUAACAGAUAUAUAAAGACUAUAUUAAUUAAAAAGCAACAUUGAAUUCAACAAUUAAUUGCACGUAUGUUUAAAGAAAGAAAAAAAUUAAUGUUUUAGUUUUAGUACAAAACUUACCUUUUCUCCUUCCCAAAGUUGCUCAACUUUACUAAAACGCAAAUUCAGUUCAACAAGGUUCAUUGGCUUGAAAUUUGAUGGCAGUGUCCUUAAUGGAUAUGUGUCCCAAUGAAGAUAUCUCAAUUUUUUAGGAAGAUAAUCUAGGCCAUUUGGAAGCUGCACUUUAGAGUAUGAAAGUUGCUCUUCAAUGCUCAUACUUAGAAACCUUUCAAUCUCAGGUACAUAAAAUUUGAGCAAUCUUAGAUUAGACAUUUUUGUGAAGGCUCCUGGGUCUAAAUUGAUGCCUUUUAUUUUGGACAAAUCCAGAAAUAUGCCUUCAAUUGCAUCGGUCCCCUUAUUAAAAAAAAAAAAAACAAAGAAUGAGUAACCCUAAAACAGAAAAGAAACAUUCGUAAACUUUAUUAACUAAGAGCUUCUUAAACAAAAACAAAUUCUGCAAUCUUUGAUUUUAUUUUUUUAAUAUAUUAAAUAUCUAUAUACGAGAAAAGAAAAUUUUGGGGACCAUUGCAAAAUUAAACUAACCGAAAAAAAAUUCAAAAUUUCUCUAAUUUACAAACCUGUUAUCUUAAUAACUAGAAGUUGAGAAGACAAGGCCUAUUUGAUUGGUAUAAGAUUUCGAUUUGUUUUUUAGUCCAUAGAAUCCAAAAUGUUAGUUCAAAAUUAGGGAAAAAAAAUGAAAGUUAUUUUUUUUCCACUAGUUGUAAUUGUUUCCAAGUCAAAUUGAGAUACGACCCUUUUCGAAAGGAUUUAAUCAUCUUAUAGCCUCCUUAAGAUACAUUUAAGCUAAAAGGAGUGAUUGGAGGCAGAACUAGGUGGGCCAAUCAGUCCCUUUUAUUAGUGACUGUUGCUUAAAAAAAAUUAUACUCUAAAACACACUUACUUUUUUGAAAAAAAAUAUAAUUAUAUUGAAGUAGAACCAGGUGGGCCAAUCCUCAUGGCACUCACUUUGUUCUGACACUCUUCACUAAAUUUGAAGAAAAAUAAAAUUAUACUCUUCACACUCUUAUUCAACAUUCCAAAAUUGAUAAAAUCUAGAGUUUUCUUUAAAAAUUUAAAAUUUGAAGACUUGUUCUCUUGACAUCCUCAGUCAUUAAUUUCACCUAAUUAUGGUUUUUAUGAUUUUGGUUGUUUUGUUCAUAAAACAAUUUUACUAAAGGAUGUUCUCGUAAUAAUAAAAAUUAUAAAAAAAACAUGGGUGUGCUGGUAUGGUUGGGAAAAUACGAGUACAGAACUCCAAACAAAUAAAAGAUUUAUAUAAAAAAAAAUGGAGGAUUCUUACCAUAUUAUGCUUUAGUACGCGGCGGAUUUCCUUAGGAUCCCACAACCUACUACGUCUGCCUGGCACUUCCUCAGAUUCUUGGCGAACAGUCUCUUGGCCCAUUUCUUGCAAUAAAUCAUGCAUUUGCAAGCGGUUAUCUGACACAGUUAUGAGUGACUUGUCGACGAGGACAUCCAGUCUGUGAGACCCAGAAUCAUCAAGUAUCCUUAACACAAAAUCUUUAUCCUCUCCCUCAAGGAAACACGCAAUAUCUAGAAACAUACUCUUCACCCUGGGCGUUAAUUCUUUAAAACUAAUCUUUAAUGUAUCAUAAAUACCAUGAAUAUCAGAUUCACAAAUCCGAUUUAAGUCGUGCAAUACAUUUUCCCAAUGGCUUUUCCUCUUGAGAUACAGGGAGGAACCCAACACUUUAAGAACUAAUGGAUUGCCAUCAGCAUACUCUACAACUCUCCACGAGUCACGUUUGAAAUCUUCAGGACGAUGCUUUUCUUUAAAAGCGAAGUUACAAAAGUGCUCGAAAGCCUCAUCAAAUUUCAAUCCAUUGACCCUAUAUAUUUUCUCCACUCCAAAUUUUUCGAGGACUCGUUUAUCCCUGGUGGUUACAACAAUUCUACUUCCUGGACCAUAUUGAUCAAGCCCUCCAAUCAAACCCUCUAAUUGUUCAUCUUUAUUCACAUCAUCGAGUACAAUCAACACCUUCAUGCGUCGGACCCUCCCUUUAGUAAAUUGUGGAAUAUUGGGACCAGCUACUUCAAGUUUUUCACUUAAUAUUGUCGAAAGCAUUUCCUUUUGUAGGUCUUCUAGGCCACCCUCUGUUUCUGAUUUUCUCCUAACAUUUUUUGCAAAGUAUUUACCAUCAAACUCACCAGCGAAUUGAUCGAAAAUAGCUUCAGCAAGGGUAGUUUUGCCUAUACCGCCCAUACCCCAAAUUCCAACAAUUUGGACAGUAUCCGACAAAUCCAUACACAAAAAUGGUUUAAUCUGCUCAAUUCGUGAAUUUAAUCCAACUAGGCCGUUGGAUGAGUCCGUUGAGACUGUUAUUUUUUCCAACUUCUUCAAAACAUCUUCGACAAUUUUGUUUACAAGUUGCGCAUCAAGCCUAAUAUGAAGGUGCAAAGAUGCAAAAACAUUGAGUCAAAUCGGGCCAAGACAGAAACAGAGAAAAGAUGAAUUAGGAAAGAGAGUUACCUGAAUUUCGUGGAUUCAUGGCCGGCUAGAUGGGAUGUUUCUGUCAGUGCAUCCCUCCACUUCUGAACCAUUUCUUGUUUAUCUUUGAACUGUUUUUUGAGCUCAUCAAAACGGUCUCCAAAUGUUCCGUUUUGAUGCCGCACAUCAGAUGGACUUACUCCAUAGAAGAAUGGAAUAAUAAUUUGGCCGUUUGUGUUCUUGCAUUCAAGAAUCUUGACAAGUUCAUUCAGGCACCAUUUUGAAGAAGCGUAGUCCUUCGAGAAAAUGACCACCGAAAUUUUUGAACCUUGGAUUGCGUUCAAAAGGGCGGGUGAAAUCUCAUCUCCUCGCCUAAGCCCUUCAUCAUCAAUAAAUGUUUUGAUUUUCUUUCCUUCAUACAAUUUAUCAUAGAGAUAGCAAGUAAAGCUCUUACGAGUGUCCUCCCCUCUAAAGUUGAGGAAGACUUCAUAAUUGGCACAAGAAGAAGAGGAAGCCAUGAAGGAAAUUUUAGAAAAUUGGUGACAGAAACAGAGAAUUAAUCUUGAGAGUUGAGAGAGGAGAUGUAAGAAUGAACAUGUGCGAAGAUUCUUGCGAGUACAUAGUAAAUAAUUGAAUGGCUGGAGCUUUCUUAGUUUCCUGGAAAUUUCCUGGAGCUUUCGUAUACAUGAUUUGUCAAGUCAUGAAACAUAAUCAUGAUAAUGGGGCAGACCGAAAAGAAAAGCAACAAUUCAAAUAUUUGAUUCAACCAGUAUAAAAAGGAAGGAAAAGCAAAGAAAGGAAAUGUUGAAAGUAGAGUUAGGGAAUUAUAAAAAGCUGAAGGAAAUUGGAAUUUUGUACAAUUUCUCCAGCGAGGAACUUUCACAGUCGUUACCUCAUUGUUACAGUUUAGAUUAAGAUUUGAGGGUGCAAGCAUUUACCUAGAUUUUACCUCCGCACUAAAUUCUUAAGUUUGAAAAAUUAUGAGACCUUUAUAUUGGAAGAUAUUAUAAUCGAAUCAAAACUUAAAAUUUUAAUAUUGUUAAUCUUUAAUCUUUAAAAAAAAUUACCUUGCCGUUACAAUUUGGAUUAAGAUUUGAAUAAGCAUUUACCUAAAUUUUAUCUCCGCCUGUAAAUUCUUAUGUUUUAAAAAUUAUGAGACCUUUAUAUUGGGAGAUAUUAUAAUCGAAUCAAAAUUUUGAAUUUCAAUAUUAUUAUUCUUUUAAAAAAAAUUUGAGAUAACAGAGUGAUUGAUAAUAGAGAACUUGUCUAGGCAAACACAUGCAUACACAAAAAUGUGAUGGAUUCAAAAAGAAAUUAAAGUGAUAAUGUACGUGGAUCCUUAAAACAAAAAGCGAAAUCGCUUGGUGGCCCAGUAAAAUUAAGACUGAAUAUUUUUUACACGAGAAGUGUAGCUCAUAAAUGGCAAAAGCCAUUUCAUUUCACUUUUACGCGUCAUUGACUUUUGUAACAUGGUGCAUGCAUCGUCAAGUGAGGCAAAAGGGUUUCGAUUACAGUGGGAAAACAUGAACAAGAAUGCAUAAUGAAUAAUUCCUUUGAUAAAGCGAAAAUUAAACACAGAAUAAUCCUAAAAUUUAAACUCUAAUAUCUUAUAAUUUAAUGAUUAAAAAUAAUCCUAAGAGUUCCCAAUUGAAACUUUCAGAGAUAAUAGAAAAUAGCUAUGCUUUAAAAGGCCAAAGAUUAGAGAACAAAGAAGAAUUAGGUAUUGAUAUAAAAAUUAUUAAUUUUUUUGAUUUCAAGCAAAAAUAGUUUCAUAUACCAUUUCGAUUUUGGUAGGGGUGAGGUUUUGAACUUCAAUAGUUUCCUCUAAAAUCAAAAGGUAGUAAUUAAGUUAGAAAGAGCAAAGAAGACUUAUCGGUACCUUAUUGAAGGUAAACAUUAUGGAACUUUCAAUGUCAUUACCCCACUGUUUAAUUUUUAUUGAGAUUUGUGCAAGCAUUUACCUAAAUCUUACCUCUGCCUGUAAAUUCAUAAGUUUUGAAAAUUAUGAGACCUUAUAUCGGGAGAUAUUAUAAUCGAACUAAAACUUAAAAUUUCUUUUCUUUUUUUUUUUUUUUAUCAUAAAAGGGCUCUUAAGAGAGCUAAGGCAACACUAAAUGGGAGUGUGCAACCCCAUGAACAUCAUUAAUCAAUAUGUUUAGCGUAUUUGGAGGAAUAGAUUGAAAGCAAUGUAAACCCAAAGGAAAAGAAAAGCUGUACGAAGUAAGGAAAUCUGCUGCUACAUUGGUUUCUUGGUAGAUAUGAUCCACUUUGAUCAGCCAAUCACGCCGAAGGAGUUCUUCGAUGGCCUGAAUGAGAGUAAAAUGCUCAUUGACGGGAGGGUUUGAGUUAGAGAUUAACUUCAUAACACACAUGCUGUCCACUUCCACGUAAAACUUAAAAUUUCAAUAUUAUUAUUCUUUAAAAAAAAAUUGAGAUAUCAGAGUAAUAUCACAUAGAAAAACUUGCCCACGGACGGUAAGCCAAAAGUCUAGUCAACCACAUGCAUAAAGCUAAGUAGAACAAGAGAACAGAGAAACGCGUGGGUCCCUAAAGAAAAGGCAAGCACAUAAAUGAAAAAGCCAUUACAUAUCUAUUAACACGGUGUGGCAGCAUAUGCACAAUCAAGUGAGGCAAAAGGGAUUCGAUUAUCGUGGCAGAACAUGGACGAGGACGCGUGAUGAAUAAUUCCUUCGUUAAAACCAAAAACAAACGCAGAGAAAACAAUUUCUUAUAUGACAAGAAAUCAAAGUAAUGUGAAGGAACAUGAUGAAGAAAUUGCAGACUGAUCAAUUAUCCCCAUGGACUCCUAUAAAUUCAACCAAAAUAACAAUUCGAAUCUUACCAAAUUCUUGAGUUAAAUUUAUUCAAUGCUUUUAUUUUUUUAGAAAAUUUUUUUCCAAUGCUACUUUUCCUUUUUUGGGGAAAUUAGAACCGCGGCAUGUAUAGAAAACAUUGAGGUGUAAAGCAACAUUAAUUUCAUGGGAUAUGCGUUAUACGCAUAAUAUAUUUUCAGUCCAAAUUCAACUAUACAAAGAGGCUUGAGAACUUAAAAUUAAGCACAAACUAAACAGACGAAGUAAAUACAUGAUUAUGCAACAUAACAUUAAUUCUCUCAAUUGAUAACUGUUUUUGCUACAUGAAUCUUGCACAGUUAAUCCUAAUUGAAGACUAAAAAAGAGCAAUUGGAAGAAGGUUUUGGAAUAGAAUGGUAUACAAUCGAUAUGAUCCUUUUCCAGUAGUCAACGCUAAUUAACUGCAGUUUCUAGACUCCUAAUUAUACUAGCCAUAGCAAACUAUUUAGAAAACUGGUGAUCAAAUUAGAUUUUGAAAGGAAAUAAUGUUCAUUUUCCCUUCGCUGCCUUUUCUUUUCUUUUCUUUUUAUAGCAAAGAAUUAUAUCAUGAAAAGAAUCAAUUUAAUCACCUUUUCCAGCAGCCCAAUUUUUCUUUUAUAAAAUUUGACCACGGAGACAAAGAAGAAUUAUUCAUAACUUCAUCACUAAGGAAAUACUUUUCGGUAUGGCUAGGGUGAGAAAAUGCUUUCCACUAACACUUGUACUUUGUAUUCUUGUAAAUUUUCUUUAAAGUCAAUAAAAACCAUAAGUUCUUUGCAAUAACCAUCUCUUUGAUCAAAAAGUGCCGUAUUCCUUUAGAAUUUAAAACCGGCAAAACCGAAUCAGUGUCUUUGAAGAGACAUAAUGGUCGUAAUUCUUUAAAUGAGUUGGCUAUGGAAAUCCUUAUCCAAGAUUCUUUUAUGCCAUAUUCUUUCGUAAACCAAAAUUCAUUUUGAAAUACUCUAUUGAAAAUGUCAAAUAAAACGGCAUUGAAGGAAGUUUUCAAAGGCAUAAUCCGCACUUGUCAAAGGGAUGAUCUGCACUUGUCAGAGACACGAUCCGCGUCGAACGAAUCGACACAUUUCCUUUCGUAUUCGCAUAUGUAAUCUUUGAAAAAAUGUAGCUUCCGCAUCUAUAAAUAACGCUCAGUGUAUAAUGUUUUAUUCAAGAAAAGAAAACAAAUUUCUUCAUACUCCUUGUCCGAACAUACAGAGACAGUCUCUCAUAACUUCAGCCGAAUACUUAUGAUGAUGAUCAUUUGUGAUUUCAUCAGGCAUAGGGUUGAUGGUGAAAAAUUUUGUAUGUGUGAAGAAUUGAGCUGUGGAUAUAGGGGACUUAAGUGUAAUCGAAAGAGAGUUAUUAGGCCAUAGUGCAGAUUGCAUUCAGUUUAUGGGUCGAUAUGCAAAUAAUUUGUUGACGUGGCGAAAUCUGUUAUGGUCGUUACUAUUGUUUCUGGAAAUUUUCUAGAAACCUCAGCAUAAAAGGGGCUUUUGCAUAGCCUCUGGUGUGCGUGUGAUUUCUCUUUCGUUUCCUCAUCAAAUUCUGUAAUUCUUGCUUUGAUAAAAAGCUUGUAAUCAUUUCUGUAAUGUGUGAUCAGUGCGUAAUCAUUUUGAGCAAUAAAAGCUUGUGGGUUUUUCCUUCAAACAGUGUCGUUUUGGUCAGUUUGUUAGUUUGAUCUGUUGGUGGAAUUUUCUUUGGUUAUUUGUUCUCAAAUUUCAACCGUAUAUAAAGUUUGAACUCUAAUGGCUUAUAAUGUAUUGAUUAAGAAUAAUCCUAAGAGUUCCCGAUUGAAAUUUUUAAUGACUAUUUUUAUUGUUUUGGAUAUACAAAUUGCAUUAAGAAAAAAUAUUGUCAAAUUCAGAGGAUAACGGGAAAUAAUUAUGCUUCAAAAGACCAGAGAUUAGAGAAUAAAGAAGCAUUCAUUACUGACAUACAAAAGAGAAACACUCCAAAAUUGCAAGCAAACUAGUUUCAUAUACUAUUUGGAUUUUGGAAGGGGUGAAGUUUUGAGCUUCAGUUGUUCCUCUAAAUAGCAAAGAAGACUUAUUGGUACCUUACUGAAGCUAACAUUGUGGCACGGUUGUUCAUAUGUAAUGGCUGCUCUGUUAUGGUAGCUUCUCUGUUUUUGCUCACAGUUUUGAACAUGAAUUCUUGCUCAAAUAACCCAUAAUUAAUUAACAUUAAAAUGGCUCGUGAAAUCCCAUAAUAGCUAAUUACGCAACUUUCUCCUCCUCCUCAAUUAUGUCUUCCCCUGCUCGUACAAUAAAUUCAAAAUUCAAUGCCCCGAAAAACAACACAAGAAAUCUUUGAGUUAGUUCGUGACCAGUUUAUAUAUAGUAGCAAUUGAAAAAAGAAAAAGAAGAAAAGAGUUAAUUAUUAUUCAGACCUUCACUUAUUAGGAAGUUUGUUCUGCUAUUGGGUGAGGUCAAGCUCUCAGCAUAUACUUCCACAUGAUACUUUCUAACAUUUUCUUGAAAGCCAUCAAUCAUAAAAUCUUCAUACUUUUUUCCAUCCUUUGGAUCAAUGAGUACAAAUUUCUCAUCUAAAACAGACAAAAUAAAAUCACUGUCCUUCAUGGAACAUAAUGGCUGCAAUGCCUGAACUGAAUUGGCUAAUGAAACAUAGUCUUCUUUUCUUUCUCGACAUGGAACAUAGUCUUCUUUUCUUUCUCGACACAUGUCUCUGUACUUUUCUCUCUCUACUGAUCCACACUUUUUCAUACUUCUAACUAUCAUUUUGUUUUUUUUUUUUGAGUUGUGAUUUAUUCAAUUAUUUUGUAUUUUUAAUGACAAUUAUUUAAUAUUUAGUUAGUGUUGAUAUUGAUUAGUGAUUGAAAGUGUAUUUUAGAAGACUUCCGGUCUCUUGAAAAAAGGAAAAAUGGAGAAGAAGAAGAAGUGUUCUUGAUUUUUUUGUAGGCAUUAAAGUUAAACGGUUUGAAAUGAUAUUUUGUUUUAAUUUCACUCAUUAAUCUCAUUCAGGAUAAAAUUAUAAAUGCAAAUAAAUGGGGUUUCAUAAGUAUUUUUAAUAGUGUUAAAAGGUCUACUAACUAAAUAAACAUGUUUUACCCAAACCAAUCCGAUUAAUAAGUUAUUGGGUUGGGUUGAUCAGGUUAAAAAUCAAAAUUAAAAAUUAAAUAAAUAAAUAAGGCAUAAAAACUAUAUGUUACUUGAAAAUAAAAAGAAUUUCUAAUAGUUAGUUCUAAUGUCCCAUAUCCAAAACAUGCAUAUUAAAUAAAUAUUAUAAGUUAGAAAUAAAAUAUCCAAGAAAUAAUGAAUGAAAUACCAUAUUUUUGUUGAGAAUUAAGAGUGUGAUUUUAAUUUUGAUAUUGGAGUCUAAAGCAAUAGAUAGUACAAUGAAAUCAUGAAUGCUACGUUUAAAUAAUCUCUUUUAUAAAAUAAUAAAAAGAGGUUAAAAAUUAGGUUAGCAUUUAGGGUUUAGCAGUUAAGGAUGAACAUAUUAUUAUUGUUGUUGUUGUUGUUAUUAUUAUUAUUAUUAUUAUUAUUAUUAUUUACAUAUUAAUUAAUCCAACCCAACUCAAUUAUUAACGAAUUUGAAAAAAAAUGACCAAAUUAAUCCACAAUAAUUCAUUCAACUCGUCUAAAUUAGAUUAGAUUGAAUUUGAUUUGCUACACCUACAUUGAGCAACAAACCUCAACGCGAUUCUAUGAGCUCUUUGAUUGUUUAUAAAAUUGAUUUAGAGUACAUAAUGGAGUGUAUCGACAAUGAAAGUGCAAAACAAAUUAUUGUAUACAUUAAAAUCUGCAAAACAAUGAAUUAUAUGUACGAACGAGUGCAAACACAUUUUUCAAUAAGAAGUUAAAAGAUAUUUAUGCAUGAAAAAGCAUACGUUUGUAGUUACUCUAAAUUUUUUAAAAAAAAUUUACAUUUAGAUCCCUAAAAUUUACGUAUAAGUACAAAAGUUUCAAAUAUUGUCUAUUAUUUUUUAACAUAUGCCUAUUCCUUGUGGAUAAUUCUGUCUCAUCACUAAUGUUGUUUCUUGCUUACAAAAAACAAAUGUCAUCUCCUUUUACAAUUUUUAUAGCGUCUCAAAAUAGACAAUGGGGGGAUUUUGAAUUUUUUAAGUCUCAAGAUAGUCUCUAAUCUUGUGAGAAAGAUUUUCUUUCAAUAAUUUGGAGGUAAAGAUAACAUAAUUUUUUGGAUAGUGUGCAUGUGUAUUUAAUUAAUAAUUUUUUAAAAAAAUACAUCAAAUAUUAAUAUCCAUGACAUAAUUUAGUUCUUAAUUUUUUUUAAAUACAUCAAAAACAUAAUUUUUUUUAACAACUUAUAGGCAUGACAAAUUUCAAGAUAUAAAUAUCAGUCAAAAUAAGUGAAAGAAAUAAUGGUGCCAAUUCUAAUUUCUUAACUAAAUUAAUUAGUGCAUGAGCCCCGAAUACGACACGAGAGUUUGAUGGGCUAACUUGGCACAAGAACGUGAAUAAAUAAUUGAUUUAAGAAAUAAUUCAACGAAAAAUAUAAUUGAUAAGAAUUCAGUAUUGAAAUGAGUUUUUUUGUGAAACACUGAAUUAAUGAUUAUUAAGCAAGAACAAUAAAAAAAUAAAUAUUAAUCAUUGAUAAGUUUCAACAAAAACUUAACACAAUCCUCAAUCCUCAUUCAAAUGAUAAAUGUCAUUCAUAUAUUCAUUAUAAAUCAACAACAAAGGUUAUAAAUGUUUAGAAAUUCUAGAGGGAAGGAAGCUAUCGCCGGACAAUCAACAACUAAAUUUGAUGUAAUUGUGGCACGAGAUGGAAUAUGGAAACUACACCAUAAUUUCAAAUGCCGCCAUAGACAUUGACUUAUCAUAAUAACAAUGAUCUAAUUAAAAUAAAAACAAAGUUUAUGGGCAUUUAUUAUUUUGCCAUUCCUCAUUUGCAAAUAGGGAUAUAAUUAUAAUUUUACCUAGUCAAAGCAAUCGGUAGUUUUCUUCAUUAUAGGAGUGAAGUAAAAACAUUUAGAUUUCAAUGUAUGUACGGAAAAAUUUGUCUUUAAAAAUACUUUCUUAAUGUGUGUAUGCAUAUUGAAAUACUCAAACCAAUUUUGGUUAUAUAUAAUUAAACAAAUUUUAAAAUAUGAAAAAUAUAAUGUAGUUAUAGUGGAUAAACAAUAAGUGAGCACAAUAUAAUUAAUCAAAUAUUAUGCCAUCAAAAGUUAAUUUUAGAAAUUCCAAAUCCAAUAGCCAACACAAUUCUUUUUUUUUUAAAAAAGUUGACACAAUUAAUAAAAUUAGCGACAUGAAUUUCACGCCAUUGAUAAUCAGCAAUUAGUAUUACUUUCUAAACUUGCUUCAACUGGUCGUUGAUGUCCGGGUCACCAAAAGUAUAAGCGAUAAUAAGGGGCAUUGGGCAAGAGUGAUGAAUGUUUAGUCGGUGCAUUUGAUUGAUAGAUAUAUAAAGGGCCGAAACUUGAGAUUAUAUUACUUUUACAAAUUUUAAUCCAAUCACAUAUUUACUGAAAACAAAAUGAGUUAGGAUACUUUAUUUAGAACCCACAUUUUAAUAAGGCUUCAUUUGAUGUAGUUUUUCAAACAGUGAUUAUUUGAGUAAAGUUUCCUCAAUAGAGUUUUUAUCAAAUAAAUUUUAUUUAUUUGGUUGUCGAUAAGAACUUUUAUUAAAAAUUAUAAAAUUAUUUAAAUAAACAUAUUUUUUAAAAUUACAUUAUAAAAAGAAUUAAAUAAAGUUAUAAAAGUAAAAUAUAUUUUAGAUAUUUUAAUAUUUAAGAAAAAAAUUUUGAAUCUCUACUUUCAGAAGCUCAAAUUUUUAGUUUUUAGUUGUAGAGACAAAAUAUCUUAUUUAAUCUUUAAAAGUUCUGCUAAAAACAAUCAAAUAACUAUAAAAUUUUUAAUAAGAGUAUAUAAAAUUAAAUAAGCAUUUAUUAAUAAUCACUUUAGUGUACUUAUCUAAUGACCAUAAGUGUUUAUUUAAUCUCAUAAGUUCUUAUUUAAUCUCAUGAGCUCUUUUCAAUUUUUUUUGUUGUUUGCUUUUUUUAGUAGAGUUUUUGAAAAUUAAAUAAACUAUUUUGUCUCUAUUAGGAAAAACUCAAAUUUUAGGUUUUUGUGAGUAAAUGUUUAAAUUUUUUUUAAAAUAUUAAAAUAUUAAAGUAAAAGUUGUAGAGACAAAAUAUCUUAUUUAAUGUUUAAAAGUUCUGCUAAAAAUAAUCAAAUAACUACAAAAAUUUUAAUAAGAGCAUAUAAAAUUAAAUAAGCAUUUAUUAAUAGUCACUUUAGUAUACUUAUCUAAUGACCAUAAGUGUUUAUUUAAUCUAAUGAGCUCUUUUUAAUUUUGUUUGUUUGUUUUUUUAGUAGAGUUUUUGAAAAUUAAAUAAACUAUUUUGUCUCUAUUAGGAAAAACUUAAAAUUUAGGUUUUUGUGAGUAAAUGUUUAAAUUUUUUUUAAAAUAUUAAAAUAUCUUUUCUUUAUUUCAUAAUCUUAUUUCAUUCUUCACAACAUAACUUUAAAUAACUCACCUAUUAAAAUAAUUUCACAAUUUAUAAUAAAAAUUUUAAUUGACAAUCAAAUAACAAAUUUUUUUUUAUAAAAACUCUAAUAAUAAAAAUUCUACUUAAAUAAAUUAUAUUUGAAAAGGUAUACCAAACGAACCUAACAUAAAAACAAAAAUUUUUACAUCCACACAAUUAAGCUUAAAACAAUUUCAAAUGAAUUUUAGACUACUCAAAGUACAAUACGUACCAAGUUUGGUAACUUAUUGGGGUCCGCUUGUAAUACAGCGUCUGUAUCUCAUACAGCCAAAUUUAAUAAUUUAUUAAGAAAAAGGGCAACCAUUAGAUAGAAGUAGAUACAUCCAACGGUUAAAAUGUUUGAUUACUCAUUUUGGCGACCGGAUAUGCCAGUUAUUAUUUCAUCAAUUAACUUACCUAAAAAAUCACAGCCGUUGGAUUGAGAUGCCUCUCUUUCCCUCAAAAUAACAGCCUUCGUAUUCUCUCUGCUAUUGUUUUCUCCUACAUCCAGAAUUUUGGAUGAAUGAACUUGGUAUUCAACAAUAUUCACCACCCAUCACAGCAAAGAGCAAAGAUGUAGUCAAAGGAGUGCCAUUUAUUCAGGCUAACUCGAUCUGUCACUCUCGCUUCAAUUCGUCACUCAUUUUCUCGCGCUCAGCUUCAAUCUAUCACUCUCAGCUUCAGUUCGUCACUCACAGCUUCAAUUUUUCACUGUCGUGAAUCAUCUCUCUUGCUGUAUCUCUCUCUUAUGUCUUCCAAUAAUUUCGGUGAGCUCUCUCUCUAAUUUAAUAUAUGAUUAAAAAUCUUAUCAUCUUAUCAUGUCAUUUAAAUAUGCUUGAAGUUUCAAUUUAGUUUAUGAAUAUUACUUGAAAUUUCAGUUUCAAUAAUUUGAUUUUGCAAUUGAGAAAUUAUUACUUGAAAUAUUGAGAUGAUUUCUAGGGAUUGAUAAUUGAAUGAUAAUUGCUAAGGCUUGUCAUUUUUUGUUUUUGAACAGAUAGAGUUACAAUUAAGUCAUACUGCAAUAUUUUAUCUUGAGAUUCUAUUAUUCACAAAAAGAAAAAAAUCAUAAAUUGAAAAAAAAAAAAAAGAGGUUACGAGCAUCAAGCAACUGCAAGUAAUGGGGUUUGUUUUGAUGAGCUGCGAAUUGGGGCCUGUCAUUUUCUUGAAGUAUCUUCAAUAUAAGUGGAAGGAGAUUUCUUCUCUCCAAAAAAUUAUUGUAUAUUUCCUUUUAAAUUCUAGAUUCGCAUGUAGCUGAUUUUUUAUGUUUGAAGGAUUUUAUUAAAGAAUGUGCUGCUGCUAGUGGCAUGAAUUAAUGUAGUCUCGCUAGUAUUCGUGAUUUGGGGUAAGGAUCGAAUUGAACAAUUAUAUUUCUAUUAUUCUUAUAUUCGAAUCCAGUGAUAUUGUGGUGGUUUUAUGAUAAUAUUCAAUUGUUUUGUGCCUCAAAUCAGCCAAUGAGUUGGGUAUGUGCUGGGUAUAUGCCGUAUGGGCUUGUUGUUGAAUUUGCUUGACCUUGGAUGUGAUUCUUGCCGUGUUUAUAAGAAAUAGACACAGGUCUUUGUGUGGUAAUAGAAUUGUCUAAGGUGCCUUACAAUAAAUUUAAGAGUCUUAAGUAACUAUGCUUUGUAACCUUAAACCUUUAUUUGUACGACUUGGUGUUCUUGGUUGUGAAAGAAUGUUAAAUGUUGACCUAUUUUCAUCGGUGAAGAUAAAUGAAGUUAGGGAAGGUUUGUAAUCACUAUAACCCUGACAAUUUUUUUGGUGGGCCGUGAUAAUUUUAUUCAUGGCAUGUACUUUGUUUUUAUCAGAAGGCCCUGUUUGCUUGUAGUCUCAAAUCUAGGGUAAUAUUUUAAAUAAGUUCUGCAAUAUAUGUUUUGCUAUUUUUCUUUUUUGUUUUUAUUUUAAUUAGUUUUAGUAUUACUUGGAGGGGAAUUCUGAUCUGCUGAAGUUUAUCAAGCUGGUGCAGUGGUGCAGCAAGCAGACCUUUAUCUUAAUCUUAUGAUUGUGCUAAGUGGAAUUUUGUGUAAGUUACAACAAUAUAAUUUUUUAAAGAGCUGACAAGACGCUCUCUCUUUUUUUUGGAAUGUUGAGCAAAACUUUUCUUUCUUAUUAGGUGUUUAUAAUAAUUCAUAGCAUGGGUUUUGUCAUAUUGGUUUCAAUGCAUUGAUUUGAUCUUGGUUACAACCCAUCAGCCCUUACUCCUCAUUCCCAGCAGCUUUUAAUGCCUUUUUUUUAAGCAUUGUACUUUGUUUCAUGAUGAAAUUUGUUUAUAUGACGCAAAGUUGAGGACACGGUAAUAGUCAUUAUUUUAAUUUAUGCAACAAAGAUCAUUAUCCAUUAAAUUUUAUGUUGUUGAAAUAUUUAGAUUUUGUAAAUUUUGUUGUAAGAAAUGAGGGCUCUUGAUCCCAUCCCUUUAUUAUAUACAAUUUUUUUUCACUCUGUCAUUCAUUUAUUGUGUGUUAGAGGUAUUAGUCAUGUGCAAAAGUAAAGAUCUUUAUUUUGUUAUUUUUGUCAUCUUGUGCUUCAUUGGUAUAAAUGAGGAAAAAAAAGAAUAAAAUAAAAUAAAAUUAUAGUUUGUGCAUGAAUUCCACCAUAUAUGAAAUGUUUAAUAGAUUAAAAAGUAAGGAGUACACAGUGACUUUGAAUAGCAGGUGGGGGAACUCAUUUUGUUUUAAAAAAAAUUAAUACAUAUUGAUAGAAUAAUUAUCCUUCACUUAAUUAUUUAAAAAUUUUAUUUUGGAAGAAUACAAAUGGACAGUCACCAAUGAAAGCGUAAACGACUACCAGGGGGCUUACAGAAAAAAUUGCUCCUAUUCUAAAAGUAGAUGGUCAGGACAAAGUUCCAACAACUUCAACUUAUGGAUUUGUCUCUUACUUGUAAGGUAAUCUCUUCUUGUAGGGUGUUUAAUUGAAUUAAAAACAGAAUAUUAUUUGCAUUAUAGAGUACAGGCAUAAAUUCAUUAUCUAUGUCAGUUCAUUCAUGAUUUUACUCCAAAUGGAGUAAUAGAUCACCAUUAAUUUAUUGAUACAUCGUCCAUGUUUGUUUUCGUCUUCAAUUUUUAUAUUACAAUAUCUAAUCUAUUUAGUAUUCGUAAAAAAACAUACGAGAAAAAGUUGGAAAAACACUUUAGGGGUGAUUGUGUACACUUUCGUAUGGCACAAAUAGCGUUAGGCUUUGUUUUUUAAGUGGACGACGUGUCCAUUUUUUGUGUUACAUCUUACUCAUUAAUAUAUUUUUGAGUUUCUUAUGGAAAAAAAAUUGAAAAAACACUUUAAGUGAAAAAAAUUUGUAUUUCAAUUUAUAUGUAACAGUGAAUUGGAAAAUAAAUUCUACCAAUAAUUAAAAGAAUACUUUUCUUUUAAUUAUUAAAAAGAUAAGGUAGUUACUCAUUACCCAUAUAAAUGGACAGUUUUAAUUUGUUCCAUAUCUAUACAACAGAAGAGCUUCAGACACGGUUUGCAGCGUUCCACGAUCACUUCCAUUCUAAGCAGCAGCGUCUUCCGUCUUUUUGCACACCAACAGCAGAUUCUAGAUGGCCAGAAGCUCAUCUGCCGCACUCUCGGGAUUUCGCUGCCAUCCUCAUCUUCAUCUCCACUACCUCCUCAGUGAUUAUCCCCUGGUUUUAUGCUCAGAAAUUAUGAUUAUUAUGUAUCUUGUUUUCAGAUUUGUCAAUACUUGUUAUAUUUUGAUUAUGCAUUAUGGACAUUUUUCAUAAGAUAGCUUAAUUUUGUGGUUUGUGUUGACGAUUUCCAUGUAUGGAUGUUUGGAUAGGUAAUUUCGCCUUCCAUGCAUUCUUCAUUCCUGCAUCCUGUGGGAGAAAAUUGGAAAAAGUGGUUUUUGAUGAGAAACGGGGAGAAGGAUGAGAUAUAUAUUUUUGAAGUGUCACAUUAUUUCAAAAACAAACCCCAAAUUUAAUUUCUCUUACCGAUCAUGAGUUAAAAUAUAAAAAUUAACGUUUACUCAUCACACUGUUAUAAGUAUCAAAGCAUUACUUAUAGAAAAAUUAUCGUCACCUAUCCUACAUUUGUGAUUGAAUAGUGGCACAAUUUUAAUUGGGAUAUUUAACAUUACUCUUUGUAAUUGUUUGGUCUUAUUUGAAGUUUGUAAAUUUUUCAUAACUAUGACUUCAACAGCAUAUUUCAGGUUGCAUUUAAUCGUUGCUAUAAUUAGGUACUUUGAAAUAAUUUAUUGGCCACGAUUACAGUCAUUGUUAUUAGUCACCCCUCUUUUUUCUCUUUUGGCCAACCAGCUCUUGGAUAUUUGGGAACCGAUGACAAUAGUUGGGAAAUUAUGUAAUAUUGGUGUGUUUGCGAAAUAAAUCAAGAGAUUUGCCUUGCCGAAGUUAAAAGAGAUAUUGUGGCCUGAAUUUUUUUUUUUUUUCUCUAGGGGCCAUGGCUCUCAAGGACAAGGCAUGAAUCAUGCAUUAUAAUUGCUCGAAAGGGUUAGUAAAAUAGCAAUCUAAAAUACCCAAGUUGGAUCUGCUGUUGAAUCACAAAAAGAACAUAAUUGGGAUAUGAAGUCAUGGUUGCAAGUGUUGGACCCUUAGGUUACGUUUGGCACGUAGGAUUGGAUUGAACUAAUUACUAAAAUUGGAUUGAAUUAUAUUCGAUUGGAUUAAACUGGAUUAUAUUAUAUAGUUCUAUGGUUAGUACAAUAUCGGAUUAAACUAUGUUAAAUUAUAUUUAAAUAAUAUUAAAUAGCAUUUAAGUUGGUAUUUUAAUAUUAAUAUCAAUUAUUCAUGAAAUUUCAUAAUCAUAAUUAAAAUAAAUUUAAAAAACAAUUACCAGGAAAAUUAAAUAUAUUGUAAAUAAGUUACUGGGUAGUCAUAAUACAGUAAACAAAUGAACAUAGAUAAAAAAAUUAAAUUUUAAAUAAUUUUUAUCAAAUUUUAAAAAAAAAUUAUAUAAAAUCAAUUAUUUAAUGGUAUUAUUAAUUUUCAUGAUUAUUUUUAAUAGUAUAUAACAAUGAUUAUUAAAUUUAAUACAAUCAAAUAAUGCAAUAAAUAAUUAAACAUUUAAUUUUAUCAAUAAAUUACUAAAUAUACAAGUGGUGAAAAUUUAAUCUCCAGAGUUAGUACAAGUAAAGGUAUUAAUUUAAUUAGAUCAUAGAUAAUAAAUAAAAAUAAGUUUUAAGUAAAUCAUAUUAAAAAUUAAUUAAUUAAUUAAUACUAGGUGUAAAUAAAAAAAAUGAUAUAAAUAAAAAUCUCAUAAAUGGACAACUUUUUUCUUUAAUCUUAUCCCAACUAAACCCAUGCGUAAAUUAGGAUUAUCAAUUCCAUGAUUUUAGGAUUAAAUUUAAAUUACUACCCCCUUAAUCCAAUCCAACUAAGCUUGCCAAACAUUGGAUAAAUAUUUAAUUCCAAAAUUAGUCUAAUCCCAUACUUAAUCCUAGAAUCCAAACAUGGCAUUAGCACCUUAUAUAACAAAGUGUCACUGAAAUACAGCAAAACGUUAUAAACAAGAACUUAUUUCUGUACAAAAUGUUAUUUACUUUUUGUGAACUUCCAAAUACCUACUAUAUGAUUUGCAAACCCUACAAAAGUCUACCUUGCAUGCUCUUUCUAACGUGAAAUUUGAUUUUUAUUAAAUUUUUGAUGUGUUCACUAAUAAAUAAUUGGAAUCUAAAAAAAUUAGAAAAAAAUAGAAUUAGAAUGAGCUACAAUAAAAAUGAGGAAUAACAAAAAAAAUGAUAUUUGUUGAGAUGAAUGAAACACAAUUGAAAUACUCUAUAUCGCUCUUAAUAUGUUCACUUUGUGAACAUAAAUUAGAAUUAGUUGUUAUAACUUAGUAAUUUAUCCUCAAUCAAUUAUUAUCAUUAUUACUAUUUGUUAUAAUAAUUGUAAUUAUUAUUUUUGAUAAUUUUAAUACUAAGAAAAUUAUUGUUAGGGGUGGAAACACCAUAUAGAGAAGGAACAAUUAAAUUUAUAAAAUUUAGUGGGGAUAAAAUAGUCACUUAAGACAGCAAGCGUCUCCCAUUCUCACCUCCACGAGCAUGAAAACACUAGUAAUCAUUCUUAAAUUUUGAUGGAAUCUGUUGCUUUUAUUCUAAUAACGAACGCAAAACCUAUGGAAUUAGUUGGAAUAACGAAUGCAAAACCUCUGGAAUUACAAUUGAAAUACGUCAACCCAAAAUGGAGAAAGCACAACUAAAAUUAGAGACCUACAAAACCAAAAAUAAACUUAUAGAAAACAAACCCGGUACCUAAUCUCAAUAAUUGGAAUCUCAACCAGUUAAUGGAAAUAUUCAACUCAAAAUUAGGGAAAAAUUAGAUGAAACACGUGAACCAUUGAGAGAGAAAGUAUGACGAAAAUUAGAAACUCAUUUAACGAAAAAUAAUAUUUACUUGGAAUCUAACCCAUGAUACUGGUACCUAAGGAACUUUAUAGGAAUAUGAAACGCAAAACCAGUGGACCAAUAAGUUGAAACAUGUGAACCAAAAAAUGAAAAACUAUAACCAAAUCUUGAGACUAAUCAAACCAAGCAAAAGUAAUAUUGAUAUUUAACCCAUAUAAUUGGAAUUUUACCAAAUUAGUUGGAAUAACGAAUGUAGAACUUGUGGAAUUACAAUUGAAAUACAUCAACAAAAAAUGGAGAAAGCACAACCAAAAUUAGAGACCUACAAAACCAAAAAUAAAUUUAUAGAAAAUAAAUUUGGUACCUAACCACAAUAAUUGGAAUCUCAACCAGUUAAUGAGAAUUCUCAACGCAAAACUAUAGGAAAAAUUAGCUGAAACACAUGAACCAUUAAGAGAGAAAUUAGAACGAAAACUUGGAACUUAUCCAACGAAGAAUGCUCGUGACUUGGAAUCUAACAACAAAUAUUGGUACUUGACUAAUUUAGUAGGAAUAUCAAAUGCAAAACUCAUUGACCAAUAAGUUGAAACAUGUAAACCAAAAGAUGAAAAAGUAUAACCAAAACCUGAGAAUAAUCAAACCAAGAAAAAGUAAUAUUGAUUUUUAACCCAUAUAAUUGGAAUUUUACCAACUUAAUUGGAAUAACGAAUGCAAAACCUGUGGAUUUACAAUUGAUAUACGUCAACCCAAAAUGGAGAAAGCACAACCAAAAUUAGGGACCUACAAAACCAAAAAUAAAGUUAUAGAAAACAAACCUGGUACCUAACCUCAGUAAUUGGAAUCACAACCAGUUAAUAGGAAUAUUCAAUGCAAAAUUGGGGAAAAAAUUAGAUGAAACACGUGAACCAUUAAGAGAGAAAGAACAACGAAAACUAGGAACUUAUCCAACAAAGAAUGAUAGUUACUUGGAAUCUAACAGUAAAUAUUGGUACUCGACGAAUUUAAUAGGAAUAUCAAACGCAAAAAUAGUGGACCAAUAAGUUGAAACAUGUGAACCUAUAGAUGGAAAAGAAUUACCAAAAUUUGUAACUAAUCAAACCAAAAAAAGUAAUAUAGAUAUCUAACCCAUAUAAUUGGAAUCUCGACAAAUUAGUUGAAAUAUUAAACAAAAAACUAGUGGAAUAAUAGUUGAAACACAUGAACCAAAUGUGGAGAAAGUUUAACCAAAUUUUGAAACUUAUCCAAUGAAGAAUGCUAGUUACGUGGAAUCUAACAACAAAUAUUGGUACUCGACGAAUUUAAUAGGAAUAUCAAACGCAAAAAUAGUGGACCAAUAAGUUGAAACAUGUGAACCUAUAGAUGGAAAAAUAUUACCAAAAUUUGGAACUAAUCAAACCAAAAAAAGUAAUAUCGAUAUCUAACCCAUAUAAUUGGAAUCUUGACAAAUUAGUUGAAAUAUUAAACGAAAAACUAGUAGAAUAAUAGUUGAAACACAUGAACCAAAUGUGGAGAAAGUUUAACCGAAUUUUGAAACUUAUCCAACGAAGAAUGCUAGUUAUUUGGAAUCUAACAACAAAUAUUGGUACUCGAUGAAUUUAGUAGGAAUAUCAAACGCAAAAAUAGUGGACCAAUAAGUUGAAACAUGUGAAUCUAUAGAUGGAAAAGCAUUACCAAAAUUUGGAACUAAUCAAACCAAAAAAAGUAAUAUCGAUAUCUAACCCAUAUAAUUGGAAUCUCGACAAAUUAGUUGAAAUAUUAAACUAAAAAUUAGUGGAAUAAUAGUUGAAACACAUGAACCAAAUAUGGAGAAAGUUUAACCAAAUUUUGAAACUUAUCCAACGGAGAAUGCUAGUUACUUGGAAUCUAACAAAAAAUAUUGGUACUCGACGAAUUUAGUAGGAAUAUCAAACGCAAAAAUAGUGGACCAAUAAGUUGAAACAUGUGAACCUAUUGAUGGAAAAGCAUUGCCAAAAUUUGGAACUAAUAAAACCAAAAAAAGUAAUAUCGAUAUCUAACCCAUAUAAUUGGAAUCUUGACAAAUUAGUUGAAAUAUUAAAUGAAAAACUAGUAGAAUAAUAGUUGAAACACAUGAACCAAAUGUGGAGAAAGUUUAACCGAAUUUUGAAACUUAUCUAACGAAAAAUAAAUUUAAUUGGAAUUUAACCCAAAAUAUUAGUGUUUAACGAGUUUAGUGGGAAUAUUAAACAUAAAACUAGUGGAUCGGAAAAUGGAGAUAAGCAAACCAAUUAGUGAGAAAGUUGAAUCAAAAUUAGGUAUAUGUGAAAUUAACUUGGAAUGUCACCUAAUAUAUUGAUAUUUAACCAAAAGAAUCGAGACAUGCUCAUUUUAAUUUUUUUAAACUUUUGUUGCAAUUAAAAAUAAUUUUUUCACUUAAAUAUUGUUUGUGUUAAAUAUUUACAAAAUUUCCUUAAUUUUUCCUGUUUCAUUUUAUUUUUUCUACAUUAAAAAUAAUUUUUUAAAAAUUAUUAAAUGAACAACCGGUAAAAUACCGGUUGUUCAAGUUUCCUUUUUACUGUUGAAGGGGCUGUAUUUUAUACAGCACUGUACUAUAGGAAGACUCAACUUAUUGACAUCUUCUCAUAUAACCUUCGAUCAAGUCGAUUCUGACCUGACGACUAAUUGGUACAUCACCGUUGUUCUCUAUACUCGCAUGCAUCGGAUCACAAAUCUCACUCCAAUUGUCGUCUUUCUUCGCCGUUUUAGCGCAUACUUCUUGAAUUUCCCGCAUUUCGUUCCCUCCUGUUACAAGUCUCCGGUCAGGUCAGUGAUUGAAUUUCCCGCAUCUCUAUCCCUCCCGUUUUCUCGCGUCGUUUCACUUCAAUUUCUCGUGUCUCCUUUCAGUUUAAGUGAUUGAAUCAAUUUUAUCGCAGUCAUAAGAGAAAUUAAGUAAUGCUCUUGGAUUUAAAAUUUUUUUGCUUUCGACUUUAGAUCUCGAAAGUCAAACUCUGCUACGAAUCCAUAGAUUCUCAAUGCUCAUAAUCUUAUUUGUGUUUGACCAGGUAACUGGAUCGUGAAAUUCGUCGUUUUGUAUCAAUUCAAGCUUUCGCGAGCUCAUGGAAUCACCUGGUGAGUUGUGGUGAAACGUUAUCGUUUCAAUUUUCGCUUAAUUCUUUAUUGCAUAUUUUUUUCUCUAAUGUUUCAGUUUAAUUUAGAAAAGAAAGAGGCCCCAAAAAGAGAGAGAGAGAGAGACUCUACCAUACUCAAUUCCUUGCUCAUUCUGAUUUGGCCUGAAUGUUGGCAUUGACUAUUAUUUGUUUUCAUUUCGAUUUAAUUCUCAUUUAGACAGUCUUUACUAACGGUCAAUAAUAGUUUAAGGAAAAUGAUCAUAGGGAUUCUGCAAUAAUCUUUCUGCAUUGUUCAAGUUAGUAGACAAUGAAUAGGAUGUUUAUGUUUACCUCAUUUUGAACCCUGAGGGCUUCGUUGAGUAGUUGAUUCAACAUAUCCAGCAACGGUUGAUGUGAGAACAGAAUGCCACUUAGAUAGGCUUAAACUGAUUUUGGAGGUUUGUAUUGGUUCUAUUGUACGUCUUGCUUACAAAUUUUUAAUUUUUAAUUUUGUAUAAUAUGCUCUUUGUUGGUAAAUCUCAUUUGACUUAGAAGAGAUAGUUUUAUCCCAACAGUGGGAUAAAUCAUUGAGAUGCAUGGCAGUGUGAAUAUAGUAGACAAAAUCAUUGAGACACAUGGUGGUGUGAACAUAGUAAACUUUGUCAAACACAGCUAAGAUAAACAAAUUGUUUCAUUAGCCUUUACCUUAUCUGCUGUGAUGAUUCAAAUUAAUGCUGUUUGGUAGGUUGCAAAAAACGAAAUGAGCUGUCUGUUCGUAUUAUUUAGUCAGAUCUAUUGCAAUAAGUUGAAGUUCAUUGUCACAUGGGUUGGGAGUAGCGUGGGCUGUGAGUAGUAGAAUGGAUUUAUGGAGUUGAUACAAGUGCCCAUAAUCUAUCAUGUCAUUCUAGGAUUAAAUGGAUUGCACAUUACUGUAAAGAUGGAGGUUAAAUUUAUAUAAUUCGGAUUGAUUGUAAAAUGGGAGGCAGAGAUGAGUUAGAAAAAGAAUGACCUGUGUCCUUUUUGAGCUGUUUCUAAAUCUCCCUGGUGUGCUUCAUGCUUAACACGUGUCUUUCCAAAUAAUUUUGCUUAACCUGUGCUUGUCUACUUCUUGUGCUAUUCUGUGCCUGGUCCUGAGCUGUGUUGGUAGAUUGACAUAAUUUUGCUCUGCUAAAUGUAUAACUUAUUAAUCAGAGUCCUGUUAUUAUGGUUUGACACUACUGACAUAUUGUGUUGGUAUUUAUUUGUACUUCCCUUGGUUGAAUUAUUUGCUGUCUCCAUGCAAUUCGAUAUGGUGCUACUUGGUUUUUGAUCAUCCAUGACGCUAUAUAUAUGUAAAGGAUGAAUUGAUUGUUUUGGCUUGUAUUCUCACAUUUUAUGAUUGAUCGAUGGAAAGGUUUUCAUGCAUUAAAUUCAACCUCACAAGCGUAAGAUUGACAGAUUGUGGGCAAAUUUUCAGGAAAAGAAACUAGACUUCAUGGAAGCAAUGAAGCUUGAAAUUGAACGUCUGCAGCUGAAUCUUUCUGCAGCUGAAAGGGAUAGAACUUUAUUGUCAAUUGGAACUGAUCCUGCCUCUAUAAAUCCAAAUGUAUUGCUUGAUGAAUCUUACAUGGGAAGACUGUGUCGAGUAGCAAACACUCUUGCAUUACUUGGCCAAGCUUCCCUAGAAGAGAAAAUUGUUGGUGCAAUUGGCCUUGAGAAUAGUGGUGAUAGUGUUUUAGACUUCUGGAAUAUUACUAGAAUCGGAGAGAGUUGUUCUGGUGGUGGGUGCGAGGUUUGUGCAGAAACUAAGGUGCCUGCUCUUGCUUCCUCAACUGCAACAUCUGUUGGAUCUUCACAAUCCCCUUUGUUGUGUUCUCAAUGUGAAAGAAAAGUUUGCAAAGUUUGUUGUGCAGGAAGAGGAGCUCUACUGUUUUCAAAUUAUAAAUCAAGGGAUGUGACCAACUACAAUGGCUUCUCAAGUCAGAGUGGAUCAAGCCAUGGAAGCCAAGUUGAUGUAGCUACCAGUCGUUCACUAACACUGGAUGGCGUUAUCUGUAAACACUGUUGCCAUGAGAUGGUGCUUGAUGCAUUGAUGUUGGACUAUGUUAGGGUCUUGAUUAGGUUGCGAAGAAGUUCCUGUGCAGACAACGCAGCAUACAAUGCUUUGAAUGAGGUUGUUGGAUCCUGCUUAAAGGAUAGUCUUUCUGAGAGGAUUCAGUCUUCCGAUAAUGCGCAAGCAGCUAAAGUCCUGCACCAAUUAUGUGGUGGACAGGAAGCACUUGCUGAAUUUCCAUUUGCUAGCUUUUUGCACUCGGUAUGUUCUUGGUUUGUAUUCAGUUCUCAUCAUAUUAUGUUUUCCUUUUAAAUUUCAUUUCUUGAUUAAAAUUUUUAGAAAUGUGUUUUAGCAUUUAUUCUUAUGAUAUAUGCCCGGAACAUUCAUCCCACUUAUCCAUGAGAAUCCUUGUCUGGUUUGAUUUUCAAUUGAGACAUUUUUGGGAACCCUGCGCAGGUUCCAUAUGCUAAUAAUCUUUGAGGUAAGGUGUUGUAGGAUGCCUUGAGAAGCUAAAAACCCAUUACAAGGAAAAGGUCUUGCAUUGUUUUGUGCAAUCUGUGUGCGAGCUAGUCAUGUCUCUAAUAAUUUCAUAGUUUGCUUGAUUGGAAUUUUUUAUCUUGAUAUGGAUUGUUUAUUCUAGAUUCCUUGGUGCCACUGUAGGUUGAAACAGCAAAAGAUUCAGCACCGAUUUUGUCACUGCUUGCUCCAUUAAAUUCUGGAUCAAGGCACUCAUAUUGGAGAGCUCCACCUAGUACUACUUCUGUUGAAUUUGUUAUUGUUCUCGGUUCUGUUUCUGAUGUCAGUGGGGUUAUCUUGCUUGUUAGUCCUUGCGGCUAUUCUGUGGCUGACACUCCGAUGGUAAGUGCCAUAUUUAUUCCCUUAUUUCCUUGUUGUUCAAUAAAUUUGGUGAUAAGCCAAGUGGCCUUAAUAAUGAAGCCCAGUACCAGGGUUGGUGGGUAAUAGAUAUUCAACUUGUGAAUAUUCCUAAGCAAACACUGAAUCAACAUAUACCUCGGCUAAAGUUCUCUAUGCUAUUAUAACAAAAGUCAUAUUUUGAAAUGAUUAAAAGAGUCCCUGUGUAGUGCCAUUUCCAAAGAAAUUGCAGCUGGGGGUUUAGUUUCAUGUAGGUUAGUUUCCGAUAAUAAACUUUCUAUUUCAUUAAUUGCUGAUGAAAAAACCAAGUAAGAACAGUUUUGUUGCUCGUCAUUUUUGUAUAUUUUGGUAAACUGUAAUUUUAAAUUCUCAACGAUCUUCCCUUUGUAGGUAAGAAGAUGGUCCACUCACUUGAUAUUUAUGAUUGUAGAUCAGGUUUCUAUUGGUUUGCCUUUAUCAUUUAGAACCCAUGUUUGAUAUUAACAGAGAUCACGUCAAUAAUAUCCUAUUUGGGUAGAUGUGGGUGAGGAUUUAAAAUCAAAUUUGAAAUUGAGGGGAAAGAAGAGAAAAGGAACCACAAUAAUUAAACAAAAUAAUAGGAACUAUUCUGAUGAGUUUUAAUCUCGAGAGGAACAAUUUUCAAAUGCACUGCUAGAGAAAUUGUAGCUUUUUGUCAUUAGUUAAAAGGAAAAAGAAUAAGAACUAUCCGGCCCUUUCCUUCAUGAAUGUGUGUUGAGGUUGCUGUAUUAUUUAGUCAGUAUUUGUAAUUUUCUUCCCUGCAGUGCUCUCUGCCUCCUGAAUUUGCUUCCUAUUGCUGUUACAGGUGCAAAUCUGGGCAAGCAAUAAGAUACACCAGGAGGAAAGGUCAUCAAUGGGAAAAUGGGAUGUCCAAUCCCUCAUCACAUCUUCUUCAGAUUUGUAUGGUCCAGAAAAGUCUGCUAGUGUUGAAAAAUUACCUAGGCAUGUAAAAUUUACUUUUAAGAAUCCUGUUAGGUGCCGCAUUAUUUGGAUCACAUUACGUCUUCAGAGACCUGGUUCGGCUUCAGUUAAUUUCGGGAAGGACCUCAGUCUUUUGUCUCUUGAUGAAGAUGAAAACCCCUUUGCACAAGUAGACAGACGUGCUUCAUUUGGAGGAGCAGUUGAAAAUGAACCAUGUAUUCAUGCCAAAAGAAUUCUUGUAGUCGGAAGCCCAGUAAAAAGGGAGGGGCUUACCACAUCACAGAGCUCUGAGCAGCUAAGUAUUAGAAACUGGUUGGAUAGAGCUCCACAAAUGAGUAGAUUCAAGGUAUUAGUUGCUUUCACUCUUUGUUCAUUCAUAAUUCCAGCUUUCUGCUUCACUGAUAAACCUCUUUUUUCUCUUCAGGUCCCAAUUGAGGCCGAGAGAUUGAUGGACUACGAUCUCGUCUUGGAACAGUAUCUACCUCCAGCGUCACCUUCGCUUGCCGGAUUCUGUCUAGACGCUUUCAGUGCAAUAAAACCUAGGGUUACCCAUUCACCUUCCUCAGAUUCAGAUAUCUGGGACAAAUCAGUAACAUUUUUAGAAGACAGGUACAUCUCUCAAGCUGUAUUGUAUUUACAAGUAUCCGCACUCCAGGAACCACAUAACAUGGUAACUAUUGCGGAAUAUCGACUGCCGGAGGCUAGAGCCGGAACGCCAAUGUACUUUGAAUUCCCACGACCGAUACAGUCCCGACGAGUUUCAUUCAAGCUUCUUGGAGAUGUUACAGCAUUUGCAGAUGAACCUUCAGAACAAGAUGAUUCAGGAUUGAGAGCUCCACUUGUGGCCACAGGUUUGUCUUUGUCAAACAGAAUCAAGUUAUAUUAUUAUUGUGAUCCUUAUGAGCUUGGAAAAUGGGCAAGCCUUUCUGGAGUUUGAUCGUUAUUUAUAUGUCAGAGAAAGAGUUUUGGGUUUGAUUUUGAUUUUGAUUUGUAAUUUUUGUCAGUUUAUUGAAAUUUUUUUGUUGUAUAAAAGCAGAAUGUAAAGGUAUAAAAAUUCAUUGAUGCUGCAAUGUCUGUGCUUUUGAGAAAGAAGAAUUCAAUGUCUUUUCUAUGCCAUUGGAUUUUCCCACUGCUUGUAAACUUGGGCUGUCGAGUGCUCUGUGAACCUUAAGGGCUAUAAAGUAAUUUUUUAGACUGAAGGAUUUAUUAAUCGAGUUCAAAAGAUUGCAAGUUGGUGAGCGUUGGCAUUUAAAAAUCAAUUGUUAUUCUCUCAAUAAUCUCUCUCUUCUGCCGACACCCCAAGCUCAGAAACCCAUUGUUCCGACGGACGUGUAACACUUCCAGAAAUUAGCCUUUUCUUCUAUAUGAAGGUUGAUCUCUCCUCGUGAAGUGAAGGUGGUUUUCCAAUUACAUACGUCGGGGGUCUUAUGAUAUCUAAUGUGUGAAAUUUCUUUCUCAUUUUACCAUAAAGAAAAGUUCUGUAAUGAUCUAAAGUUGGGAGUCUUAAAUUAUCUUAAAUUUAUAUUUAGAGUGGAGUUAUUGGCACCCUACAUUAUUCUUACAAAAUUCUAUUUUAAAUAAAAUUAUAAUUAAAGACAAUUGAAAAUUAUAGAUUUUUUUACAGCAAAUUACUUAAGUCAUAAUUAAUCCUUAAAAAAAAAUCUAUAUGUUACUUCUUAUUUAAUUAAAAUAAAUUGUACAAAUUUAAAAUAAUUUAUUGUUUUCUUUUGAUUUUUUAUUGAUUAAAUAUUUUUAUACUUAAAAUUACUUUGAAAUUAUAAUUUAAAAUAUGUGUUAUAUGCAAUAGUUCGAUUUACCGAACCACAAAGGGAGCCAAUGUGGUUUUGCCAAAAUCACAUACUGUAGCAUAAUAACAGAUAUUAUUAUUGUAUAAUAGAUGGGUUUAGAAAAAUUGAAGAACCAAGUAAGUUAUUUGAAAAAUGUCGAUUCUCGUACCAAACCCAUGUUUUAUGCCAAUUGUUUUUGGAUUGGAGUGCAGGCAUUAACAAUGAUGGAGAUGGAGGAACUGUAGCAUUAGUCAUAUGAAGAGUACGUGUCAGGUUUGAUUUUCAUGUGAUUUGGUUAGUGACGACGAAAACGACGACGUCGUAGUUGAAAAGCGUUUGAAUUAAUGUUGCGUUAAAAAAAAAAUUUAACUUGUUCCACUAAUUAAGUCAACAUUACUGAUGUCUUAUCACCCUCGGCCAACUUAACAAUUGGUGUCCUUUGGACAAUUAAAUAUGAUUUAUUCAAAAAAAAUAAAACUAUUAAAUAUUAAAAAUUAGGUCCAUUAAUAAUAAUAAUAAUAAUACUAAGAAUUAAGAAGAUCUAAUUACAUAUCAAAAUGACUCAAACAAAUUAAUUAAUUUCAUAUUAGCUAGCCAAGUAGGUUGUCCAUCCCACUCAGACAUGCACGAAAGCUAAAUUCAUCAAAUGAAUUACUUAAGGAGUAUUUGAUAAUUUUGAAAUUAUAAUUUCAAAUUAAAAUAGUAGUAGCAAAAUCGUAGUGCACAUUCAAUUAACCAACUAAUAGUCUAAGAAGCAAAGAGAGGAUUACAAGUUCACAACACCAUUAAAAAGGAUUCAAAAUUCCCACACGAAAACAUCAAUGUACAGAUUAUAAACAAUCCGAAUUGGACACAAGAAAAAACCCUUCAAUGGAUUGCUUGCCUUCCCAAUGCUAUAUACUGUGCAAACUGCGCACUGGCCAAGAAAAUAUUUUCAAUUUAGUGUAUUUUCAAAAUGCUUAUUUUCUCAGAAUAUAAAAAAAAAAAAAACAAAAAAAGAAUUCUUACAUGUUUCAUCAGCAUGAUUAAAAUCAAAGAAGAAAGCGAAGACAUAAUGUCUCUGACAUAAUAAAAUUACAAUUUCAUGCAGCAGAGAUUGAAGAGUUGAAUUCCACUUAUAGACACCGACCUCUUGUUUUGUCUAAUGUUAAUAACGAAAACAACAACAGAGGAUUAACUGAUGCUUUGACUUAUUAUCAGGUUGCAAUGAAUUAUUAACUGAUGCUUUGACUUAUUAGUUCUGCUGCUAAGUUAAAUAAAAUAAGGUAUUUUCAAAAGCAAAAUGGAAUACAUAGAUAAAACAUCAUCUUAAACAAAUCAUAAUCUAGAAUUGGAGACAUACCCAAGGAGAAAGAAUACGUGAAAAUGGGUGAUUCAUUUGUUAAGGAGUGUUGAUUUGGUCGUCUCUGCAAAUUCUUUAGGGACUCGGUUCCAGUUCCUCUUCAUCAAAACUGUAAUAUAAUUCCCCUUCAUCAGAACUCGAAUCGAUGCAAUAAAAUUCCCCUUCAUCAGAACUCGAAUCAAAUUCACUUGCAGCAGUUCCACUCGCGCUUGGCAAAUCAUCCAAUUUCCAAACUUCGGUAGCAAAAUUGAGAGUAAAAGUGUUGGCUUUGGUCUCUCUGGGAUUUGCAUAUACUGGACAUACUCCGCAACGUUUUAGCUUAGUGAAGAACUUAAAUGAGGCAGUUGUAUGAUGGUAACCAUCAGGAAACCCAACAUUCAAGCAAGGUUUAAAACCAAGUAUGACAUGAUCUGAAUCAAGGGAGCCAGUGCACACCAUGAAACCCAGAUCAACAUGUUUGGUUUCAGAGAGAGUCUUUAUUUCUAAGUCGAGUUGAAAGCGGACGUAAAUAUUGCAGCAAUAACAAGAAUGAAGGUGCUUAAAAUCAAGAACAGCACAAAAAGCAAACCCGAUUAAGUUUCUGCAAGAAGACUGCGGUGGCAGUUGAAUACAUAUCGAAGAUCCUGAACUUUGAUUGCUGAACCAGUCAGGAAUUUCGCUUCCAGGUAAAACAAUUAGGGAUCCCCUCAGUUCAGAAAGUUUCUGUGAAAUGACAUUUAAAAAAAAAAAUUGUAAAAUGAAAACCAUGAUUUCAGAUAUAACAAAGAGGGACAGAGUAAACAAGAGAGGGAAUUUGAUACCUCGUUGAUUGCCUUUUCAUAGCCCAGUCUCAGUGAUGCAAUUGCCACAUGCCGAAUUCUUAGUUGUGAAUCUGCCAAAAUCUUGUUGUUUGCUUUUCCAUUCAGUUUCAAGCAGUUAGUAAACCCAAAAUAAAUUGGUUGUGACUCCAGAAGUCCGGUUGCCCAUUGACGAAGGUCAGGAGAGGGUUUCGAUAGCUUUUCUAGUACGGAUGCAUCUAGUUCUUGCAGACAUGACGGAAUCUCUGGCAAAGAUUGAAGCCGGUUGCAGUUCGUUGCAUCUAGUUCUUGUAGACACAAUGGAAGUUCUGGUAAUGACCGAAGCAUGUUACAACCCGUCAAGUGAAGAUAUUUUAGACACAAUGGAAGUGCUGGUAAUGACUGAAGCAUGUUACAACGCCUCAAGUCAAGAGAACACAGCCGCGACAGUUGCUUGAUACUUGCAGGUAAACUCUCAAAGUUAUUUCCACGUAGAUCCAAGCUUUUCAGUGAGGAUAGAUAGGCAAUCUCUUGUGGAAUUUCCAUUACAGCACAGUUCAUUAUGUAUAGAAGUCCCAAAGAAGAUAAACCUAAUAAUAAUGAUCGAGGCAAUGAUACCAAACCUUUGCAGCGAGAGAAAUCAAGAAUUAAAAGUGCGUUUGAAUCUGCAACAGAGGAUGGUAGUUGACUAAUAGCUGAUCCAGCUGCUGAGAUGUGACGCAAAGAUUCUAAAUUGCCAAUGUUAUCCGGCAACUUAUCAAGUUUAGAGCAAUCACUUACGAACAAUUCUUCAAGCCCCGGUAGAUUUUCAAAUGACGAUGGCAGCUCUGUAAUUGCCGUCCCGUCUAAAUUGAUGCGUUUUAAAUGUUCCAUUUUCUCCAAGAUUUCUGGGAAGCGCUCAAGGUUCAAGCAGCCAUUAACAAAAAGAUCAACCAAAGAUCUCAAUUUACAAAACCUAGUUGAAAUCCUCUUCAGCCGUUUGCAAUCCCUCAAAUCCAACACUUCAAGAUCAGUUAGGCACUCUAUUGAUGAUGGAACUUCUUCUAUUGCAGACUGGUCUAAGUAUAGCCGUGUAAUUUUCCCAGAAAUCUGUGGAAACUCUAUGAGAGUAACACAAUAGGAGAAAUUAAUAGUUACUGGACAAACAAAAUGAAGAUUGCUUGGAAAAGACCUAAGACUUUUGCAGCCCUCAAAAGACAGCGCACUGAGAUACUUGAAAUUCUGGAUAGAUGAGGGAACACAAGCCUUUUCUCCUUCCCAAGGUUGCUCAACUUUACUAAAACGCAAAUUCAGUUCAACAAGGUUCUUUGGCUUGAAAUUUGAUGGCAGUAUCCUUAAUGGAUAUGUGUCCCAAUGAAGAUAUCUCAAUUUUUCAGGAAGAUAUUCUAGGCCAUUUGGAAGCUGCACUUCAGAGUAUGAAAGUUGCUCUUCAAUGCUCAUACUUAGAAACCUUUCAAUCUCAUAAAACUUACUUGGAAACCUUUCAAUCUCAUAAAACUUAGGUACAUAAAAUUUGAGCAAUCUCAGAUUAGACAUAUUUGUGAAGGCUCCGGGGUCUAAAUUGAUGCAUUUUAUUUUGGACAAAUCCAGAAAUAUGCCUUCAAUUGCAUCGGUCCCCUUAUAAAAAAAAAAAAACAAAGAAUGAGUAAGCCAAAAAUAAAAAAGCAACAUGCGUAAACUUUAUUAACUAAGAGCUCCUUAAACAAAAACAAAUUCUGCAAUCUUUGAUUUUAUUUUUUUAAUAUAUUAAAUAUCUAUAUGCGAGAAAAGAAAAUUUUGGGGACCAUUGCAAAAUUAAACUAACCGAAAAAAAAUUCAAAAUUUCUCUAAUUUACAAUCCUAUUAUCUUAAUAUCUAGAAGUUGAGAAGAGAGUGCCUAUUUGAUUGGUAUAAGAUUUCGAAAUUUUUUUUUUUUAGUCGAUAGAAUCCAAAAUGUUAGUUCAAAAUUAGGGAAAAAAAUAAAAGUCAUUUUUUUUCCACUAGUUAAAACUGUAUCCAAGUCAAAUUAAGAUACGACCCUUUUUAAAAAGAUUUAACCAUCUUACAGCCUCCUUAAGGUACAUUUAAGCUAAAAGGAGUAAUUUGAGGCAGAACUAGGUGGUCCAAUCAGUCCAUUUUAUUAGUGUCUGUUGCUUAAAAAAUUUAUACUCUAAAACACACUUUUUUGGAAAAAAAAAUAUAAUUACAUUGAAGUAGAAUCAGGUGGGCCAAUCCUCAUGGCACUCACUUUAUUUUGACACUCUUCACUAAAUUUGAAGAAAAAUAAAAUUAUACUCUUCACACUCUUAUUCAACAUUCCAAAAUUGAUAAAAUCUGGAGUUUUCUUUAAAAAUUUAAAAUUUGAAGACUUGUUCUCUUGACACCCUCAGUCAUUAAUUUUACCUAAUUAUGGUUUUUAUGAUUUUGGUUGUUUUGUUCAUAAAAAUGAUUUUACUAAAGGAUGCUCUGGUAAUAAUAAAAUUUAUAAAAAAAAAUGGGUGUGCUGGUAUGAUUGGAAAAAUAUGAGUGCAUAACUCCAAACAAAUAAAAGAUAUAUAAAAUAAAUGGAGGAUUCUUACCUUUUUAUGCUUGAGUACGCGGCGGAUUUCCUUAGGAUCCCACAACCUGCUGCGUUUGCCAGGCUCUUUCUCAGAUUCUUGGCGAACAAUCUGUCGCCCCAUUUCUUGCAAUAAAUCAUGCAUUUGCAAGCAAUUACCUGAUAUUGAUAUGAGUGACUUAUCAAUAAGGACAUCCAGUCCAUCAGACUCAGAAUCAUCAAGAAUCCUUGCCACAAAAUCUUUAUCCUCUCCCUCAAAGAAACACGCAAUAUCUAGAAACAAACUCUUCACCCUAGGAAUUAAUUCAUUAAAACUAAUCUUUAAUAUUUCAUAAAUAUUAUGAAUAUCAGAUUCACAAAUCCGAUUUAAGUCGUGCAAUACAUUUUCCCAAUGGCUUUUCCUCUUGAGGCACAGGGAGGAACCCAACACUUUAAGAACUAAGGGAUUGCCUUUGGCAUACUCUACAACCCUCCGUGAGUGCCAGUUGAGAUUUGUAGGACAAUGAUUUUCUUUAAAAGCGAAGUUACAAAAAUGCUCGAAAGCCUCUUCAAAUUCCAAUCCAUUAACCCUAUGUAUUUUCUUCUCCUCCCCUCUAAAUUUUUCGAGGACUCCUUUAUCCCUGGUGGUUACAACAAUUCUACUUCCUGGACCAAAUUGAUCAAGCUCUCCAAUCAGACCCUCUAAUUGUCCAACUUCAUUCACAUCAUCGAGUACUAUCAACACCUUCAUACGCCAGACCCUCUCUUUAGUAAAAUGUGGAAUAUUGGCACCAGCUACUUCAAGUUUUUCGCUUAAUAUUGUGGAAAGCAUUUCCUUUUGGAGAUGUUCUAAUCCACCUCCUGUUUCAGAAUUUCUCCUAACAUCUGACAUAAAGCAGCUACCAUCAAACUCACCAGUGAAUUGAUCGAAAAUAGCUUCAGCAAGGGUGGUUUUGCCUAUACCGCCCAUGCCCCAAAUUCCAACAAUUUGGACAGUAUCCGACAAAUCCAUACACAAAAAUGGUUUAAUCUGCUCAAUUCGUGAAUUUAAUCCAACUAGGCCAUUGGAUGAGUCCGUUGCGACUGUUAUUUUUUCCAAAUUCUUCAAAACAUCUUCGACAAUUUUGUUUACAAGUUCCGCAUCGUGCCUAAUAUAAAGGUGCAAAGAUGCAAAAACAUUGAGUCAAAUCGGGCCAAGACAGAAACAGAGAUAAGAUGAAUUAGGAAAGAGAGUUACCUGAAUUUCGUGGAUUCGUGGCCAGCAAGACCGGAUGUUUCUCUCAGUGCAUCCCUCCACCUCUGAACCAUUUCUGGCUUCUCUUCGAAGUGUUGUUUCAGCUGAUCAAAACCGUGCUUAAAAAUUCCAGUUUGAUGCCGCACAUCGGAUGGACUUACUCCAUAGAAAACCGGAAUAAUGAUUUGGCGGUUUGUGUGCUUGCAUUCAAGAAUCUUGACAAGUUCAUUCAGGCACCAUUUUGAAGAACCGUAGUCCUUUGAGAAAAUGACCACCGAAAUUUUUGAACCUUGGAUUGCGUUCAAAAGGGCAUCUGAAAUCUCAUCUCCUCGCCUAAGCUUUUCAUCAUCCAUAAAUGUUUUGAUUUUCUUUUUGUCAUACAAAUCAUCAUAGAGAUGGCAAGUAAAGAUCCUACGAGUGUCCUCCCCUCUAAAAUUGAGGAAGACUUCAUAAAUGCAAGAAGAAGAAGAAGAAGAAGAAGCAGCCAUGAAGGAAAUUUUAGAAAAUUGGUGACAGAAACAGAGAAUUAAUCUUGAGAGUUGAGAGAGGAGAUGUAAGAAUGAACAUGUGUGAAGAUUCUUGCAAGCACACAGAAAAUAAUUGAAUGGCUGGAGCUUUCUUAGUUUCCUGGAAAUUUCCUGGAGCUUUCAUAUACAUGAUUUGUCAAGUCAAGAAACAUAAUCAUGAUAAUGGGGCAGACCAGGAAGAAAAGAAAACUUGAUUCAACCAAUAAAGGAAGGAAAAGCAAAGAAAGAAAAUUUGAAAGUAGAUUCAGAGAAUUAUAAAAAGCUAAAGGAAAUUGGAAUUUUGUACAAUUUCUCCAGCGAAAAUUAAGCAUAGAAUAAUCCUAAAAUUUAAACUCUAAUAUCUUAUAAUGUAUUGAUUAAAAAUAAUCCUAAGAGUUCCCAAUUGAAACUUUCAUAAGUAUUUUAAUUGUUUUGGAUAAACAAAUUGUACUAGGAUAAAAAUUUGGCAAAUUCAGAGGAUAAUGGAAAAUAGUUAUGCUUCAAUAGGCCAAAGAUUAGAGAACAAACAAGAAUUAGUUAUUGAUACACAAAAGAGAAACACUCCAAAAUUUCAAGCAAAAAUAGUUUCAUAUACCAUUUCGAUUUUGGAAGGGGUGAGGUUUUGAACUUCAAUAGUUUCCUCUAAAAUUAAAAGGCAGCAAUUAAACUAGAAAGAGCAAUGAAGACUUAUUGGUACUUUAUUGAAGGUAAACAUUAUGAAACUUUCAAUGUCAUUACCUCAUUGUUCAAUUUUUAUUGAGAUUUGUGUAAGCAUUUAGCUAAAUCUUACCUCCGCCUUUAAAUUCAUUAGUUUUGAUUAAUUAUGAGACCUGGGAGAUAUUAUAAUCGAACUAAAACUUAAAAUUUCAAUAUCAUUAUUCUUUAAAAAGAAAUUGAGAUUUCAGAGUAAUAUCACAUAGAAAAACUUGCCCACGGACGGUAAGCCAAAAGUCUAGUCAACCACACGCAUAAAGCUAACUAGAACAAGAGAACAGAGAAACGCGUGGGUCCCUAAAAGAAAAGGCGUGGGUCCCAAAAGUCUAGUCAACCAUACCGAUGAAAAUCACUGAUUAAGAAUAAUAUAUUAUGUGGUUGAAGAUUUCUUUUUAUCAAUCUUCUUUCUACCCAUUAAUUUUCCCACGACUUUCCGGUUUCAUUUCUUGAAUCUCCAUGGAUUAACUUUCAAUAAACCAUAAAAUAAACUAAGGAAUCAUUUUCUCGAACACAGCUAUGAUUUUAAUAAAUGGGCGGACCAUCUAGAAUAGUAUAUAUAAUUCUGUUUAAUUAAUAAGUUGAAAAAACCAUAAAGAGAAAUUCUAAUAUUAUGAGCUUGACACGAAUUCUUCACUAAUUCCAAAACAAGGAGCUGUUUUAUAAGAACUGUGGUUGGAUUAUUAAGUUUUACAAUUUGAAUAUAAAUAAGAAAAUAAAAUCAGUCGCGUCGAUGUUUUCGAUACAUUUCGAUGCUAACUUAAUUAAUUACUUUACUUCAACUUUAUUUCCUGACGGACACUAUAUGGUGGGUCCAAGAUGGGACCUACAAUAAUCAAUCCUAGAAUUUAGUAUGGUUACCAAAUAGCUAGUGUUAUUUUGUGUUUGGUGGAAGAGAUUGAAUAUUUAGUUUUAACAUAACCAUUCAACUAAUUAGAAAAUAAAUAAAGUUAAAUGAAAUGUUUAGAUAUCAAUUUAAAUAUUAAUAUCCGGGAUAUAAAUUAGUUAUAAUAUAGUUCAUUACAUAAAAUUGAUUAAAUUAAUAAUUACACAUGAACAUAGAUGUAUAUGCUUUCCAAUUUCCAAAGUGCUCAAAGCACUUUUCUCACCAAACUUUCCUCUGAAUUUCCCGUAGCUGACUCCAUUGUUUGCGUUUUGUGAAAUUUCUAGGAACUUUUUCUAUUUAGAAUAUUGUACAUUUUUCUUUUCAGCUGAGAUUAAUUUAACUUAUAGAAAAUCUUAUCCUUUUUUUAAUAUUAUUUAAAUAAAAUUUGUCUAUCUUUCAUUUUAUCAGUCUACUUUUUACCCAUUAAUUAAGACUUUUCGAUUUCUUUUUUUCCUGAGGUUUUCAGUGACUAUCUUUCAAUAAACCAUAAAAAUUAAUGAGUCAUUUAUCGAACAAUUAGAUGACCAUAUUUCAAAAUAUCAACUAGAAGUUGCCCUGAAAUAUUUAAUUAAUAGUUGAAGAAUUGUGAUUAGUGUGGGCAUCUACAUAAAAAUUAUAUUAAAACACCGCUAAAAGAUAAAAAUAAAAUAAAAUAGUACAAACAUACACCCAUAGGUUAAAACAAAGAAAAAACACGAACCAAUACACUAAAAUGUUUUAGCUGUAGUUAGUUUUCAGUUUCAUUACUUAAGUCCCACGUGCAUGUCACGUGACUGAGGUCAAAAAAUGAUUGUCAGAUUAAAGUUCAAAGUACGGAGCAGGGUAAUUAAGGAGUGGAGCUAUUGGCACCCCUCCAUUAUUCUUACAAAACCCCACUUUAAAUCAAAUUAUAAUUAAGAAUAAUUGAAAAUUAAACACUUAUAGAUUUCUUUACAACAUGUUUAGUGAUAAAAAAGCACCAGUCGGGCAUGUCCCCAUUUCUUACCCGGGGCCGAAUCUCCUCGGCCGAAUGGUAUGAGUAGACUCUUGGUGAUGUGUUCUAUGUGGAGCACGUAAAACAGACCAGGAACUAGUACCAACCAGAAACGAGUACUGAUCAGAAACAAGCAUGACCAGAAACGCAUACCGACUAGAGACUUGUGGGUCCCUAAAAGAAAAGGCAAGCACAUAAACGAAAAAGCCAUUACAUUUCUAUUUUACAUGUCAUUCCUAAUUUUUGUAACACGGUGUGGCAGCAUAUGCACAAUCAAAUGAGGCAAAAGGGAUUCGACUAUCGUGGCAGAACAUGGACGAGGAUGCGUGAUGAAUAAUUCCUUCGAUAAAACGAAAAACAAAUGCAGAGAAAAGAAUUUCUUAUAUGACAAGAAAUUAAAGUAAUGUGACGGAACAUGAUGAAGAAAUUGCAGAUCGAUCAAUUAUCCCCAUGGACUCCUAUAAAUUCAACCAAAAUAACAAUUCCAAUAUUACCAAAUUCUUGAGUUAAAUUUAUUCAAUGCUUUUUUUUUUUAGAGAAAUUUUUUCCAAUGCUACUUUCCCUUUUUUGGGGAAAUUAGAACUGCGGCAUGUAUAGAAGACAUUGAGGUAUAAAGCAACAUUAAUUUCAUGGGUUAUGCGUUAUACGCAUAAUAUAUUGUCAGUCCAAAUUCAACUAUACAAAGAGGCUUGAGAACUUAAAAUUAAGCACAAACUAAACAGACGAAGUAAAUACAUGAUUAUGCAACAUAACAUUAAUUCUCUUAAUUUAUAACUGUUUUUGCCACAUGAAUCUUGCACAGUUAAUCCUAAUUGAAGACUAAAAAAGAACAAUUGGAACAAGGUUUUGAAAUAGAAUGAUAUACAAUCGAUAUGAUCCAUUUCCAGUCGUCAACGCUAAUUAACUGCAGUUUCUAGACUCCUAAUUAUACUAGCCAUAAGAAACUGUUUAGAAAACUGGUGAUCAGAUUAGAUUUUGAAAAGAAAUAAUUUUCAUUUUCCCUUCGCUACCUUUUUUUUUUAAUUAUUUUUAUACCAAAGAAUUCUAUCAUGAAAAGAAUCAAUUUAAUCACCUUUUCCAGCAGCACAAUUUUUCUUUUAUAAAAUUUGACCACAGAGACAAAGAAGAAUUAUUCAUACCUUCAUCAGUAAGGAAAUACUUUUCAUUAUGGCUAGGGUGAGAAAAGGCUUUCCACAACACUUGUACUUUGUAUUCCUGUAAAUUUUCUUUAAAGUCAAUAAAAACCAUAAGUUCUUUACAAUAACCAUCUCUUUGAUAAAAAAGUGCCGUAUUCCUUUAGAAUUUAAAACCGGAAAAAUUGAAUCAGUGUCUUUGAAGAGACAUAAUGGUCGUAAUUCUUUAAAUGAGUUGGCUAUGGAAAUCCUUAUCCAAGAUUCUUUUACGCCAUAUUCUUUCGUAAACCAAAAUUCAUUUUGGAAUACUCUGUUGAGAAUGUCAAAUAAAACGGCAUUGAAGGAAGUUUUCAAAGGCAGAAUCCGCACUUGUCAAAGGGAUGAUCUGCACUUGUCAAAGACACGAUCCGCGUCGAAUGAAUCGACACAUUUCCUUUCGUAUUCGCAUAUGUAAUCUUUGAAAAAAUGUAGCUUCUGCAUCUAUAAAUAACGCUUAGUGUAUAAUGUUUUAUUCAAGAAAAGAAAACAAGUUUCUUCAUACUCGUCGUCCGAACAUACAGAGACCGUCUCUUAUAACUUCAGCCGAAUACUUAUGAUGAUGAUCAUUUGUGAUUUCAUCAGGCAAAGGGUUGAUGGUGAAAAAAUUUGUAUGUGUGAAGAAUUGAGCUGUGGAUAUAGGGGACUUAAGUGUAAUCGAAAGAGAGUUAUUAGGCCAUAGUGCAGAUUGCAUUCAGUUUAUGAGUCGAUAUGCAAAUAAUUUGUUGACGUGGCGAAAUUUGUUAUGGUCGUUACUAUUGUUUCUGGAAAUUUUCUAGAAACCUCAGCAUAAAAGGGGCUUUUGCAUAGCCUCUGGUGUGCGUGUGAUUUCUCUUUCGUUUCCUCAUCAAAUUCUGUAAUUCUUGCUUUGAUAAAAAGCUUGUAAUCUCUUCUGUAAUGUGUGAUCAGUGCGUAAUCAUUUUGAGCAAUAAGAGCUUGUGGGUUUUUCCUUCAAACAGUGUCGUUUUGGUCAGUUUGUUAGUUUGAUCUGUUGGUGGAAUUUUCUUUGGUUAUUUGUUCUCAAAUUUCAACCGUAUAUAAAGUUUGAACUCUAAUGGCUUAUAAUGUAUUGAUUAAGAAUAAUCCUAAGAGUUCCCGAUUGAAAUUUUUAAUGACUAUUUUUAUUGUUUUGGAUAUACAAAUUGCAUUAAGAAAAAAUAUUGUCAAAUUCAGAGGAUAACGGGAAAUAAUUAUGCUUCAAAAGGCCAGAGAUUAGAGAACAAAGAAGCAUUCAUUACUGAUAAACAAAAGAGAAACACUCCAAAAUUGCAAGCAAACUAGUUUCAUAUACUAUUUGGAUUUUGGAAGGGGUGAAGUUUUGAACUUCAGUUGUUCCUCUAAAAUCAAAAGCAUCAAUUAAGCGUUCUCAAUUAGAAAUAGCAAAGAAGACUUAUUGGUACCUUACUGAAGUUAACAUUGUGGCACGGUUGUUCAUAUGUAAUGGCUGCUCUGUUAUGCUAGCUUCUCUGUUUUUGCUUACAGUUUUGAACAUAAAUUCUUGCUCAAAUAACCCAUAAUUAAAUAACACUAAUAUGGCUCGUGAAGUCCCAUAAUAGCUAAUUACGCAACUUUCUCCUCCUCCUCAAUUAUGUCUUCCCCUGCUCGGACACUAACUUCAAAAUUCAAUGCCCCGAAAAACAACACAAGAAAUCUUUGAGUUAGUUCGUGACCAGUUUAUAUAUAGUAGCAAUUGAAAAAAGAAAAAGAAGAAAAAAGUUAAUUAUUAUUCAGACCUUCACUUAUUAGGAAGUUUGUUCUGCUAUUGGGUGAGAUCAAGCUCUCAGCAUAUACUUCCACAUGAUACUUUCUAACAUUUUCUUGAAAGCCAUCAAUCAUAAAAUCUUCAUACUUUUUUCCAUCCUUUGGAUCAAUAAGUACAAUUUUUUCAUCUAAAACAGACAAAAUAAAAUCACUGUCCUUCAUGGAACACAAUGGCUGCAAUGCCUGAACUGAAUUGGCUAAUGAAAUUUGAGUCCAGGAUUCUCUCAGCCCAUAUUCUUUCAUAAUCCAAAAUUCUUUUCUUUCUCGACAUGGAACAUAGUCUUCUUUUCUUUCUCGACACAUGUCUCUGUACUUUUCUCUCUCUACUGAUCCACACUUUUUCAUACUUCUAACUAUCAUUUUGUUUUUUUUUUUUUUUGAGUUGUGAUUUAUUCAAUUAUUUUGUAUUUUUAAUGACAAUUGUUUAAUAUUUAGUUAGUUUUGAUAUUGAUUAGUGAUUGAAAGUGUAUUUUAGAAGACUUCCGGUCUCUUGAAAAAAGGAAAAAUGGAGAAGAAGAAGAAGUGUUCUUGAUUUUUUUGUAGGCAUUAAAGUUAAACGGUUUGAAAUGAUAUUUUGUUUUUAUUUCACUCAUUAAUCUCAUUCAGGAUAAAAUUAUAAAUGCAAAUAAAUGGGGUUUCAUAAGUAUUUUUAAUAGUGUUAAAAGGUCUACUCACUAAAUAAACAUGUUUUACCCAAACCAAUCCGAUUAAUAAGUUAUUAGGUUGGGUUGAUCAGGUUAAAAAUCAAAAUUAAAAAUUAAAUAAAUAAAAGGCAUAAAAACUAUCUGUUACUUGAAAAUAAAAAGAAUUUCUAAUAGUUAGUUCUAAUGUCCCAUAUCCAAAACAUGCAUAUUGUGAGGUUUGCUGGUGAAUCAAACUCAUCAGAACCAAAUGAUGACGUUUUGGCAAUUGAAGGAGCACUUAAAAGACACGUGAAACGCACGUCUGUUGUCACUUAAGAUUAAAGCUUGAAACGGCAGUUCAACCAUGUCGUUUAAAGGAAGCUUAGAAGUGAUGCACGUGACAGAUGUGUGAAGCAGCUCAUCUCAGUUCGUUAAGUUUGUUAUGCUACGUGUAAGCAAUCAGUUCGAUCUGGGUUUAGCUGGUUAGUUGCUCUGUUAGUUAUAAGAGCAGGCUGAUGAAACGAUUUGGGUUAAGCUUGUGAAUUCAUAUCAGAGAGAGAGAGAUUUCAGUGAAAGGGUUAAGAGUUCUCUGAAAUCUUGUAAACCAUUCUCUGUAAGAAAGAUCCUCCAUUGUUGAAUAAUAAAAGCUCUGCAGAAAACUUUUCCUGUGGAUGUAGAUUGUACCAAUUUGGUACAACUGAACCACGUAAUUGAUUCUUGUGUUGUCUGUGAUUUGUUUGUUUCUUGAUUCUCUAUUCUUUCUAGUUCUUGGGUACAUUGUUUUCACUUGGCUAGAUUCAUUCCUCAAUCUGUGCAUCUUGUAUAGUUCUUUAUCAAAGGUCCUGGGAAGUGUUUUAUUUGUCUUGCAUGUUAUAUAGCAAAUUAAAACACUACACAUAUUAAAUAAUAUAUUAUAAGUUAGAAAUACAAUAUCUAAAGAAAGAAUUAAUGAAAUAACAUAUUCUUGUUGAGAAUUAAGAGUGUGAUUUUAAUUUUGAUAUUGGAGUCUAAAGCAAUAGAUAGUACAAUGAAAUCAUGAAUGCUACGUUUAAAUAAUCUCUUUUAUAAAAUAAUAAAAAGAGGUUAAAAAUUAGGUUAACAUUUAGGGUUUAGCAGUUAAGGAUGAAUAUAUUAUUAUUGUUGUUGUUGUUAUUAUUAUAAUAAUAAUUAUUAUAAUAAUAAUUAUUAUUUAUAUGUUAAUUAAUUCAAUCCAACUUAAUUAUUAAUGAAUUUGAAAAAAUUGACCCAAUUAAUCCACAAUAAUUCAUUCAACUCGUCUAAAUUAGAUUAAGUUGAACUUAAUUUGCUACCCCACAUUGAGCAACAAACCUCAACGUCAUUCUACGAGCUCUUUGAUUGUUUAUAAAAUUGAUUUAGAGUACAUAAAGUGUAUCGACAAUGAAAGUGCAAAACAAAUUAUUGUACAUAUUAAAAUGUGCAAAAACAAUGAAUUAUAUGUACAAACGAGUGCAAACACAUUUUUCAAUAAGAAGUUGGAAGAUAUUUAUGCAUGAAAAAGCCUACGUUUGUAGUUAUUCUAAAUUUUAAAAACAAAAUUUACAUUUAGAUUCCUAAAAUUUACAUAUAAGUAUAAAAGUUUCAAAUAUUGUCUAUUAUUUUUUUAACAUGCCUAUUCCUUGUGGAUAAUUUUGUCUCAUCACUAAUGUUGUUUCUUGCUUACAAAAACCAAAAGCCACCUCCUUUUUGCAAUUUUUAUAGCGUCUCAAAAUAGACAAUAGGGGGAUUUUGAAUUUUUUAAGUCUCAAUAUAGUCUCUAAUCUUGUGAGAAAUAUUUUCUUUCAAUAAUUUGGAGGUAAACAUAACAUAACUUUUUGGACUAAAGCCUAACUCUGCUAAUAAGUAAUUGGUGGUAUCCUUUUCAAGACUUGAGUCUUUAGAUUCGAGUUUUAUAUAGUGUGCAUGUGUAUUUAAUUAAUAUUUUUUUUCAAAAAAAAUUACAUCAAAUACUAAUAUUCAUGACAUAAUUUAGUUCAUAAUUUUUUUAAAUACAUCGAAAAAUAUAAUUUUUUAACAACUUAAAGGCAUGACAAAUUUCAAGAUAUAAAUAUCAGUCAAAAUAAGUGAAAGAAAUAAUGGUGUCAAUUCUAAUUUCUUAACUAAAUUAAUUACUGCAUGAGCCCCGAAUAUGACACGAGAGUUUGAUGGGCUAACUUGGCACAAGAACGUGAAUAGUUAACUCAUUUAAGAAAUAAUUCAACAAAAAAUAUAAUUGAUAAGAAUGCAAUAUUGAAAUGAAUUUUUUACGAAACAUUGAAUUAAUGAUUAUUAAGCAAGAACAAUAAAAAAAUAAAAUAAAAAUAAAGAUUAACCAUUGAUAAGCUUCAACAAGAACUUAACACAACCCUCAAUCCUAAUUCAAAUUAUAAAUGUCAUUCAUAUAUUCAUUAUAAAUCAAUAACAAAGGUUAUAAAUGUUUAGAAAUUCUAGAGGGAAGGAAGCUAUCGCCGGGGAAUCAACAACUAAAAUUGAUGUAAUUGUGGCACGAGAUGGAAUAUGGAAACUACACCAUAAUUUUAAAUGCCGCCAUAGACAUUGACUUAUCUACAAUAACAAUGAUCUAAUUAAAAUAAAAAUAGAGUUUAUGGGCAUUUAUUAUUUUGACAUUCCUCAUUUGCAAAUAGGGAUACAAUUAUAAUUUAUUUAGUCAAAGCAAACAGUAAUUUUCUUCAUUAUAGGAGUGAAGUAAAAACAUUUAGAUUUUAAUGUAUGUAAGGAAAAAUUUAUCUUUAAAAAUACUUUCUUAAUGUGUGUAUGCAUAUUGAAAUACUCAAACCAAUUUUGGUUAUAUAUAAUUAAACAAAUUUUAAAAUAUGAAAAAUAUAAUGUAGUUAUAGUGGAUAAACAAUAAGUGAGCACAAUAUAAUUAAUCAAAUAUUGUGCUAUCAAAAGUUAAUUUUAGAAAUUCCAAAUCCAAUAGCUAACACAAUUCUUUAAAGAAAAAAAAAAGGUUGACACAAUUAAUAAAAUUAGCGACAUGAAUUUCACGCCAUUGAUAAUCAGCAAUUAGUAUUACUUUCUAAACUUGCUUCAACUGGUCGUUGAUGUCCGGGUCACCAAAAGUAUAAGCGAUAAUAAGGGGCAUUGGGCAAGAGUGAUGAAUGUUUAGUGGGUGCAUUUGAUUGAUAGAUAUAUAAAGGGCCGAAACUUGAGAUUAUAUUACUUUUACAAAUUUUAAUCCAAUCACAUAUUUAAUGAAAACAAAAUGAGUUAGGAUACUUUAUUUAAAAUACACAUUUUAAUAAGGCUUCAUUUAAUUAAAUAAAAUUAUAAAAGUAAAAUAUAUUUUAGAUAUUUUAAUAUUUAAGAAAAAAUUUUCAAUCUUUACUUUCAGAAGCUCAAAUUUUUAAUUUUUAGUUGUAGAGACAAAAUAUCUUAUUUAAUGUUUAAAAGUUCUGCUAAAAACAAUCAAAUAACUACAAAAAUUUUAAUAAGAGCAUAUAAAAUUAAAUAAGCAUUUAUUAAUAAUCACUUUAGUGUACUUAUCUAAUAACAAUAAGUGUUUAUUUAAUCUAAUAAGUUUUUAUUUAAUCUAAUGAGCUCUUUUUAAUUUUUUUUUAGUAGAGCUUUUGAAAAUUAAAUAAACUAUUUUGUCUCUAUUAAGAAAAACUUAAAAUUUAGGUUUUUGUAAGUAAAUGUUUAAAUUUUUUUUAAAAAUAUUAAAAUAUUAAAAUAUCUUUUCUUUAUUUCAUAAUCUUAUUUCAUUCUUCACAACAUAACUUUAAAUAACUUACCUAUUAAAAUAAUUUCACAAUUUCUAAUAAAAACUCCGAUUAACAAUCAAGCAAUAAUUUUUUUUUUUUUUUUGUAAAAAUUCUAUUUGUAAAAACUCUAAUAAUAAAAAUUCUACUUAAAUAAAUUUUAUUUGAAAAGGUAUACUAAACGAACCUAAGAUAAAAACAAAAAUUUUUAGAUCCAGACAAUUAAGCUUAAAACAAUUUCAAAUGAAUUUUAGACUAAUCAAAGUACAAUACGUACCAAGUUUGGUAAUUUAUUGACAUCUUCUUAUAUACCUUCGAUCAAGUCGAUUCUCACUUGACGACUAAUUGGUAGUUUGGUACAUCACCGUUGUUCCCUAUACUCGCAUGCAUCCGAUCACAAAUCUCACUCCAAUUGUUGUCUUUCUUCGGCGUUUUAGCGCAUCCUUCUUGAAUUUCUCGCAUUUCGUUCCCUUACAAGUCUCCGGUCAGGUCAGUUCACUUGACGAUUAAUUCGGCAAAUCUUGAAUCUCUUCUCUAUCCCUCUCGUUUUCUCGUGUCUCCUUUCAGUUAAAGCGAUUGAAUCAAUUUUAUCGCAGUCUAAGAGAAAUUAAGUAAUGCUCUUGGAUUUAAAAUUUUUUUGCUUUCGACUUUAGAUCUCGAAAGUCAAACUCUUCUACGAAUCCAUAGAUUCUCAAUGUUUAUAAUCUUAUUUGUGUUUGACCAGGUAACUGGAUCGUGAAAUUCGUCGUUUUGUAUCAAUUCAAGCUUUCGCGAGCUCAUGGAAUCACCUGGUGAGUUGUGGUGAAACGUUACCGUUUCAAUUUUCGCUUAAUUCUUUAUUGCAUAUUUUUUUCUCUAAUAUUUCAGUUUAAUUAGAAAAGAAAGAGGACCCAAAAAGAGAGAGAGAGAGAGAGACUCUACCAUACUCAAUUCCUUGCUCAUUCUGAUUUGGCCUGAAUGUUGGCAUUGACUAUUAUUUGUUUUCAUUUCGAUUUAAUUCUCAUUUAGACAGUCUUUACUAACGGUCAAUAAUAGUUUAAGGAAAAUGAUAAUAGGGAUUCUGCAAUAAUCUUUCUGCAUUGUUCAAGUUAGUAGACAAUGAAUAGGAUGUUUACGUUUACCUCAUUUUGAACCCCGAGGGCUUAGUUGAGUAGUUGAUUGAUUCAAUCUUGCAAUGUGUUCCCACAAGGUUUUGAGUUUGAUUCCUAAUUAUGUGGACCUUAGUUUCGAAUUUGAGUUUGUUAGGUGGGUUGAUGGGGUUUUUGGGUAUUAAAAAGGGAGAAGAAAAAAGUUGCUUGCUUCAUUUUGUACAAACCUGUUGACUUUUUAUUUUUUUCUUUUUAUUUUUGUACUAUUUUGUUUUACAGUUGGUGGUUCAAGACAGACAUCUGUUAUUGUUGUAACUUUGGAUACUGGUGAAGUAUAUAUUGUAACCAGCUUGUAUUCUAGGACUGACACUCAAGUGAUAUAUAUUGAUCCAACUACUGGUGCACUUCGCUACCAUGGGAAAUGGGGCUAUGAUGUUUUUGGAUCUGAAAAUGAAGCAGUAGAUUACAUAACAAAUGGAUCACGAUGGAUGUGCAAGAGUACAACUUUUGCCAAGGCGAUAUUGGGUUAUACUGCCCUGGGAAGCUUUGGGCUGCUUCUUGUUGCCACAAGGUUAACUGCCAGCAUUCCAAAUCUUCCUGGUGGAGGAACUGUAUGCACGGUUACAGAGAGCCAAUGGAUCAAAAUUCCACUUCAAAAUCCUCAACCCCAGGGUAAAGGAGAAGUAAAGAAUGUUCAAGAGUUGCCUGAUCUUGACAUUGAUGGGAAGCACUACUUUUGUGAGACAAGAGAUAUCACUCGACCUUUCCCCAGCCGCAUGCCUUUGCAAAAUCCUGACGAGGAAUUUGUUUGGAAUGAAUGGCUUUCGAUGCCUUUUAAAAGCAUUGGUUUACCUCAGCAUUGUGUCAUUCUUCUGCAGGUUUUGCUUCAUACUCGGUAUCUUCAAAAUUUAUGCUCAUUAAACUUCUUUCAUUCCCCACCCUCUCACUAUCCCUCCACCUAAUUUUGUUUCCAAAAGUUUGUUUGAUAGUCUAUUGCCACUAUAUGUAAAUGUAUCAUUUCCAUUCUGAGCAUGAUAUUUUAUUCAUCAUCACUUGUUAUUCUAAUCUUUAGAUGAAAGAAUAUUUCGUAUUAACAUUUUUCAUGGGCCAGUACCUAUUUUAUGGUCCAUUGUAGAUACUAAAAUGACCAACUUUAUUUCUUGGUCAUAAAAAGUUGCGACAGAAAUUUUAAACAUGUGAAUAUUUAAAUCUGAUAAUUCAUUAAAGAUUUCAACCUAAUAGAUUGAAAACUUAGAUUCAUUCCAUGAAUGAAAGAUAAUAAAGCAUCAGCCGAUGGAAUAUGGGAAAUAGAAACACUUUCCCUUCUAUUAAGAAGAGCCUGCUUCAGAUGAUCCUCAUUUUCUUCAUCCACAGGCCAACCUAGAACAUACCACACCAAGGUAAGAAAGAAAAGGGGUAGCAGGAUUGCCUAGUUUGACAAUUAGCAAAGCCCCAAAUGUUCCUCUUUUACUUUUCUUUUAGAAAGGUAGACAUGUUUGACAGAUUUGGGACAUUGCAUCAUCCCUUUCUGCUGCACAUGGUUGCAAUGUUUUACUUCUCACGUGAAAGCCUAGAAAUCCCAAUCCAAUAAUAAAAGGCCAUUUUAGAGUCAAUGUACAAAAACUUCCUUCCUUGUCUCUAUAUCCUCUUUUACAAUCCAUUCUUAGUUGAAUUGAGAUUAUGCUACAGCUGCUUCUUCAAGUUAACAUUGUUAUGCAAUUCAAUGGUGAUUUACGUGUGUACUUGUCCUAAGCAUGUGAUUUGAAAAUAAUAUGUUAAUAUUGUUUUCACUGGAUAUUAAUGUAUAGGGAUUUGCAGAAUGUCGAAAUUUUGGAAGAUCAGGUCAGCUAGAAGGGGUUGUUGCUCUUAUAGCUCGUCGUAGUAGGCUGCAUCCUGGUACUCGAUACUUGGCUAGGGGGAUUAAUUCUUGUUUUAGUACAGGUAAGAUAAUCUUUAACAUCUCCAGACCUGGAAAUUACAUUUUUGUUGUUGAGAUUCACUUGGUUCUUCUAUACAAUCAAAAAAAUUAAGGAUUUAGUUUUUUUUUUUUUUAAACGGAAUUUUCUUUUCCUUUCAGUACUCUUUGCAUUCUGUGUAUGCUGUUUAUUCUGAUUGUCAUUGAUCUCAUGCCUUUACAAGGAAACAGGUAAUAGUUUCAGUGGUAAAUUCAAGUGGAAUUGGUUUUGAUUCUGUUGUUUAGAAAGAUGGAUUGUAGAACUACAGAACAUUAAUCGUGCCACCUCAUGGCUCAUGCAUGCUUUUGGAGUAUUCUUUACCUGUAGAAUUUUUGUUUUUGUAGUUGACUUGGAAUAUAACUUUACCAUUUUUUUCAAAUAAUAAGAAUCAAUGAGUCUCAUCAAUAUUAAUCAAUAAUGAGCUAAAGAUAUAUAACUUGUGUCUCAGAACUAUAUAUGAUAUGCUUGUGAAGGUGUAUUAUUUUAAGUAGAGAUACCAAAUGCUACAGGGAGAAGCAAAAAAGAACAUUCUCCAGUGAAAACCUUCUGACAGAUUACAUUUUUGGGAUAAAAAAGAAACAUUGAGAUCAUCAGCCACACUUUUUCUUCUUGUACUGUUUAAUUAGUUUAGAGGCCUUUUAGUUGGUUUUGCUUGCCUGGAGGUGUCAUACAGUUCACUUUUUGAAUACCCUGGUUUUCUACAGAUUAGAACUUGGUUUCCUUUCACUCCACAGCUUUUGCUUUCCUACAUCACGUCCUUUGGGAUAAUUGAAUAAUGAAUGAAUGAAAACAAUCAAAUAAUUUCUGACAAUUAGUUAAUAACUUUUAUUUUGUAUGACCCUUUUGAUAUGUGUGGUCCUUUAAUUUACGGUUGAAAUAUAAAUAUGAAAAAAGUCUGCCAAUUAGUUUUACAAAUGACUUUUGUGCCAUAGAAUAUAUAUAUUUUUUUUUUGCCGAAAAACAAAACAAAUUCAUAAACAACAUUGUAUUUCACCAAUUAACAGUGCAAGUGUCAUUAUAGUUUCCACAUAUUAGUUCUGUUUUCGUUAGUUUCAUUUUCAUUCUGUUAUGUAACUGAUGUUUCAUUGCUAUAAAAUUAAUUGUCUGUUUCUCUUCACAACUGUUAUUUUGAAUGAUUUUUUCUGAAUUUUAUAAAGAAUUUGUAUAUGACAGGAAAUGAAGCAGAGUGCGAGCAACUUGUAUGGAUUCCUAAAAGGUCUGGUCAGAGUGUUCCUUUCAAUGCAUACAUCUGGCGGCGAGGGACUAUUCCAAUAUGGUGGGGUGCAGAAUUAAAGCUUACUGCUGCUGAAGCAGAAAUUUAUGUUGCAGAUCGGGAUCCUUAUAAAGGAAGUCUGAAGUAUUAUCAGAGGUUGAGUAAUCGAUAUGAUGCUCGAAACUUUGACUUAGCUGUUGGGGAAAAUCAGAAGAAAAAGCCUUUUAUUCCAAUUGUAUGCAUUAACUUGCUUAGGAAUGCGGAAGGGAAAUCAGAAUCUAUUUUAGUUCAGCAUUUUGAGGAAUCUUUGAACUAUGUCAGAUCAACUGGAAAACUUCCUUAUACUCGAAUAAUUUUAAUAAAUUAUGACUGGCAUGCCAGUACAAAAUUAAAAGGUGAACAACUUACAAUUGAAGGAUUAUGGAAGCAUCUAAAAGCACCCACUCAGGCCGUAGGCAUUUCUGAAGGGGACUAUUUGCCAUCACGGCAACGACUUAAUGAUUGCCGAGGUGAAGUCAUCUGCAAUGGUGACUUUGUGGGUGCCUUUUGCUUAAGAUCCCAUCAGAAUGGAGUGAUACGCUUUAACUGUGCAGACUCUCUUGAUCGGACCAAUGCUGCUAGUUAUUUUGGUGCUCUGCAAGUAUUUGUGGAGCAAUGUAGGCGGCUUGGGUUCUCCCUUGACAGUGAUUUUGCAUAUGGCUAUCAGUCAGCUAAUAACUAUGGUGGAUAUACUGCUCCUUUGCCACGAGGAUGGGAGAAACGAGCUGAUGCAGUGACAGGAAAAACAUAUUAUAUCGAUCACAACACUAGGACCACAACAUGGAUUCAUCCAUGCCCAGACAAACCUUGGAAGAGAUUUGAUAUGACAUUUGAGGAGUUCAAGCAAUCAACAAUUUUAUCACCAGUGUCUCAGCUAGCAGAUCUUUUUCUGCUUUCUGGUGAUAUCCAUGCAACCCUUUAUACUGGUUCAAAAGCAAUGCAUAGCCAAAUUCUUAAUAUAUUCAAUGAAGAACCAGGAAAGUUCAAACAAUUUUCUGCAGCACAAAAUAUGAAAAUUACCCUGCAGAGAAGAUACAAAAAUGCAGUUGUCGAUAGCUCUCGUCAGAAACAGCUGGAGAUGUUUCUUGGAUUGAGGCUUUUCAAGCAUCUUCCAUCUGUUUCAGUUCAACCUCUACAUGUAUGAUACUGUAGAACUUCAGAUUACCUAUUCAUACAAUCUGAGUUCAAUGAUUAUCAAUUUUCAUGAGGGAUGGAGACAAUAUUACACUAGCUACUUGUUUCUAACCUAAGCAUCCCUAACUUCUGCACAUAAAUAAAUGAUGCGCAAAGCAUACCAUAGCUAUAUCAAUGCCCAUUUCCUGUUUGAUGUUGACCAAUAAUGUUUGGAAGUUAGCUAUUGCAUGGUAAGAUGAUUUGAAGCUUCAUUUAAAGCUUCUAAGCCAGAGCUUCUAAGUCAUCUGGCUUAGAGAAUUUAAAUGUCCUCCAAAAGUCUGGAAUCACUGUUGCAUCUCAGCCUGAUUGAUAUUUGUUAUUGUUAACUUGGAAAUAUUUUGUUAAUCUUUCGGAUUGAACAACGUCGUGCUAUGAUCAUUAUUCAAGAAAUGACCUCAAGAACUUGUUGCAGUUGAGUGAUUUUUUGGUAAUGAUGAAAAUUAUUCAUGUUUAGGAACAGCUCUUUAGGGGAAAAGCAUAUAUGGGCUGGCUGGCCCUUUUUGGUGUAUUUGAUGAACCAUUUCAUAUCAUGCUGGUAACUGCAGGUUCUUUCUCGACCAUCUGGUUUCUUUCUCAAGCCAGUUCCCAACAUGUUCCCAAGUUCUGAUGGUGGAGCUAGUCUUCUAAGCUUCAAAAGAAAAGACAUGAUCUGGGUAUGGGUUGCAGCUAAACUUAGUCCUUUGUAGCAUUCCUAAUUCUCUGAUUGUCUUUUCUUUGUAGCAUUCUUAAUUCUCUGAUUGUCUUUUCUGUCCUUAAUGGAAUUCAUGCAUUUUUGGUUCUUUAGGUAUGUCCACAAGGCACAGAUGUGGUUGAACUUUUCAUCUACCUUGGUGAACCUUGUCAUGUCUGUCAGCUUCUUCUCACCAUAUCCCAUGGUGCAGAUGAUUCAACAUAUCCAGCAACAGUUGAUGUGAGAACAGGACGCCACUUAGAUGGGCUUAAACUGAUUUUGGAGGUUUGUAUUGGUUCUAUUGUACACCUUGCUUACAAAUUUUUUAUUUUUAAUUUUUAAUUUUGUAUGAUAUGCUCUUUGUUGGUAAAUUUCAUUUGACUUAGAAGAGAUAGUUUUAUCCCAACAGUGGGAUACAUCAUUGAGAUGCAUGGCAGAGUGAAUAUAGUAGACAAAAUCAUUGAGACCCAUGGUGGUGUGAACAUAGUAAACUUUGUCAAACACAGCUAAGAUGAGCAAAUUGUUUCAUUAGCCUUUAUCUUAUCUGCUGUGAUGAUUCAAAUUAAUGCUGUUUGGUAGGUUGCAAAAAAACGAAAUGAGCUGACUGUUCGUAUUAUUUAGUCAGAUCUCUAGCAAUAAGUUGAAGUUCAUUGUCACAUGGGUUGGGAGUAUCGUGGGCUGUGAGUAGUAGAAUGGAUUUAUGGAGUUGAUACAAGUGCCCACAAUCUCUCAUGUCAUUCUAGGAUUAAAUGGAUUGCACAUUACUGUAAAAAUGGAGGUUAAAUUUAUAUAAUUCGGAUUGAUUGUAAAAUGGAAGACAGAGAUGAGUUAGAAAAAGAAUGACCCGUGUCCUUUUUGAGCUGUUUCUAAAUGUCCCUGGUGUGCCUCAUGCUUAACACGUGCCUUUCCAAAUAAUUUUGCUUAACCUGUGCUUGUCUACUUCUUGUGCUAUUCUGUGCCUGGUCCUGAGCUGUAUUGGUAGAUUGACAUCCAGCUUGAACUUUUAGGUAUAUCUUUUGUACAUAAAUUCUGAAUACCCAUGGACUUAGCGUGAUAUAAAGUCAAGGAUCCAUUUAGCUGAGUCCUUCAAGUUUUGUUAGUAUGUCUUCGGAUUAUAAAUAUGUAACAAAAUGAGGUGUAGAAUACAUUUAAAAAGAAAAGGAUAAAAAAACAAAAGAAAUGAAAAGAGGUGUUUAGAAGUAAUAGCUAAACUAGAUACACUCUCACUAAUUAGCGAUUCUGAUGAACAGUGCCCAUAGCUUCUUUUAUACCUUGAAGUUGCAGAAAUUGAUUCUUGGUGAAUUAAGUCACUUACAGACAUAACUUUUUCUUCCAUCUAAUUUUUAUUAGGUUAGAUAGGAGAAGACUUGUUUCAGGGUGUCCUGACCCUAGUAUUAGUUUUCUUGUCAGAUUUUUCAUGAAAAUUUACAAUGCACGUGACAUACAACUUCUAGUAAUCCUAGGACUUUGUUCACAGGGUGCUUCUAUUCCUCGUUGUGGAAAUGGGACAAACCUUUUGAUACCUUUACCAGGAUCAGUUAGUGCUGAGGAUAUGGCUAUUACUGGAGCUGGUGCACGACUUCAUGAUCAAGAUGCACCAACCCUUCCACUGUUGUAUGAUUUUGAAGAAUUAGAGGGAGAAUUGGAUUUUCUUACUCGUUUUGUGGCAGUUACCUUUUAUCCUGCUAUUUCUGGAACAAGUUCCAUGACUCUUGGUGAGGUAGAAAAUAUUUUCAUAAAAUGUUAAUUGAUUUAUCUACGCACUUUAUUCUUAAAUUAGUAUUUUAGACCAUGAGCUUUGUGGAGUGGGUUUGCUGUAACUGCUGCUGGUGACAACAUAAUUGUUAAUAUUAUUACAGAUAGAGAUUCUUGGAGUUUCUCUUCCAUGGAGGGGGGUAUUCAAUAAUGAAGGCCCUGGUGCUAGAUUAAUUGAGCUUGGCAAAAAGUUUCAGAAGGAAACCGAUCCAUUUUUGUCAAAUUCAGUUACAAAUACGGUUCUGUUUUCCAAUGAAAAUGUGUCAACAUCAAUGCAAACAGAAGCUGCUUCCAAUCCUUGGGUUGACCUGUUGUCUGGAGGGGACACAUUUUCUGAUCCUCUUUCAGAGCCGUUUUCUAACCCUCUUUCUGAGCCGUUCUCUGAUCCUCUUUCUGAGUCGUUCUCUGAUCCUCUUUCUGAGCCAGUGACAAGAAAUGUUGCAUCUGGAGGGGCUGAUUUGCUUGAUUUCUUGGACCAGCCUAUAGUUGAAGAUCAUGGUGUGGAAACUUAUAAAAGAUCUUCAACACAGGAUGGCUGUUCUCUGGCUAGUGGUGCCCAGCAGUACAUAAGCUGUCUAAAAUCCCUUGCAGGGCCACGCGAGGUAUAGUACUGCUCUCUUGUGUUUUUUGCAGCUCUACAUCUUAGUAACCUCAUCUUUUUAAUGGAGUAAAUUCUAGAAGUUCAACAAAUUUUGCUUUGCUAAAUGUAUAACUUAUUAAUCAGAGUCCUGUUAUUAUGGUUUGACACUACUGACAUAUUGUGUUGGUAAUUUAUUUGUACGUCCCUUGGUUGAAUUAUUUGCUGUCUCCAUGCCAUUCGAUAUGGUGCUACUUGGUUUUUGAUCAUCCAUGACACUAUAUAUAUAUAUAUGUAAAGGAUGAAUUGAUUGUUUUGGCUUGUAUUCUCACAUUUUAUGAUUGAUCGAUGGAAAGGUCUUCCUGUAUUAAAUUCAACCUCACAAGCAUAAGAUUGACAAAUUCUGGGCAAAUUUUCAGGAAAAGAAACUAGACUUCAUGGAAGCAAUGAAGCUUGAAAUUGAACGUCUGCAGCUGAAUCUUUCUGCAGCUGAAAGGGAUAGAGCUUUAUUGUCAAUUGGAACUGAUCCUGCCUCUAUAAAUCCAAAUGUAUUGCUUGAUGAAUCUUACAUGGGAAGACUGUGUCGAGUAGCAAACACUCUUGCAUUACUUGGCCAAGCUUCCCUAGAAGACAAAAUUGUUGGUGCAAUUGGCCUUGAGAAUAGUGAUGAUAGUGUUUUAGACUUCUGGAAUAUUACUAGAAUCGGAGAGAGUUGUUCUGGUGGUGGGUGCGAGGUUCGUGCCGAAACUAAGGUGCCUGCUCUUGCUUCCUCAACUGCAACAUCUGUUGGAUCUUCACAAUCCCCUUUGUUGUGUUCUCAAUGUGAAAGAAAAGUUUGCAAAGUUUGUUGUGCAGGAAGAGGAGCUCUACUGUUUUCAAAUUAUAAAUCAAGGGAUGUGACCAACUACAAUGGCUUCUCAAGUCAGAGUGGAUCAAGCCAUGGAAGCCAAGUUGAUGUAUCUACCAGUCGUUCACUAACACUGGAUGGCGUUAUCUGUAAACACUGCUGCCAUGAGAUUGUGCUUGAUGCAUUGAUGUUGGACUAUGUUAGGGUCUUGAUUAGCUUGCGAAGAAGUUCCCGUGCAGACAACGCAGCAUACAAUGCUUUGAAUGAGGUUGUUGGAUCCUGCUUAAAGGAUAGUCUUUCUGAGAGGAUUCAGUCUUCCGAUAACGUGCAAGCAGCUGAAGUCCUUCACCAAUUAUGUGGUGGACAGGAAGCACUUGCUGAAUUUCCAUUUGCUAGCUUUUUGCACUCGGUAUGUUCUUGGUUUGUAUUCAGUUCUCAUCAUAUUAUGUUUUCCUUUUAAAUUUCUUUUCUUGAUUAAAAUUUUUAGAAAUAUGUUUUAGCAUUUAUUCUUAUGAUAUAUGCCCAGAACAUUCAUCCCACUUAUCCAUGAGAAUCCUUGUCUGGUUUGAUUUUCAAUUGAGACAUUUUUGGGAACCCUGAGCAGGUUCCAUAUGCUAAUAAUCUUUGAGGUAAGGUGUUGUAGGAUGCCUUGAGAAGCUAAAAACCUAUUACAAGUAAAAGCUCUUGCAUUGUUUUGUGCAAUCUGUGUGCGAGCAAGUCAUGUCUCUAAUAAUUUCAUAGUUUGCUUGAUUGGAAUUUUUUAUCUUGAUAUGGAUUGUUUAUUCUAGAUUCCUUGGUGCCACUGUAGGUUGAAACAGCAAAAGAUUCAGCACCGAUUUUGUCACUGCUUGCUCCAUUAAAUUCUGGAUCAAGGCACUCAUAUUGGAGAGCUCCACCUAGUAUUACUUCUGUUGAAUUUGUUAUUGUUCUCGGUUCUGUUUCUGAUGUCAGUGGGGUUAUCUUGCUUGUUAGUCCUUGCGGCUAUUCUGUGGCUGACACUCCGAUGGUAAGUGCCAUAUUUAUUCCCUUAUUUCCUUGUUGUUCAAUAAAUUUGGUGAUAAGCCAAGUGGCCUUAAUAAUGAAGCCCAGUACCAGGGGUGGUGGGUAAUAGAUAUUCAACUUGUGAAUAUUCCUAAGCAAACACUGAAUCAACAUAUACCUCGGCAAAAGUUCUCUAUGCUAUGAUAAUGGAAGUCAUAUUUUGAAAUGAUUAAAAGAGUCCCUGUGUAGUGCCAUUUCCAACGAAAUUGCAGCUGGGGGUUUAGUUUCAUGUAGGUUAGUUUCCGAUAAUAAACUUUCCAUUUCAUUAAUUGCUGAUGAAAAAACCAAGUAAGAACAGUUUUGUUGCUCAUCAUUUUUGUAUAUUUUGGUAAACUGUAAUUUUAAAUUCUCAACGAUCUUCCCUUUGUAGGUAAGAAGAUGGUCCACUCACUUGAUAUUUAUGAUUGUAGAUCAGGUUUCUAUUGGUUUGCCUUUAUCAUUUGGAACCCAUGUUUGAUAUUAACAGAGAUCACAUCAAUAAUAUCCUAUUUGGGUAGAUGUGGGUGAGGAUUUAAAAUCAAAUUUGAAAUUGAGGGGAAAGAAGAGAAAAGGAACCACAAUAAUUAAACAAAAUAAUAGGAACUAUUCUGAUGAGUUUUAAUCUCGAGAGGAACAAUUUUCAAAUGCACUGCUAGAGAAAUUGUAGCUUUUUGUCAUUAGUUAAAAGGAAAAAGAAUAAGAACUAUCCGGCCCUUUCCUUCAUGAAUGUGUGUUGAGGUUGCUGUAUUAUUUAGUCAGUAUUUGUAAUUUUCUUCCCUGCAGUGCUCUCUGCCUCCUGAAUUUGCUUCCUAUUGCUGUUACAGGUGCAAAUCUGGGCAAGCAAUAAGAUACACCGGGAGGAAAGGUCAUCAAUGGGAAAAUGGGAUGUCCAAUCCCUCACCACAUCUUCUUCAGAUUUGUAUGGUCCAGAAAAGUCUGCUAGUGUUGAAAAAUUACCUAGGCAUGUAAAAUUUACGUUUAAGAAUCCUGUUAGGUGCCGCAUUAUUUGGAUCACAUUACGUCUUCAGAGACCUGGUUCGGCUUCAGUUAAUUUCGGGAAGGACCUCAGUCUUUUGUCUCUUGAUGAAGAUGAAAACCCCUUUGCACAAGUAGACAGACGUGCUUCAUUUGGAGGAGCAGUUGAAAAUGAACCAUGUAUUCAUGCCAAAAGAAUUCUUGUAGUCGGAAGCCCAGUAAAAAGGGAGGGGCUUACCACAUCACAGAGCUCUGAGCAGCUAAGUAUUAGAAACUGGUUGGAUAGAGCUCCACAAAUGAGUAGAUUCAAGGUAUUAGUUGCUUUCACUCUUUGUUCAUUCAUAAUUCCAGCUUUCUGCUUCACUGAUAAACCUCUUUUUUCUCUUCAGGUCCCAAUUGAGGCCGAGAGAUUGAUGGACUACGAUCUCGUCUUGGAACAGUAUCUACCUCCAGUGUCACCUUCACUUGCUGGAUUCCGUCUAGACGCUUUCAGUGCAAUAAAACCUAGGGUUACCCAUUCACCUUCCUCAGAUUCAGAUAUCUGGGACAAAUCAGUAACAUUUUUAGAAGAUAGGUACAUCUCUCAAGCUGUGUUGUAUUUACAAGUAUCCGCACUCCAGGAACCACAUAACAUGGUAACUAUUGCGGAAUAUCGACUGCCGGAGGCUAGAGCCGGAACGCCAAUGUACUUUGAUUUCCCACGACCGAUACAGUCCCGACGAGUUUCAUUCAAGCUUCUUGGAGAUGUUACAGCAUUUGCAGAUGAACCUUCAGAACAAGAUGAUUCAGGAUUGAGAGCUCUACUUGUGGCCACAGGUUUGUCUUUGUCAAACAGAAUCAAGUUAUAUUAUUAUUGUGAUCCUUAUGAGCUCGGAAAAUGGGCAAGCCUUUCUGGAGUUUGAUCAUUAUUUAUAUGUCAGAGAAAGAGUUUUGGGUUUGAUUUUGAUUUUGAUUUGCAUUUUUUGUCAGUUUAUUGAAAUUUUUUCGUGGUAUAAAAUCAGAAUGUAAAGGUAUAAAAAUUCAUUGAUGCUGCAAUGUCUGCUUUUGAGAAAGAAGAAUUCAACGUCUUUUCUAUGCCAUUGUAUUUUCCACUGCUUGUAAACUUGGGCUGUCGAAUGCUCUGUGAACCUUAAGGGCUAAAGUAAUUUUCAAGACUGAAGGAUUUAUUAAUCGAGUUCAAAAGAUUGCAAGUUGGUGAGCGUUGGCAUUUAAAAAUCAAUUGUUAUUCUCUCAAUAAUCUCUCUCUUCUGCCGACACCCCAAGCUCAGAAACCCGUUGUUCCGACGGACGUGUAACACUUCUAGAAAUUAGCAUUUUCUUCUACAUGAAGGUUGGUCUCUCCUCGUGAAGUGUUUUCUUUUUUGAGUGAAGGUGGUUUUCUACUUACAUAUGUCGAGGGUCUUACGAUAUCUAAUGUGUGAAAUUUCUCUCUCAUUUUACCAUAAAGAAAAUGUUUGUAAUGAUCUGAAGCUUGAGUCUUAAAUUAUCUUAAAUUUAUAUUUAGGGUGGAGCUAUUGGCAUCCCUACAUUAUUCUUACAAAAUUCCACUUUAAAUAAAAUUACAAUUAAGAACAAUUAAAAAUUAAACACUUAUAAUUUUUUGUACAGCAAAUUACUUAAUUUAUAAUCAAUUCUUUUAAAAUAUAUAUAUAUAUUUGUUACUUCUUAUCUAACUAAAAUAAAUUGUACAAAUUUAGAAUAAUCUAUUGUUCUUUUUUGAUUUCUUAUUGAUUUAAUAUUUUUAUACUUAAAAUUACUUUGAAAUUAUAAUUUGAAAUAUGUGUUAUUUUAGCCAAUAAUUAACACUUAAAAACUUAUCACCCAUAUAACUUUUUAAUUUGUGUGUAGGGUAAUAAUAAAAUUGAAAAUAAUUAAAAAUAGCACAAUAAUGAGUUUUAACAAUAAAACAAAUCAAAUGAAUAUUUAAAAUUUUAAAAAGUAUAUCUAGAAAAAGAGGUAUUUUCGGAAAUAGUUUGCAUAUAACUAAAAAAAAGUUUUAUGAGGAGAUCAGAUGGGUGCCAAUAGUCCACCUCGUAAUUAAGAAUCUCCCAUUAUAUUGUGAACCAAAAAGACACUUGCAUAAGAAGAAGAAUUUUUCUGUUUGAUUUUAUUUGUGGAUCCAACAUUUCUCAUAUCUUGAGCGCCUUUCCGUAUCAAAUUAAAAUAGUAGUAGCAAAAUUGUAGUGCACAUUCAAUUAAUCAACUAAUAGUCUAAGAAGCAAAGAGAGGAUUACAAGUUCACAACACCAUUACAAAGGAUUCAAAAUUCCCACACGAAAACAUCAAUGUACAGAUAUAAACAAUCCUAAUUGGACACAAGAAAAACCCUUAAAUGGAUUGCUUGCCUUCCCAAUGCUACAUACCCUGCAAACUGCUUACUGGCCAAGAAAAUGUUUUCAAUUUAGUGUAUUUUCAAAAUGCUUAUUUUCUCAUAAUAUUAAAAAAAUAAAAUAAAAAAGAAUUCUUACAUGUUUCAUCAGCAUGAUUAAAAUCAAAGAAGAAAGAGAGACAUAAUGUCUCUGACAUAAUAAAAUUAUAAAAAUUUCAAGAAAAAAAAAGGUUAAAACAUGUAAGGUGGAUGAUUGAAAACAAUUGUAUGAUGGUAACCAUCAUCUUAAACAAAUAAAAUAAGGUAUGUUCAAAAGUAAUAAGGAAUACAUAGACAAAACAUCAUCUUAAACAAAUCAUAAUCUAGAAUUGGAGCAUUUUCGACAUACCUAAGGAGAAAGAAUACGUGAAAAUAGGUGAUUCAUUUGUUAAGGAGUGUUGAUUUGGUCGUCUCUGCAAAUUCUUUAGGGACUCGGUUCCAGUUCCUCUUCAUCAAAACUGUAAUAUAAUUCCCCUUCAUCAGAACUCGAAUCAAAUUCACUUGCAGCAGUUCCACUCGCGCUUGGCAAAUCAUCCAAUUUCCAAACUUCGGUACCAAAAUUGAGAGUAAAAGUGUUGGCUUUGAUCUCGCUGCGAUUUGCAUAUACCGGACAUACUCCGUAACGUUUUAUCUUGUGACCCUUUUGGUUUCGGUAACACUCAUUGAAGAACUUAAGUGAGACAGUUGUAUGAUGGUAACCAUCAGGAAAGCCAACAUUCAAGCAAGGUUUAAAACAAAGUAUGACAUGAUCUGAAUCAAGGGAGUAUUUAGAAUAGGUAGAAAAACCCAGAUCAACAUAUUUGGUUUCAGAGAGAGUCUUUAUUUCUAAGUCGGAUUGAAAGAUGACGUACCAAUCGCACUUGCAACGAGAACAAACUUUCUUAGAAUCAAGAACAGCACAAAAAGCAAACCCGAUUAAGUUUCCGCAAAAAGAUUGCGGUGGCAGUUGAAUACAUAUCGAAGAUUCUGAACUUUGAUGGCUGAACCAGUCAGGAAUUUCGCUCCCAGGUAAAACAAUUAGGGAUCCCCAGAGUUCAGAAAGUUU